UCCAUGGUCAGAUGGUCUCGUCUCGUCUCGUCUCACCACUUGGUAUUGAUGCCAUGGGAAAAGAGUAGUUGGUUACUUGAUUUUUUAGACUUGGGGUGGCAUUGAAAAAGAUUGUUGAAAAGGAAUCGAGUGAAUCAAAUCGAAUUAGUUUGUCUUUCUGUACAAUACAUCCCCCAUUAUCUAGCUUAUUCAGUCUUGAGAAUUAUUAUCUGAUUUUGAUCCCCCAUUUAAACUUUUUGCCAAGACUAUCCUAGAAAUUGAUUUGUUUAUCAUUGCUUCUUGGUCCUUACGGUCUUUUAUGAAUCACAAUCAAUUUAAUCAUACAUAAAAAUACGGGUACAAGCUGGUUAGCUUACACGCUUCCUAUAUAAGAAAGGUACGGGAAUCAGAUUCAAAAUAUCCAUCCAUUCAUAAUUUAAAAAAAAAAAAAAAAAACUCCGGAAUUGAACUGAACGAGUUUCAGACAUGGCAUCGAAAUCCAAGAUUCUAUCCAUCGGCGGGACAGGGUAUAUCGGUAAAUUCAUCGUGGAAGCAAGCGUUAAAGCUGGUCACCAGACACCAGACGUUCGUGCUCGUGAGAGAAUCCACACUCUCUGAUCCCUCCAAAUCUCAACUCCUCGACCACUUCAAAAACCUCGGCGUCAAUUUCGUUAUCGUGAGUUAUCAUUUUUUUAUUUUUUUAAUUCCAUUAUUUUGACCCGUGGCAGUGUAGUAUCUACUUGAAAGACUUAGUAUUUUUAUUUUAUUUUAUUUUAUUGGGUGCCGUUAUUAUUAUGCAGGGAGAUGUUUUGAAUCAGGAGAGUUUGGUUAAGGCGAUAAAACAAGUGGACGUGGUGAUAUCAACAGUUGGUCACACUUUAAUAGCCGAUCAGGUCAAGAUUAUUGCUGCCAUUAAAGAAGCCGGCAACGUUAAGGUAUGACAUAAUUAUAAAUAUCUUGGAUCAGGAUUGUGCACUUGCGCACACGUGGUGAUUUAUUAUUGGCGUGGAGCUCGUUGUAGACUAGAGCUCCCUGUUCCGCCAAUAAACACCCGCUACAUGCACAAUUGCGCCCUCAAGAUAAUUUAAUUAACUAAUUAAUUAUAAACACCUAUGGCGUGAAUGCAACUAAAAGUAGCUGAUGUUUGUAAAUUAUUUAUUAUUCAGAGAUUCUUCCCGUCGGAAUUUGGGAUUGAUGAUGAUCGAAUCCAGGGCGCCGUAGAGCCAGCAAAAUCAACGUAUGUCGUAAAGGCGAAAAUCCGCCGAGCCGUUGAGGCAGAAGGCAUUCCGUAUACUUAUGUAGCAUCGUACUGUUUGAAUGGCCACUUCCUUCCCAAUUUGUCGCAGCCUGAGGCCACUGCCCCCCCUAGGGAUAAGGUCGUCAUCUUAGGUGAUGGAAAUCCAAAAGGUAAAAUAAAUUAAUUAAGCUCAUUGUUUUUAAUAAGAUUGUUGAAAAUAACCAUGUUUAAGGCUCCGUUUGUUUGGUAUAUGUUGCGAUGUUAGUGUUAUGGCCUAUUGUAGAAUGGAUGGUCUAGCAACUUAGUGUCUAUUUGGUACUGUUGUUGGAGAUUUUAAGAUAGAGUUUUAAGUGAUUACCAGAUACUGAACUGCCAUAUCAUGGCUGCCACACAACAAUUUCAAACAGAGCCUAAAUAACUUCAUUGCAAAAUAGUUAAAUGAAUCUAACUUAGUUUGGUCAUUUGAUUUUCAGCUGUUUAUAACAAGGAAGAUGAUGUUGCAACCUUCACAAUCAAAGCGGUUGACGAUCCGAGAACCUUGAACAAAAACCUUUACAUUCAGCCUCCCGGCAAUAUUUAUUCGUUCAAUGAUCUUGUGUCUCUGUGGGAGAGAAAGAUUGGCAAAACCCUCGAAAGGGAGUAUGUUUCAGAAGAGCAGCUCCUAAAGAAUAUUCAAGGCUAGUUAAAACUCUCACUUCUAAAUGUUAUUAAAGAAAGCCGCGAAUUUUUGCCUUAUUGAUCCUGUCUUCUCCAAAAUGUUGCAGAAGCUGCACCUCCACUCGGGAGGUUGUUAUCAAUUUAUCACUCUGCUUUCGUGGAGGGAGUUCAAACGGACUUCAAGAUUGAACCAUCGUUUGGAGUUGAAGCCUCGCAGCUUUAUCCUGAUGUCAAGUACACUACAGUUGAUGAGUACCUCAAUCAGUUUGUGUAACCCUUCUCUGCUUCCAGCUGCAGCUUGCAGGAUCUUGGACUCUGGGUAAAUAAAUAAUGGGCUUGUUGCAAUCUUUGGUUUUUAUAUGUAAAAAUUAUGGUUGUUGGCCUUACUUUCUUCUGGUUGUCAAUGGAAUUUGUAAGACCAUUUUAUGUUUGCUAUGUCAGUGAUCAAAUGAAGUAGGCCAUGUACUUGAUCUGAGAAUAAUUAUAAAGCCAACAUGGUCAGGUGAGUGCGUCUGUGGGGCUUUUAUUAGGGUGCGUGUGUGAGGCUUCUGAGGGGCUUGUGAUAUGGGGUCUACAGCCCCUAAUGGGCACGCGACUGCGUGCACUAAAUGAAGUUAUUAUAAAAAUAAUUAUAGAGUCACCAAGGCAAAAAUUAAAAGUAAUUUGCCAAUAAAAAUAGUUAAAAGUAAUAAAAAGUAGGUAUUAUAUUUCAAAAAUCAAUUUUUCAUUAAUGUUUAUAAGAUUAAAUUUGUUCUUAUCUUUCCUUAAUAAACACAAAAAUUUAUCGUUUUGGACUAAUUAAAAUUUUAAAACUAGCUAACAAGCAAACCGCCAUUAAUUUUUUUUUUUCCAUUUCUUUAAUCAUUCUUUUUUCUCUUUUUGACCUUUUUCUUUUUCUUUUCUUCAGUCCUUAUUUUUCUUUUCUUUUUUGGUUUUCCUCUAAACUCUUUAAGAAAGGCUGCCAAGCCUUGAAAAUAUCUCAAAAAAUAAGAUUUUCUUUCUUAAGAUUAACAUUUUAACCACAAAAAUAAAACUCUAGUCCAAACAUUGAGCACUUACAAAUCAAACGAUAAAAACCUCUUAUUAGUACAUUAACCGUAAAAUAAAAAAGAAUUAUCACAAAUAUUGAAAUGUUGUUGUUUGAUGCUUGAGAUUCUUGAAAUGUAUGCAGAAUUCCGACAAUAUUUUGUUGAAGCAACUCUCGGAAACUUGUUUGUUGAGAUUGAUGAAGAGUCCAUGGCAAGUAACCAGGCAUAUUGCAAUCCUUGUAAUUAUUCUGACCGAGAACAAUAAAACAAAAAGUGAAAACUGAAGAAAAUGAUAAGAAAACAAUAGAAUAAUAAUAUUAAAAACUCGCUAAUCUUGCCCAAUUUUUUUUUUUUUUGGAUAAUGUUCAGCGUAUACUAGAAUCUUUUAGAGCAGAAGCAAAACAGCAACAACUUUUCAAGAAAAGAAAAAAAAAAAGAAUUAUUAAAGAAAAUGGAAAAAAGAAUUAACGGCAGUUUAUUUGAUAGCUUUUAGAUAGCCAAAACCGGUGAGUUUUUGUGUUUUAAUAAGGAUAGUUAGGAAUAAAUUUAAUCCUCUCUAUAGAAUCAUUUAGUUACUAUGUGUCAAAAUCUCCUGUAAAGAAUAGGAAAAAUUAAAUUAGAAGAGGAUCCAAAUCAGGACUUGACUAGCUUACAGAAUCUGUAAGCUACGGACUGCAGCAUCAGCCGUUGGAUGUGGUUGGAUGUGGAGUGAGAAAUUAAACAAUAGAAGAUCGGAUGGUGGGAUGACGGGAGAUGUUUGUUACAGAAUCUGUACCAUAGACAGGUCCUCCAAAUCAUCAACAUCUUGGAAUAAACAAAAGAAUCUAAACAAAAGAAACUCGUUUUGCGUGUGAACCAGUUCAAGAUAAAGAGCAGACUAUUGGAAAGAGACAAAUACUACAAGAAUAACAAAACAUUCUACAGUUACUACAUAAGCCUGCAACAAUUAAUUAUUAACUCAAGAUUUAUUACACUUUUUCUUUAAUUUGACAAAGAAACCAAAAAUGAAAUAAAAUUGACAACAGCAAUGAUAUGCUUACAACAAUGAGUAUGAAACUUAGUACAACAAGGACCUUUUUGCUAAUUUUUUCAAAUUUUUAUGAUAUUUUAGAAUUUAUGGGUUUUAUUGAUUUUGAUAAAUUGGAGCAUUUCUCCAUUCAUCUUUUCUGCAUCUAUCCCUAAAUUUCUUAUCUUUGUAAAGUUUUAACUAUGUCUUUGUAAAGUUCUAAAUGAUUAUCUCGUUCAUAGAGAUCUAUAGUUAAAUUAAUUCUUGUAUUUAUAAUCAUUUGUCUCCUUUGAGACAUAGACCAAAUUUUUUCUUCUAACAUUCCUAUGUAUAUUCCUAAGCUAUAUUUCCAGCUUAGGUACAUCUUAUCUAGGAUUUCACAAAUAAAUUGUAAUUUGAGAUCUGCAUCUUGAAUCAACAUCACCAUAUUAUUAUUAUUAUUAUUAUUAUUAUUAUUAUCCAUUGUUUUAUACUCGAUUUUGGGUUCUAUUACUAGUCGCACUUGUCUUGGAUUAUUUCAAGGCUAGAUAGAAUUGAUUCUAUUAAUGCUAUCCUGUUUCCUUCUUCAAAUGAAUCGAAUAUUUUUGGAUCAAUAAUUCUUUUCAUUUCUUCAUACAAGUGUUUGCUUGUAAUUAAUCUAGUUUUAACUAUGGAAAUUGUAUAAGCAACUUGAUAUUCUUGACUAAAGUCUAGAUGAUCAAUUGCGUCUAGAAAUUUAUUAACAGAUCUUUCCAUUUUUAUGAAAUUGAGUUACUUUUAUCACUUCCUAUCUUAUAACAUUUCAGAAUACAAACAAGGCCCAACAUGCUUCCAUUUGUUGCUAAAAUAAAAGAAUAGAGUUCAAGAUUACUAACCAGUGUACAUUUCUCGGAAUUCUAAGAUAGAUUCACUAAUUGCCUCCAACCAUAGAGAGGUCUAUGGUUAACUCCGCCAUAGCUCCACACAUCAUAUAAGAUCACUUCAACGACUGUUACAUAGGCCCAACGCAACAUAUAGCAAACGGGCCUAAAAGAAUAUGUCUAAGUGAUUUGCUUACAGCUGUCUCUGGAAGAGUGCUUAGUAGUAGAAAAUCUUCUUCCUUUAGCACAAGUAUUGGCAUGUAAGGUUCUUGGUUAUUUUCUAAGAGUAUAUAAGAUAUCUGGAAGAUGACAAUUUCGCUCAAAAGAGUUUUAUUUAUUUCAUCAUUGAAAUUAUUUACAGAGGAUGGUUACAGAGAAUACAGGUGUAGGUGUAGGUGUAGGUGUAGGUGUAGGUGUAGGUGAAGGUUAGGCAUGUGAUGUCCUUCCCUUCUUACAUGUUUCUAUUUAUAAUCUUAAAUAGAUAAGGUUAUCUCUUUUACAUGACACUUGUUUAAUUCUCUUGGUGGAUUGUGGAUUCUUUCCUGAUAAGGUGACCCUUCUUCUUUUUAUCAUUAAAGACAGUGGUUGUCUUCUUUUCCUGGUGGUAGACAGCCUUUAUCUGGUUGUAGUGUGCUUUAUCUUUUUGGAAUCUUUCUUUUUGAAUUAUUAAUGCUUUUAGGAUAGCACCUUUUAUCUUUUCCAAUGGUUCCUGUCACAUGCCAAGUAUCAAAUCUUCCUCUAGUGACAUGUCUUCCCCACUAGAAUCCUUUUUUGAUCCUUCGUAGCAGUAGCCACAUGAUGACUGAUGUUUUAGCACCUUGCAUACCUCGUGAUGUGUCAGUAAGCUGGAUUCCACGAGAUUUUCAUAUAUUGCCUUUUUCUUUUUUGAUAUGGCCUGUCUGGCUAAAAUGCUUUCUUUUCUACUUAUAGAAAAGAUUAUAUGCUCCUUUGUGGCUUCGUGGAGCCAUAUUUUUUCCUCACUUAUCCUCUCAAGAGAUUCAUAGAGGACUUUCAUUCCUACGGCUCUUUUGCUGGUGAGAGCUUUGGGUUCGAAAAAUUCAGGAUCAUAAUCAUUAUAGACUUGAUCUAUAUCAAUAGUUGGACUAACUUUUUGCUGCUAAUUCUAACUUAAAUCAUGUGCUGUGCUACCACUUGUUUUCACCGUAUUAAGGGCAAGCAGUGAGGAUCUUGAUAAAAAUUAGUUCUUUUGUUUUGGAUAUCCUUUUGUGGUCAUUAACAGCCUCUGUAUUUUUUUCUAGGAGCUCUUUUAUUUUCCUACAAUCAUCACGGACAUAAACAAGGUUAAGAAAACCGUAUUCAAACAUGUCUUUUAUCAAUUUUGGAUAAGCUCCUAGCACAAAUUUUAUCCUUGGGUAUAACCCUGAAUGAUAUGGUAUUAUAGUCUGGUUAUGAUGAAUCACAUAAGUUAUUUUACCAAUUCUUUUAUAAUUAUAAGCGUUGUCGCUUCCUAAUGGAUUUUUAACCAUAGGAACAGACUGUCCGCUUUUAUUAUAUUGGGGCCUUAAGCUCACUGAAGACCUUUGAGAUUCUUCUUUCUUCAUAUAUUAUUCUUUGAGAUCAUUGAUUGUGAGAAAUUUCUCUAGAUGUGUGACCUUUGAGUUCUGUGAAGAACUCUGGGCAAUCUGAUCCUUAGUUUGAUCCUUAAAAUGGACCUUUUUUUAGCAUAUUACUAAUAGAUUGUUAUGAAAUUUGGACUUCUGGAUGAUUUUGCAAACUUUUCUAUAGGCAAAGUUUGCUCAAUUCUUCAUGGGCAUCAUCUAUCAUGGCAAGCCUAUUAUAAAUUAUACCAUUGCCUUUGAGAAGCAAUUCUUGACCUUCAGAGCACAUUAUUAUGCCCUUAAUUAUUUUGGAAAGACCCUUCUCCAUUGUAUUCUCGGCUAAGAAAAUUUGCAAUAGAAUUGUUAGAUCCUUUAAUAUAUUCAAUUUCAAAAUCAUAUUCAGCAAAAAAACCGUUGCCAUUUAAUUAAUCUUUUAUAUUAAGGGAGAUUAGGCAAUUUAUUAAAUAUAAAUCCUUUAACUCGAGUGUUAUCAGAUCUUACCUUGAAUUUCUUUGGUAACAAAAAAAAGUAAAUUUAGCUAUUCCAUUUUUAAUAGUUAACAGUUCAUUUUCAUUACUAUGAUAAUUCUUCUAUGCGGGUUUGAAUGUUCUGGUGGCAUAUCUACAAAUCUUUUCUUGAUCUGUUUUUAAGACUACACCCCAGUAAUUAUCUGAAGCAUCGGUCUCAAGAAUUAAAUUAUCACUAGAAGUAGGGAAUCCUAAUCUUGGAAGAUUUUUACAUUUUUCUUUCGAUUUUUUUACUACUUUGGUAUGGAGAUCUUUCCAUGAUUUAGUAUUAUUCUUUUUUAAUAAUCCUUGUAAAGAUUGUCUUUCUUUAGCUAAGUUUUCUAUGAAACCUUCAGCAUAAUUAAGAUAUCCUAAAAAUAUUUGAAUUUGUUCUUUAGAUUCUAAUUUAUUUGGGAAUAGAUAUAUUUUCCAAAAAUAUGAGGUUGCAUCUCAAUUCCUGUUUCAUCUAUUAUUAACCCUAGAAAUUCUAUCUUGAGUUUCAUUAUUUCAGCUUUCUUUUUAGGGAGUAAUAUUCCAUGUUUCUUGCAUUUCUCUGCAAAAGAAACGAGAUGAUUAAUAAGAUAUAUCUUAUUAUCUGAAAAUAUAAAAAUAUCAUCUAAAUAAACAAUGUAGAAUUCAUGAAAUUCUUUGAAGAUUUGAUCCAUCCUUCUUUCAAAUAUUUUUGGUGCAUUUUUCAAUCCAAAAGGCAUUACAAUCCAUUCAUAUUAUCCUUGAGGUGUACUAAAGGCAGUAAGUGGUAUACUUUCUACUUUAAGUUUGAUAUGUCAAAAUCCAGAUUUGCAAUCAAACUUGCUAAAUGUCUUUUUAUCGGUCACGGAGAUAAUUAAUGUAUCUUUAUAAGGUAAAAAAUAUCCAUUGAAUUUGGUAUAUUUAUUUAAUUCUUUGUAGUUAAUAACCAUGCGAGCUUUUCCUCAUUUAAUUUCUACAUGAUUUCUAACCAUAAAGGCUGGACUACUAUGAGGACUUUUAGAUUUCAAAUAAUCUUAAGUUCUAAUAACUCUUCAAUUUUUUUUAUCAAAUUCUUGUCCAUGUUCUUGCCCAUCUCUCAUAGGCUUAACUCUUAUGAUACCAUUUAGAUCUGUUAAUUCGAUCUUAGCAUAUGUUUAAUCAAUUUCUCAUAAUUGAAUUGGGUUUUCACCAAAAUUUUUAUCAAGUUUUUCUAAAAUUUUUUCAUAGUCUAACAUGAUUUGAAUGAUUUUUAUAGUGUAAUCAACACACUGACUGUGUCGAAAAUGUAAUUUUUGAGUUGUGCGCCUAACAAGGUUAUAAAUUCUCGGGGUAGUAAUGGAAUGAUUACAUGGUGUUUUGAGAGUAAUGGCUUCAUUAGUCAUUAUAUAAAUGAAUUGACGAAGGAAAUUAACUCCUAAAAGUAUAUAUGUUCCCAUAUGAUCAUAAGACCAGAAUAUAGGGAUACUUAAGAUGUAAUCUUCGAUUUGGAUUAAAGUCUUAAUCCUACAAGUCCCUAAGGUGAUCUGUUCAUCAUUUGUUCCUUAUCCUUUUAAAGGCUUAUAAUCUUUCCAAUAUGGUUUUGGAUAAAUCCUAGAACUGGCAAAACUAACUCCUAAACCAGUAUCGAUUAAAGCAUAAAACCAUUCCAGUUUAUGUUUAUAAUAUGGUAUAAUCACUUUUAUAUAAAUUAUAAAAGGAUUAGACAUAUCUUGAUAUGGUUUGCUUAAUUCCUUCAAUUGUUAUACUUAUUUCUCUAUCUCCUGUACAAUAAGGAGAGAAAUUCUAAAGAAAGUUCAUCCCUAAUAAUAAAGGAUUUAUUUCUGUUUCAUAAUAUGGUUCUAUGAAAAAAGGAAAGAUGAAUUUUGUUCCUUUUAUUUUUAAUGGUAUUUUACAAUAUUUUCUUAAUGUCUUUCUUUCUCUAUUAAAUCCUACAUAAGUAUGAGGUUCAAUUAGAAUUUUUCUUUCUAAAUAUUUAAUCAUUUUAGCAUCUACAUAAGAUUUUGUAGCUCAUGUAUCAAGGAUAGCAAAAGUCUCGUGCCAUGAUUUUCCAUUAUUAUAGUCAAUCUUAAUUUUUAGAUUUUGAUUAUUUUUUCUAAUUGUGGCUAAUAUUUCAUGUGAUGGUGGUGUCACAAGAUGACUACAUCUAGUAAAACUUUGGGUUCCUCUGAAUUUUGGUUCUCUUUUGGGUAUAGAGAAUGAUCUUUUAUGUCUUAUAAUGAUUCUUCCUUCUGGAGUAUAUUCUAUAGAUUUAGUAGUAUUUCCUUUAAUCAGAGUAGGUUGACUACUUAGAUUCAUUUUCCAUUCUUAUGAUAAAUAUAUUUCUCUCUGGAUUUCAGGAUAUUUUAUAUUUCUAACUUUACUAAAUAAUUUAUCUAUUUCAAUAAAAUAUUUAUUAGCAAACAUUUCACUAUUUGCUGAAUUUGUUAAUGCAUAUUUUAUGGCAUACAUUAUGCUAUAUGGAUAAGACCCCUCAUGCAUUAUAUCAAAGUAUUUAAAAUCAUGACAUAAGGUUAAUGUUUUAUUUAUAUUUCUAUCCCUAAGACUUAUAGAAUAUUUAGGAUAUAUCUUAAAUAUCAAUUUUUUAUAACUCAAGUUUCCUUGUAUUAUUCUAGGGACUGCAUGUUUUCGAUCUUGUAUUCUAUUAUCUAGUACUGCUAAAAUUAUUGGACUAUCUAUUCCUUCCCGAAAAUGAGCUUUUAUCAUAAACUGAAUUCCUCCAAUAUGAUCAUAUCCAAUUUUGGGUCUAUUGCUAGAUUUUAUCUUACUGAUUUUAUCUUCUAUAUCAGUCUUUAAUAAUAAUGGUAUAUUUGUAUUUCCCUUAGCAUACCUAAUUUCAAUAUGUUCUUCUCACACAGUAGCACUGAAAUACAUAACAUUUUUUCUUUUAAUCAUGGUGGCAAUUCCUAGAGCUAACUUAUUGACUGAAGUCAAGGAUGAUUCUAAUCAUUUUUUUGUUAAUCUUGAGGUAUUGUUUUUUUUUUUUAUCAAAGAUUAAUUCUUUGUUAAAAGAACCUUGUUCUUCUAAUUCUUCAUCUUGAUAUAAAUGCUUAUUAUCUAAUUCUUCUAUACUCAUUCCAAAUAUGAUUUUGAAUCUGAGCUACUUAAAGUUUCUUCAGAAAGAUAAUAUAUGCUAUCACUUUCACUAAUACCUUCACUAUCUGUGAUUAAUUCUAAAUCAUUAAAAUCCUCAAACAUUUUUAUAUUUUCUUUUUUCUUUUUAGGACAUUCAUUUGUAUAAUGCCCUUCUUCAUUACAUAACCACCACUUGCAUUCUUUAACUACAUUGGUUUUAAAUCUUCUUUUAAAUUUAUUUUUCUUGUAGAAUUUCUUCUUAUAUUUAUUUUUCUUGUAAUAUUUCUUGUUGCCUUUAAAGAAUCUCUUCUUUUUGAAUUUAUUCCUAUAUUUAUAAGUUUUAUCUGAACAUCCAAAUCUUGGUGGAUCUUCUAACUUAGAGCAAAACAAUCCUUGAUUUAGCCUUUUCAUAAGUCUGUUAUCUCUUAUUUCAGCACACCAUUCACUCAUUCUAUUUCGAGCAAACCUAAUCUUAUUUCCUAAGGUAUCAGUCUCUGUUGUAUCUUCAUAUUUGUUGUUAUAUUCUAGCAUAAUCCUUUUCUCCCAUGGGUCUGGUAUCCUUAUAAAAUAUAGAUCUUAGUAAUAGCAUAUGCUACUUUCAUCUAAUUCACAUUUAUAAUAUAAUUCUUCAAAGCUACACGUGUAUUCUUCUAAAUAACAUAUAUUACAUAUUUCAAGCCUUGUUAGUUUUAUUACAUUUUCCAUCUUUUUUUCACUUUAUUUCUUAUUGAAAACCAGUUUCUCAAUCUUCUCCUAGGAAUUUUUUUCUUAUUUCAUUUUCAAAUCUAUUUAAAACUUGAUCCAAGCUUUCAUUUUGAUUAUUAUUUUCUCCAUACAAUAUUUUAUUUUUGUUAUUAUCGUUUAGUCCCAUAAACGAAUGUGACACUAUUCCUACAAAUGAAGUUUUAAGGAAUUCUAUACUAUUAUUCCUAUCUAUUUUGUUAAAUACAAAUGCCGUUUUCAUAGAUUUAACCCAAGCGAUAAUCGUUUUAUCUCUAUCUUUGACAUAGUCUAAAUCUAACCAUACUCCAUCAUGGUUGAUUGGUCUCUCUCUAUAUUUUCCUGGAGUUUUAUAAUUUUUUUAGGCUUGUUAACCCUAAAAUAUUGAUGUUGUGAUCUUUCAUGAGCUAGUAUUUCUUCUCUAGUAUAGGAAGCUCUAUUACUAGAUUCUCCUUGUUAAAAAACCGUUGGUUUUGAUUCAUUCAUUUUUAAUUGUUCUAUUCUAUUUUCAAUAUCUCAUAAGUUAAUGAGUACAUCCUCUUCCUCUUCGGAUUUAGAUUCUUCAUUGGAUAUUUCUGGAUUGUAUAAUUCUUUUAAUCCAUUGUCUACAUUUUCACUUAGCAUCCUUAAACUUAUUAAUUUUUUAUCUUAGUUUUUUGUUAAAUAUUGUCUAGAUAUUGCUAUCAUUUCUUUAUCUUUCUUUUCGUUGUAGUAAAUUAUGGUGUCUUGUAAGGUUUUAUUUUUUUUUCUUGAAUUACCAUGAGUAAUUCUUCCAUAUUGUUAUUUAUCUUUUGUAUUUCAAUCCUUUUGUAGUUUUCUAUGAAAAAUUAUUUCUAUACACCUCUCUCCUAAUUCUAAAUAGGAGAAUAGGAUCGAUGUUUAAAUUUCUAUUCUUUAUUAUUUUGAGUUCUCCAAUUCUAAAUUCAUGAGCUCUAGAUAAAUAAAAUUGUUCUAAUUGUUUAUCAUCUAAUAUCUCAAGUUUUGAAUAAUAAUAUUGUUUAUGUUUAGUUAUGUUAUCCUUUAUAGUAUUACUAUCUACCAUUAGAUUAUAUCCCCUAUUAUUAAUAAAAUAAACAAUUGUUUCUUCCAUUUUUAUAUUUUGAACCAAAAAUCUGGUUCUGAUACCGUUUUUGCAGACAAUUUUCAAUCCUAAGAUCCAAGUAAGGAUGUAAAUGAUUAAUCUUUAAAAUCUUAUGAAUAUUUUACAAUUUUGCUUUUUUAAAACACACAGUUUUAUGCUAGGUGUUGUGCAAUCUUUUGUAAAAAUUCAUGAACCAAUACUAUAUUGACUUCUCCUAAAAUGCAUAGGUUUGUUAUGAAAUUCUAAGUGUACAACCCAAAAAGUGGGGUGAAUUGGGUUUUUAAAAAUUUAAGCAAUUAUAACCACACAAAAAUUUCAAUUAAUGUCUUAUUUGAUUCAAUAACAAUAAUUUUAACAAUGAAUAAAGUAAAGAGAUGAGGGAGAAGAGAGCAAACAUGAGAUUUUUACAUGGUUCAGCAAAACCUGCCUACGUUGACGCCUCCAAGCUCACUAUGCUUGAAGAUUUCACUAUCCAAGCAUUACAACCCUAAGGCUUCAAGAUGCUUACAAUUGAUUUCUAAGGUUUCCAUGGACCUUUACAUCCAGAGGUUCUCUCAAACCUCUUAACCAAGUGUUUCUCACACUUACAACCACUUAAUUGUGAUAUUGAAAAAAAGUUACACAAAUUUUCCACUCACACAAUAUAUGUGUUUACAACUAAAAGCCUAGAGUGUGUUUCAAUGAAAGAAUAAAAACAUUUAAGCUCAAGACAGAUUAAACAUGCAAAAGUAAGCUCAAUGCCAAUUUUUGAAUUCGUUAUUGAUUGAAUAUGAUUAAUCCUUUUGAUAGUUGGAGCUGAAAACUAGCCGUUAUUGACUUUCUGCACAAGGUCGGAUCAUCGUUAAUACUUAUCGGACUGCUGUUUUGACUUGAUCAAGUUACCGUUAGGCGAAAAUCUAAAUUUUCGGAUCACCAUUUUCGAGACAUUGAAUUGUUGUUAGUUUCUAGUAACAUUGCGAGAAAAUAGUUGGCUUACCGUUUUCAAAAUGUCAUAUCGUCGUUAGUUUCCAAAUCCAUUCGAUGUCGGUUAGCCAUUUGCUACAUUAACUGCUACAUUGAAACUAUUUUUUAAAAUUAUAUUUUUGCCAUGCUUUCUAUAAUUAUACUGUAGCCCAAAUCUUCAUAAUACUUUACAAAUAGGUCCAUUUUCAGAGUUUCAAAACAUACUUUUUAUUUCCAAAACUUUAUGAAAUUAUACUAUAACCCAAAAAUAUAUAAAAUAUUUCAAAUAGGUUCAUUUCUAGAAUUUUAAAACAAUACUUGUUGAUUUCAAAGUUCUCAAAACUUUUUAAAUUUAGAGCAUUAACUUCAAAAUAACCAAUUUCAUAAAAUCAUUUUUUUCAUUAAGAUUUAUGAAAAAUGACUUGAGCUUUUAAAUGCUUAAGCAUGCAUAUAUUUAAUCAUACUAGCUUUACAAGAAAUGUAACAAGAGAAAUCACCUAAGCUAGUACCUCUAAUGCUUGUUCUUGACUUAGUGAGCUUUUUACCUUCGUCUAUUUGAGUGCCUUGAACUUGAUCACACACACACACACACACACACACACACACACACACACACACAUAUAUAUAUAUAUAUAUAUAUAUAUAUAUAUAUAUAUAUAUAUCAUUUUAUCCUUUUAUCCUUAACACGUGGUUUGUUAUUAUCAAAACCCAAGUUCGUACAACCGCUUAGGCCAACAUGUUACUCCCAAUCAAUUGACUUCUGACAUGACUACUUCCAAAAUGGCUAGUACCAAAAGGGAAUCCUUCUGGGAUGAGAAUUGAAAAACAUGCCUCUUCUAGCACUAAAAUUACUCCUUCCACCUAUAUUUCCACUAUAAUGUCCUUAAAAUCCUCCGGCAUAUCCACCUCUUUUAGUAUUGCCUCCUAUUUGUGCAUGAUAGUAAUUAAUUAUGCCAUAGUUAUUAUGGUUAGCAAAGUUAGCACAAUUUGCAUUGAAUAUGUGUUUUUCAUUAUGACUUUGUUCAAGUCUUGCCUCUUGAGUAAGCAAUAGAGCAUACGCACCAUCAUAAUAUAACUUGCUAGCAGUAAUAAAAGUAGAUAAAUGCAGAUGGCUAGCUCCAAAACUAUUGAGAAUUUGUUAAACAUAUCUUUAUCAGAAAUAGGACUACCAACACAUGUCAAUUUAUCUGCUAUUUAUUUAAUCUUUAAGCAAUACUCUUCUAUGCUUAGUGACUUUUUUUCUCAAAGCAUUCAUCUCAUAUCUCAUUUGAAGAAUCCUACCCUCAUAAUGUUGCCUAAACUUUUUCUGUAAUGUUUUUCAUACAUCAAGUAAGGUGUUAUAAGAAUGAACAAGACCGAGAAUACCUUCAGUGAUAGAGCUGAGUAACUAGCUAAGUAAUGUGUGAUCUUGAGAUCUCCAAACAAUGAACUCAGGAUUUUCAAUCUGUUAAGUAGAUGCAGCAACUGCUCUAGCAUAGCUGAUGAAUCAAUGAAUUGAUUUGGUGCUUCAUUUUCUCUAGUUAUGUAUCCUUCGGUUUCCUCUUAUAAAAGCUAGAACUUGAUUUUGCCACAGCAUGUAAUUUGAUCAAUCGAAUGUGAUUGGAGUGAUGAAACAGAAUGUUGUUUGCAUUGAUUGAUUUGUAGAGAUUGCAAUUGAAUUUGUGCUUACAUUGCUUGAGCUUGCCAUUUUGGCUCAGAUACCAUGAAUAAAUUAUUGGAAGUUGAGUUAUAGUUGCUGUUUAACAGCUGAGAAAAUAGAGGAAAAUUCUCUGGAAAUUCUAAAUGUUUCCUAUUGAGCAAACGAAAGAUUAACAUACUAUAUAUAUACAAGUUUCUAAAUUGUUUCUAGCUAAUUUACAGUACAGCUAAUCAAUAGAUUUGAUCCAAAGUAAAACUAAUUAGUUUCACACAUAAGGAGCACGUGAAUCCAUCAUCGUUGCAUAAUCGAACAUGUUGACUUAGCUGCUGACUUGGCAUUGACAGCUGAUUUGCUUCUUUUUUGUAACUCUGGAUAGUGUGCUUUCUUCACAAGUUUCCCCAAAUCUCCAUUAUGUACAGCUUCUGCAAAAAUUUCCUAACCAAACCAUUUAUUUGUAAUUUCCUCUUGUGUUGGCCCUAUGCCAUCAUCAAGUGGUACCGUGAGAGGAUUUCCAUCUAGAUUACCCUGAUCUUUGUCUGAAUCAUAACUAGUAUGCAUAGUGUUUUCAUCCUCAUCACCCUGCGCAGCCAAAACAAAAUGCUUAACAUUACAUAUACAGUAAAACCUCUCUAUAGUCAUAUUGUUGGGAUUAAACUAAUUUUAUUAAUAUGAAGAUGUUAUAAACUUAAUGGAAAUUCAGUGACAAAUCUAUUGAUUAGCUGUGCUACUUUGAUAAUUAAUUAAUGAAGCAUGUCAAAUCUAAUGCAUUGACAUUGAUAAAAGAGGUAAACAUAUAAUUUAAAAAACUAGUACUUAUAUCUAUCAUCUGUGUAGUAUUGGGAACAUGCAAAGUCUUCUUAUUGAAAAUCUAAAGAAUAAAUUAUUAUCCAAAAUAAUUUCAGAAAAAUAUUAUAUUUCAUCUUAAAUCUUUCAUGUAACAUAGCAAAUUUUUUUUUUUUUUGCUCAAUAUACAUAUUAGUAAUACUGUGUGGAUGCGUGUUCCUUAAGAUAUGCUCUAUAAAAGUUGUUAACUUAUUACAAUGUGAAGUUUGUUCUUAUUUAUAAUUGGCUUAAAGCAGGAAUAAGAUUUUUUGUGACUAUUGGACGUUGUUCUUAUAAAAUGUAUCACUACAGAGAGAUUUUAUUAUAAUUCUAAACCGAGAAAAGAAAGUGUAAUCCUAAUAAAUCACCAUCGAUUAGAGCUAUAAUGAAUUAAGCUUUACAAAGAAGAAGAAGAAAGAUUACAAUGUGAAGGCAACAAGAAUCAUGACAAAGUGAGAAAAAGAGAGGCCACAUAAGCCCCAAGGGAAAUUGAGAUUUUAUAACACAGCCUAAUUGCAGAAAGCAUAGGCGAAAAACAGGUGCUUGAUUGCAAACAUGCACACGCGCGCGCGCACACACAAUUUGACCACAAAGACCGCAUACCUUUGAGAGUUGGUCCUCUGGGGCAUAGGCAUUUUUCGCACGUUUUCGUGCUUCCUCCUUUUAUGGCCACGUAGUUUUCGUAAGCUUGAUCAAGAAACUCCUCCAAUUGUUCAUCAUACCUAACACCAAAAAAAUGUCAUAAGAUCACAAAGGCAUAAGUUGAUAGAUAUAUUUGUCAAGAUAAUGCGACAGAAGAUAUAGGUAGAAAAGAAUUACUUUCUGCAUUCUUUAUCAGAGUCACUGUCACUGGACAAUUGCUCUUGAGUGUCUCUAUCGGGUCUCUCAUCUUCACAGCCCUCUGCAGUAGCAUUCUCAUCAUCAUCAUCAUAUUCAACAGCAGCAAGAUCUUUUUUACCCUAAACCGAUCAUUCAAGUUUAUAAAAGAAUGAGAUACUUGCCUUAGACCACACUUUUGAAUUGGAAAAAACUAAUAAAUCAAAAUUGCAACUAAUAUUGUCCUACCCAGCCAUUUUUCAUUUAUCCUGAUGUCAAGUACACUACAAUCGAUGAGUACCUCAGUCAGUUUGCGUAACCCUUCUCUGUUGAGUUGUAGCUUGCAGGAUAUUGGGAAAUAAAUAAUUGGCUUGUUGCCAUCUUUGGUUUGUAUCUGUAAACAUUAUGGUUGUUGGCCUUACCUUCUUUUGGUUUUCUAUGGAAUUUGUAGCACCAUAUUUUGUCCACUAUGUCAGUACACCAGUGAUUAAACAAAGUAGUCUCAUGUGCUUGAUCUAAAAAUAAUUAUAAAGUCACCAUGUGGUUGAUCUAAAGAUAAUUAUAAAGUCACAAACACAGAAAAAUUAAAAGUAAUUCAUAAACAUUUGUCAUGUGAAAUUUACUUAAUGGAAGAGAAAUUCUAGGAAACAACUUUAUGGUGAGAAAACUCUAAAAAUCAAACCGAAAGAUAUAUAAUAAAUAAUUUUAUAAGAAUUAGGCUAUGUUUCAAAUAAUAUCACAUAUAGUAAAUUUAUGAGUUGUCGCUCAUCAUAACUCAAUUGUUUCACAUAUUGUAAUUCUUUAAUUUUGAAUAACAACAUAUGUUUCAUAAGAUUUAAAAUGGUAUGACUCAUUUUAUAAUAUUUUUAACUGAAUUGAAAUUCUGCAACUAUAAAAAUUGAAAAGAAUGAACUUGGCGGUAUUACGCUUAUAGUAUUGUUUCUUAUGGUGAACCAAAAGCAAGCCAAAAUUACGCUUACAUCAUCUUACUCUACCGUAAAACUUAUUUAUAAUCAUAACGGUAACACUAAAUUAAUUUUAUUACUGUGAGAGUUUAAUAUUUAAUAGAGGUGUAGUUACAAAAAUUAUUAUUUUAACUUAAUUAUUUUUUGUGCAAGUGAUAUAGCGAUAAAAUAUGCACUAUAUUAAUAACUAAUUAAUACAGCAUGUCAAAUUCAAUGUACUAACAAUGAUGAAAAAGAUAGGCAUAGUUUGAAAAAAACUAGUACAUAUAUCUUUAUAGUGCUGGAAUUAUGUAAAAUCAUCUUGAAAGUCUAAAGAAUAAAUGAUUGUACAAAAUAAUUUUAGAAAAAUAUUUUACUUCAUCUUAAACCUUUAACAUAAUAAGGGAUAUAUUUUUUACAAUAUACCGAUAAUUAUUACUAUUAGAGGUAACUUUCUUAAAACCGGAUUUAAAAAAAUUAUAAUUUAUCAUAAUAUAGAGUUUAUUCUUAUUUAUAAUUAUUAGGCUUGAUAAUCGACUGGGUCGUGUUUGGGCCAUGCCAAGCUCUAGCCCAACUAGGGGUGGCAAAACGAAUAAACGAAUCGAAUUUGAAUCGAAUCGUAAACGAAUUGGGUCAAAAUUAUAUGGAUUCGGAUUCGAUUCGUUUAUUAAACGAAUUGAAAUUUCAGGAUUCAGAUUCGAUUCGGUUAUUAAACAAAUAUUCGGUUCAAUUCGUUUAAUUCGUUUAAUAGAAUUGAUAAACGAAUCGAAUCGAAUCCGGAUUCGUUUAUUAUUCGCUUAUCCUUUACGAAUCCAUAACGAAUCGAAUCGAAUCAGGAUUCGUUUACAAUUCAUUUAGAAAAAUAUAAUUAAUAAACAAAAUUAAGCAAAAAAAACACAAAUUUAAUAUCCCACAACAAAAUACAAAUAAUUCAAAUCAUAUUAUACAGUCAUCCAAAUACUAAAUUACAAAUCCUUAAUAUUACAAAUAACAAUAAUUCAAAUUCAAAUUAUAAAGAAAUGUAAUUUCUUUAAUUCUCUUCAUUUGUCUUUGUCGCCUUGAAAACAAAAAUCCUACACCAAAAAGUAAAUAAAAUGUUAUUAACAUGCUGCAAUAUUGAUAAUAGUCAUUGUAAAAUUUCAAAAAUCAAAUAUAUAGCAAAUUUGUAGCAUUUUCAAGAAAAUAAUAAUUAAACAAGAUAAAAACUUUACCUACCACACUCACACACUGUCAUUUGGAUCAUUGGCACUCUCUGCAGAUGGAGCACAAUUAGUGCUCAUGUUCAUAAUGUUUUGAGUAAGUUGGUCCACAGUGACAUCCAAAUUUUCUACAAUAAUUUUAUAAAAAUAAAUCUUAAUUAGAAACAAUUGCACAUAAUAUUAUAAAAGAAAAGUAAAUAAAUUUUAUGAGCAAGUUUUACCAAUCUCUCCAAACUUCCAAUCUCUAGUAGUAAUAAUUGCUUGAACUAUCUCUAGUAGUAAUAAUUACUUGAACUGUCUCUGGCUUCAAUACACUUCAAAAUUGAUCAAGAACUCAACCGCCAAACAACAACAAAACAACAGUAAAACAGCAACAAAAUAGCAGCAAAAUAGUAGUAAAACAACAACAAAAUAUCAGUAAAAUAGCAGUAAAACAACAACAAAAUAGUGGAAAAAUAACAAAAAAAAUGGUAGCGAAACAGCAGCCAAACAACAGCAGUAAAACAGCAGCGAAACAGCAGUAAAACGACAGUAAAAUAGCAGUAAAUCAGCAACAAAACAACAGCAAAACAGUAAUAAAACAGCAACAAAACAGCAACAAAACAACAGCAAAACGGUAAUAAAACAGCAAUAAAAGGCAAAUUUUCAGUGGUGUACCGUGAUGGUGGGUAGUUAGCGCGGCGGGAAGUGGUGCUGGGGAUGAAAACCUUCAAAUUUUAAAAAGCUUUCAAAUAAAUUUAAGGAUAAAAAAGUAAUUUAAUUAAACGAAUAAUAAACUAAUCGACCCGUAUUCGAUUGGUUUAUGACCGAUUUAUUAAACGAAUAAACGAAUCAAAAUUUUCAAACCUGCAUUCGAUUCGUUUAAUUAACGAAUCGAAUCGAAUUCACCCAUUUAUUAAACGAAUCAAUUUUUUCAAACUCAAACCCAUUUAAUUUGCAUCGAAUCGAAUCAAAUAAACGAAUCCUGACCCAUAUUGCCACCCCUGCCCAACCCUAUGAUUAAAAUGAAGGACUCUAAUACUAAAAAGCUUGACCCUUCAAACUAAAGAACAACCUGGCUUUAAUAAUUUUUUUAUAUUUUAUUUUUUUUUUUAAGAAUAUGACUCCUAUUCUUCAUUCUUUAGUAAUAUUAUUAUUAUUAUUAUUGUUCCUUUUUUUUGUUGGAUUUGUUUGUAAGGAAUUUAAUAAAUUAUUUUUUAUUUAACUUAACAACAAUAGAACGUUUAACAAUCUAACAAAAUUAAUAUAUUAACCAAGCAAUAGGUAAAUAAAUCAAAUACAAAAUAACAAAAUUAAUAUGAAAUAGAGAUAAAUAUCCCUAAAGUGUAGUUGUGACCAUCUAUGUGUAUGUGUGUUUAAUAAUAUUUUUAUUUUAAAAAUUAAUUUAAAGAUCAAGAGUUGAGUUAAAACAUUUUGGUAAAACUUUAACCCUAACCCAAAUGUAAUUAGGUCCUGAUUCCUUAAGCCCUAACCCAACGUUUAACCUUUCAAAUUCGAGUCAAAACCAUUAAAAUUAAGAUCGAAUCAAUCAAGUCGAGGGUCGGAUAAAACCUUUUUGUCAUCCUAAAAAUUACCCUAAAUUAAAAUCAAAAUUUUUUAAAAUUAUAUAAAAAUUAUUCUUAUACACAGUAACAAUAUACGACCCAACAAGAAAUGAACCUGGACGCAUUAGGGCUUUGAUCCACAAACAAACUUUCAAAACCCUCUUAGACCUCAAGAGCAUUUUAGUCCAUUUAAUCAAAAGUAAAAGUGCGGCUACCAGCUAACUCUCCGGAAUUGAACUGAACGAGUUUCAGAAAUGGCAUCGAAAAGCAAGAUUCUAUCCAUCGGCGGGACAGGGUAUAUCGGUAAAUUCAUCGUGGAAGCUAGCGUGAAAGCCGGCCACCCGACGUUCGUGCUCGUGAGGGAAUCCACAGUCUCUGGUCCUUCCAAAUCUCAGCUCCUCGACCACUUCAAAAACCUCGGCGUCAAUUUCCUUGUCGUGAGUUAUCAAUUUUUUUUUUCAUUUUUUUAAUUCCAAAUUUUGACACGUGGCGGUGUAGCCUCUACUUGAUAGACUUGGUUUUUUUUUUUAAUUUAAUUUUUGUGGGUGCUGUUAUUAUUAUGCAGGGAGAUGUUUUGAAUCACGAGAGUUUGGUGAAGGCGAUAAAACAAGUGGACGUGGUGAUAUCAACAGUUGGUCACACUUUAAUAGCCGAUCAGGUCAAGAUUAUUGCUGCCAUUAAAGAAGCCGGUAACGUUAAGGUAUGACAUAAUUAAUGUAAAUGUCUUAGAUUCCGAUCAGGAUUGUGCACUCGUGCACACGUGGUGAUUUAUUCUUCGUGUGGAGCUCGCUGUAGAGUAGAGCUCCCAGUUCCGCUAAUAAACACCCGUCACAUGCGCAAUUGCGCCUCAAAAUAAUUUAAUUAAUUAAUUAGGUAUAAACACCGAUGGCAUGAAAGCAAUUAAAAUUAGUUGAUGUUUAUAAAUUAUUUAUUACUCAGAGAUUCUUCCCAUCGGAAUUUGGAAAUGAUGUUGAUCGAGUCCAUGGCGCCGUGGAGCCAACAAAAUCGACGUAUGACGUAAAGGCGAACAUCCGCCGAGCCGUUGAGGCAGAAGGCAUUCCGUACACGUACGUAGAAUCUUAUUUUUUUGAUGGCUACUUCCUCCCUAAUUUGUUGCAGCCUGGGGCCACUGCCCCCCCUAGGGAUAAGGUUGUCAUCUUCGGCGAUGGAAAUCCAAAAGGUAACAUAAUUUAAUUAAGCUCUGUUUGUUUGGUAUGUAUUUCGGUGUUAAUGUUAUUGUCUGUUGUACAAUGGAUGGUCUUGCUUGGUACUGUUGUUGGAGAGCUGCAGUGUUUUGAUAAACACCUCUAUCCUUAGCUUUCAAGUUAAGUUGAUUUUAUACAACACUUGUUUAAUUAAAAACUUGUAAUAUUCUUACUACUUUGAUAAAAAAAAUAUUACGAUUAAAGUAUUAAUGGCACCAUAAUACGAAGUGAAUCUUAAGUGGUCAUUAUAGAUUUUAAGAUAGAGUUUUAAGUGAUUACCAGAUACUUUAGCUGCUGAACCGCCACAUCAUGGUUGCCACACAACAAUUUCAAACAGAGCCUAAAUAACUUCAUUGCAAAACAGUUAAAUGAAUCUAACUUAGUUUCGUCGUUUGAUUUUCAGCUGUUUUUAACAAGGAAGAUGAUAUUGGAACCUACACUAUCAAAGCGGUUGAUGAUCCGAGAACCUUGAACAAAAACUUUUACAUUCAGCCUCCCGGUAAUAUUUACUCAUUCAAUGAUCUUGUGUCUCUGUGGGAGAGAAAGAUUGGUAAAACCCUCGAAAAGGAGUAUGUUUCAGAGGAGCAGCUCCUAAAGAAUAUUCAAGGUUGGUUAAAACUCUCUUUUUUAAAUGUAUUAAAGAGAGCCGUAUAUUCUCUGCCGUAAAUGUUAUUGAUCCUGUCUUCUCCAAAAUGUUGCAGAAGCUGCAUCUCCACACAAUUUUAUAUUAUCAAUUUAUCACUCUGCUUUCGUGAAGGGAGUUCAAACUAACUUCAAGAUUGAACCAUCUUUUGGAGUUGAAGCCUCGCAGCUUUAUCCUGAUGUCAAGUACACUACAGUUGAUGAGUACCUCAAUCAGUUUGUGUAACCCUUCUCUGUUUCCAGCUGCAGCUUGCAGGAUCUUGGACUGUUGGUAAAUAAAUAAUUGGCUUGUUGCCAUCUUUGGUUUUAUAUGUAAAAAUUAUGGUUGUUGGCCUUACUUUCUUCUGGUUGUCCAUGGAAUUUGUUAGACCAUAUUAUGUUUGCUAUGUCAGUGAUCAAAUGAAGUAGGCCAUGUACUUGAUUUGAGAGUAGUAGUUAUAAAGCCAUCAUGAUCAGGUGGGUGCGUAGGUUGGGCUUCUAUUAGGGUGCGUGUGUUGGGCUUCAGGGGCUUGUGAUAUGGGUUCGACAGCCCCUAACGGGCAGUCAUUAUAAAAAUAAUUAUAGAGUUACAAAUCUAUGUAAAAAGCAAAAAUUAAAAGUAAUUUAUCAAUAAAAAUAAUUAAAAUUAAUAAAAAGUAGGUAUGAUAAUUCAGAAAUUAAAUUAAAGAUAGAAUUCUAAAGAGUUGGAUAAUCCUCCAACUAAACUAAAGAUCUAGUACUUUUGAGAGCAAAUUUAAUUAAAGAAAAGGAUAAGGAAAAACAAUAGAAUAAUAAUAUUAAAAAAUUGCAAAUCUUGGUCUUUUUUUUUUACGAUGAUGUUGAAUUCUUAUAAAUUUAAUCUUAUCUAUAGAAUUAUUUAGUUACUGUAUGUCAAAAUUUCCUAUAAAGAUGAAGAAAAAUUAUAUUAGGAGAAGAUCCAAAUCCGUUUAACUGAUGCAUCAUCGACAACAUGAGUACAACAUUUUCGAAUAAACAAAAGAAACUCGUUUUAUGUGUGAACCAGUUCCAAAAUAAAGAGCAGACUAUUGGAAGGAGACAAAUACUACAAGAAGAACAAAACAUUCUACAAUUCCUACAUGAGCCCGCAACAAUUAAUUAUUAACUCGACAUUCAUUACACUUUUUCUUUAAUUUGACAAAGAAACCAAAAAUAAGAUAAAAUUGACUAAGAAAUAAAAAAAUGACAAAAAUCUUUUUGAAGUUUUGCCAGUUCAGCCAUGCACGCUUAUCUUUAUUCACUUGUUUCCUUUCUUUCCUUUCUUUCCUUUCUUUCCUUUCUUUGCUGAAGCCUUCACAGAUCCUUUACCUUUCUGAGCCUUGCCAAUUUUCCCCUUCUUCAAACCACCUGGCCUUGCUGGAUCCACGUGUCCUUGCAUCCUUUUUCAUUCGUGGAUCAACAAGAAUCUCCCCCUUUCCAGCUCUCUCUUGAACUCCUUGCUUUGCGACCAUGUAUUCUUUGGUAGGCCUUUUGGGUAUAGUUGUCUUGUAUAAUUGUUCAAUUUGAUUCCUCUUCGAACGAUCAGAGAUGUCCGCUUAGUCUGAUAUGACAUUUGCCUUCUUGCGAACCUUCUCAAGAUUUCGCAUGGCAACCCGUAUCUUUCGAGCUUUGGUCUUAGCCACCUUCUUGGCAGUAUGGGUGGGCGAUUCGAUUUUGGGAUAAACUUUUGGUUUCGUAUCGGUUUAGAUUAAAAAAUAAUAUAAAAAAAUAUUUAGAUUUUAAGGGAAAAAAUCCGAACCGAGACUCACCUAUCGAUUUUGGCUCGGUUUCAGUUCAGUUUUGAUUCUCCUAAUAGUUUUAUUUUGCCUUAUUGACUUCCGGUCAAUGACACUUUUGAAAAAUUUACAAAAAAAAAAAAAAUGGCCAUAACAAAAUUUCUAAAUGCAAAUAUUUCCUAAACAUUAGGCUAUACUAAAUUUUUUUAAAAGGUAGGGAUCCAAACGAUAUUAUCCCUCUACUUCAUCUUCAACCUUCGUCACUAGGGAUGGCAAAAUUCAGGUUCGGGUUCGGGUCCGGGUUUAGCCAUUCGGGAUCCGGACCCGGAUGAAUAUUUUCUGUAUCGGACCCGAAAAUAAACCCGCAUUUUUCCACUCCGAGUCUGGUACGGGUUCAACCCGAAAAAAUUCGGGUUCCCAGACUGCGGGUUUCCAACCCGAAUUGAUGAAUCCAAUUGAAAAAAAAAAACUAAAUUCAACUAAAAAAAUCAAAUAGAAAUACAUAUCCAGGAUUUUAGCAAAUCAAAGAAAAAUUAUUUCAUCUGGAAACUAAUUAACAAAAACAACAAUUUUGUUUGGCUGCCCAGAAUCAGCAACCCAAUGUGGCGGCUCGUUCAAAACAUUAGUGUUUUCAACAGAUUUUGGGGUAGGAAAAGCCAAACCUAUCUAGAACAAUGAAUUUGUAUUUUUGGGGGAGAUGAGAUACCUCACUGGUUUGUUGUGUGCGGUGCAGUGUAUCUGAAAUUUGGGGGAUGUGAGAAGGGGAGAGGGAGUGGUAACAAUGGUGAAAGGUCAAAACCAAUAGAGAUGUCCUUCAAAAUGAGCUUCACACCUGUAAAACAGUGAAAUAAAGGUUAGAGGUGAAGCCGGGAUACCCCGGUGUUCACACUCCGAUGCUCAAGUUAGCAAACUCAAGCUUUUAUGACAAAGAGAACUGGCUAGCCCUCUGUAAAUUAGGGUUUAAGGUUCAAGGAAACCUAUUUUUUGGAAUGUGAGUGUUAAUGGUGAGUGAGAGACCUCUUCGAGAAUGAAACAUAGGCGCCUUUAUAUAUGGAGUACCUCAGCUGCCACAUGACGUACCCUUUUUUGGCUAACGUCAUUUUUCCUUUUUAUGAUUUUUGGGUCGUUAUGUGCAUGUUCGCGGGGUAUCUCAUCUUUUGGAAACGUGGCGCGCGCUGGAGAGUGGUCCAGGGUACCUCUGCAGUAGCUGUCGGGUAGGCAGCUGAAGACCACUGUCCUUGGGACAAUGUCCUUCACUUUUGGUAAAGGUGACAGGCGGUUGUCCCCCUUUUUAACACGACAUUUUUUAUUCCUAAUUAUGACAAAAUCGAAUAAUAUCUUUUAAGAGAUGGAGACGUUUCUCAUGGUGGAUAUUUUCAGAGGAUUCUCUUGCAUCUGAUCAGCCGGGUUCCUCCAGUUAUGCAGGGUACCUCUAAUUUUACGGGGUACCUCUAUUUGCGCAGGGUACCUUGAAUCAUGCUAGGUACCUUAGAUUAUGCGGGGUACCUCAUAUUGUGUGGGGUACCUCUAAUUGUGCGGGAUACCUCUAUUUGCGCUAGGUACCUUGAAUCAUGCUGGGUACCUCAGAUUGUGCGGGGUACCUCUAUUUGUGCAGGGUACCUUGAAUCAUGCUGGGCACCUCAGAUUGUGCGGGGUACCUUUAGUCAUGCGAGGUACUUUUAAUCAGGCCAGGUACCCUCUAAUUGUGCUGAGUACCUCUAAUCAUGCAGGGUACCUCUAAUCAUGCGGGGUACCUCUAAUCAGGCCGGGUACCUCAGAUUGUGCGGGGUACCUCUAUUUGCGCAGGGUACCUUGAAUCAUGCCGGGUAUCUCAGAUUGUGCGGGGUACCUCAAAUUGUGUGGGGUACCUCUAAUCGUGCGGGGUACCUCUAAUCAUGUCGGGUACCUCGGAUUGCACUGAAAUUAUUCCAUUCGUUGACACGUGGCGUUAUGCUAUCUUUCUUAUUUUUCCCCCAAACAACAUCCCUCUAGUUUCUUUUGGCAAGAAGUUUUGGAGGCAAAAGAAACUUACAUAAAAAGUAGGAGCGACACGUGGCGAUAUGAUGUUUAGCUCGAUGGAUAACUAAAUAGAGGGCGCCUCUAGGGGUACCCUGAGAACCCAAAAAGGGAAGAUGGGCUCCAUUUCCUCGGAAAUGGCUACCACUUUGGACAUGUUGGAAAUGAUAGAGCUAAUUGAUCAAAAAAAUUUCAUCUAUUUCUGGGGAAGAACACCAAAUACGGGUAGAGGGUAUCGUUAGGGUACCCCACCAUUAUCCAUAGUUUGUUUUCUAGUGACUGCCAUGUAUAAAUCGCUCUGGUGAAGGCUUCAAUACAUUCUUUGGGCAUUUAAGAAGCAAUUAUUUGAUUAUCUCGGGAUCCACCUUAUUUAAGGGUAUAUUUCCUUCAUGUGCUUCGAAGAAAAAAAUAAAAUCACAGGGCCUUCUUCCUUGUAACUUCAGAGGUACCAUCGACAGAAGAACAUAGUCGACAAUGCUUUUAAGCGUAUCAUGAUCGAGGAAUGGAGUGCUGAUCUGGGGUUGGUGGUGCCAAGAGUGGAGAAGAUGGUAGAUGAACCGGCUAUCUUGAAGGCGAUUAAUGAUAGCGGGGCUCCCAACACAUCUUGGUCUGAAAGCCCAUUGAGAUCAGCUGAGGUACCUCAGAUGAGGUAUCUAUAAGGUACCCCUGAUACUAACCCUUGUGUUUUUGCUACUUUUAGCACUUUAUUGAUCCCUUCAUCCUAAGGGAUGAAGUUGAAGAUAAAUAUCCUGUUGUAUAACCUUGUUCGACAUUACUGACAAGAUGUAUGGGGUACCUUGUUAGCCUAUAUGGCUAUAAAUAUUGAUUUUGAUGAUAACAAACCACAUGUAUUUAUUGAGUAAAGAUUUAUGAAUUGUGCUUUUAUAAUGAGAAAAUGAUGUUAUGGAAUUAAAUCUUUUUGAACUAAAAUGAAAGUAAUUUUAAAAUCUUUGAUAGUAUUUUAAAUUUCGGAUUUGUACAUAUUUGAAACUAUUUAAAUGUUUUUAGGUCAUUUUGUAAUUUCACAAAGUUUGGGCGAAGUCAUAAUUUCAUAAAGUUGUGGGAUUGAGAAAGCAUUAUCUAAAAUUAUGAAAUUGGACAUAUUUGCAAACGUUUAUAACGUUUUGGGCCAUACCACAGUUUUAUAAAGUUUUAGGGUCAAAUUGAAAAUAUUAGAAAAUUUUCACUGUAGCAGGUUACUGUAGCAAGCAGCUUACCGGAUUCAGAAAAUCAGAAAUCCGGAUUCGAGGCAGUAAGCAUCCAGAACCAAAACGGCUUACCGGAUUCCUGAAUCCGGCAAACCGGUUAGGCAAAAUUUUGAAUUUUGCCUUAACGGUAACAUAAAUCCGGCUUACCGAAUUCUAUAAAAUGGCAAACUGGAUAGCCUAGAAUGUGAGUAACGGCUAGUUUUCGAGCUCAAGCUAUAAGAACUCAAAUCCAACUCAUUUUGAAGCUCUCCAACAAGCAAGAACAAAAAGCACACGUGAUAUCUUGAGCCUUCAACUUGUAAAACACAAUUCAUUGAAUCAUUCAUUGUUCUUCAUCUUUGAAUAUCUACUCAUUGAGUGAGUUUCAUUGUAUCUUUCAUUUCUUCAAUUCAUUUGUAAGAGUUUGAGUGUGUGAGACACUUGAGUGAAGAGAUUGGGAGAUAAUCUCUUUGUUGUAAAGGUUUAUUGACACCUCGAAGUCAAUUGUAAUCGUUGAAGCCUUGGAAAGGCUUGGAUAGUGAAAUCCUCGAGCUUGGAUCGCUUGGAGGCGUGGACGUAGGCGGGGAUUACCGAACCACGUAAAAAUUCGUGUGUUUGUUUCUCUUCUCCCUUACUCUUUAAUUAUUGUACCAUUAUUGAACUUAUUACUUUCAAUUAUUGUUAAGACAUUAGAUUGCUUGUUGUGUGGAUUUGUUAGGAUAAUUUUUAAAAAUCCAAUUCACCCCCCUCUUGGGUUGCACACUUGUAUUUCAUACCUCAUGUACCCUAAUGCUUGGAUAUCCCUUGAGCUAUCUGUUACUUCAUGGCGGAAUAACCCAAUUGCAUCAAACAUAUGGCGAUUCUUCCAGAUAUGCUUGUCGCUUAUCUUAAGCUUUCUUAGGGUUCCUCCUGGUGUAUCUGAGGAAUAGCUUUCUGGCGUGGGGUACCCUUAAUCAGCGUAUGGUGAUUUUCAUAGAAAUGCUUGCCGCAAAUCUUCACAAAACUUGUUGCGGUUGCUUUUGAGAGAUUGUGCGGGGUACCUUGAAUCAUGCCGGGUAUCUCAGAUUGUGCGGGGUACCUCAAAUUGUAUGGGGUACCUCUAAUCGUGCGGGGUACCUCUAAUCAUGUCGGGUACCUCGGAUUGCAGUGAAGUUAUUCCAUUCGUUGACACGUGGCGUUCUGCUAUCUUUCCUAUUUUCCCCCAAACAAUUAGUAAAGAGAGCUAAAGAACUAGCUUUAGUUACGAGCAGAAAAUCAGAAGUCAAGGAGCAGCCAAAGCACUUUUAAUGGUGAUGGUAAAACUAGAGAGGUAAUGCAAAUAAGUUUACGUUGAUUGGAUAUUCAGAAGAAGUAAUACGCCAUUAAAAGCAACAAGUUUUCCAAAAAGCCAACAAAGACAGAGACCACCACACCACCCCGCACUGGAUGAAAAACGAUGAAAGCAUGAUAAGUGGCAUCGAGUAAGCCACGUUCUCUCUCUCUCUCUCUCUCACUCGCACUCGCACUCGCACUCGCACACACUGUUACUAAAAUGACCAAAAAUAAGAUUCCCAUCAAAAUAUUUUCGAGUAUCGUUCUUGAAAGUGGCGGCGGCUGAUGAUGAUGAACACAGCCGCGAUUGCGAUUGGCGAAGGCGGCGUUCUGCCCGUAUCACAGCUAGUUAUCGGUCGCGGCAGAAAAGAUAAUGAAACGACGGCUGAUGAUGAUGAUGAUGAUGUUGAACAGCCGCGAAUAUGGGUAAGUGAUGCGACGAUGAUUUGAUUUGAUGAAGAUGAGCUGAACAUGGAAUAAGAGAGGAAAUGUUUGUGCGGCUGGGAAAGUGUAAUGAACUGCUAGGGCACCAUUUGGGUUUUUUUGCUUUCCUAUUUAUAUUAAAAAUAAUUUUUAAAAAUUAAUAUAUAUCCGGGUUCGGGUUUUGGAUGUACGGGUUUACCUAGACCCGGACACAUGCGGAUUCAGCAGCACCGACCACCCACAGACUUGGAUUUGAUUACAAAGUUGGGACUUAGGAUUUGGGUUUGUGGCUGCCGAAACAGAAAGUGAGAGAGUAGAAAGUAGAGACUGAGAGUGGUGCAAACAUGUGUAAUUUUGUGUGUGUGUCUAUAUAUAUAUAAUGUGAAAUUACAAAAAUGCCAUUAUAUCAGUUCAAUUCGAAUUUUGUAACUUGUGAUCCGAAAACUGAACCAAACCGAACCAUUUGGUUUGGUAUUUAUAUAUUCAGGUUUUUAAUUUAAAAAAACUAAAUUGAAAUUGAAAGAACUAAACCGAACCGAAUUUUUUUUUUUUUUGUUUCGAUUCAAUUAUGCCCAUCCCUACUUAGUAGGCUGGGUAUCAAUUUCUUUGAAUUGUGCUUUCAUUGCAGUAAUCUCCUCCUUGGUAAUAGGUUUAAUUGCUUGCUGAUGCCACCUUUCCUCUAGUAACAACUAGUCUAACAAGCCAUCAUCGUCAAACAUGUACCUAUUAUAAGCAUCAUCCAGAAUUUGCUCUCUUUGCUUUUUGCUUAGUGUCUUCUUUGCACAAGCUAUUAUCUUAGCUUUUGUAUCAAUAUCUUUAUCUUUUGAUUCACCAGAGGAUGAAUCAUCACCGGAAUAGAGUGGUGAAGGCCCCAUAGAUUAGUGUGAUCAAGUUCUAGUGUAGUUUUGGUUUUGAUUUCAGUAUUAGGAAAAUGAAGCCUAUGAAAUUUACCAAGCUAACAUGCUUCACAAAAGUGCUUUAAUACUUGACUAUGAAUACUUGAAGAGGAUAAAUGAGGAUAAAUAAAUUUAAAUAUACAUUAGAUUUUGAGGGUUGGGAUGUCAAAACUUUUGGUGAAAAAGAGUUAGUACAAGCAUUUUUAUUGAGAUUGAAAACAUUUCUUAAGAUGAUCAAUACUAGUUACAAAAUUGGAAUGAAAAAAAAAAGGCAACAUAGACAAAGGUUUGUUUAUUUGAUUGUAAGAUAGAAAAGACUUGUAUUUAGGUUGUGGAAAGGAUUUGAGCAGCAAUUUAUACAACCUUUUCUCAGCAAAACCUUCCUCUUCAAUGAAUCCUUCACAAAACAAAUAGAUCCAAGAAAUUCGACAAAUAAAUUGUUGUCAAUGGUAAGUUUUGAAAUGCUCAAUAGAUUCUUUGUAAUGGAUGGAACAAACAGUACAUCCUUAAGUAAAAUAUGUCUUAUAUUAUCUUUUUUUAAUUCUUUUUAAAAAAAUAAGUGAAUAAUAGUAUGUCAAUCUCAAAUAUCAAUAUGUACAAUUUUUAUUUGUGUAAGAAUUUGCAUCCAAUAAUCAUCAAUACAUAAUUGUCUUUUAAUUGAAUGGUUCUCACCUCCCUUCCAAACUUUGAAAAGGUAAAAUAAGAUCAAUCAUGUCAGUGGCAAUUAAUAUAAAGAUUACUUUUCUUAUUUGUAGUAACGUCCUCUGAUUAUUUAGCUGAUUUUCAAGCUACACAUUUAUUCCAUUUGAUGUUGAUAUUAGUAAAAUUAAUGUAAUAUUUAAAAAGGAAAAAAAUCCGUCGAGCUAAAAGCCGAGUAUAAAAUUGAACCAGACCCAAACCAGAAACGCACGCCAACAACAUGUUUGCGUCAGUCGGCCCAUGCCCAUAAACCCACCAAGCCCGAUCCAAAUAGAAAAAUGAAUUGGACACCCGAGAUAGCAGAAACAGAUAAGUAACGGUCGUGCUAUCCCCAAUCUCAUAUCUUCAACGGUAUCCAGCCAACAUCUCAAAGUGUUCAAUUUUUUUUUAAGCCAAAAAAAAAUUCAAAAUUUUCAAGCGGAAUCUGGGAAGAUAGCGAUGAAAAGCAAGAUUCUGGUUAUCGGCGGAACCGGAUACAUCGGUAAGUACUUAAGGUGCGUUUGAAAUUGAGGUUGAGCAACUAUAACUUUAAAACUGCAGCACUAAAAUAUUUGGUAAACACUAAUUGUUGUAACUUAAAAGCUAUUUAAUAUAAUUUUUCACUUGUAUAAUAAAAAAUUUAUUAUCUUUAAUAAUUUUGUCAAAAUUAUUAUUUAAAAUAUAUACAGUAAGAGAGAUUGUAACAUUUUCAAUCUUUGGUUUGAUAUUCUGGAAGAAAACGAUUUGCCGUUUAUGGAGAAAACUGCUAACCGUUUAAUUUCAGAGAGCAUGUUUUCUAUUCUAGAGAAAACGGCUAACCGUUUGGAGAAAACGGCUAACCGUUUGGAGAAAAUGGCUAACCGUUUGGAGAAAACGGCUAACCGUUUAAUUCCAGAGAGCAUGUUUUCUGUUCUAGAGAAAAUGACUAACCGUUUGGAUAAAACGGCCAACCAUUAAUUACAGAGAGCAACUUAUUUGACAUUCUGGAAUAAAACGGCUCACCGUUAUUGAGAAAACGGCUAACCGUUUAUUUCCAGAGAGCGUGUUUUUGCGUCAACUGGAAAAACGGUUAGCAAGCUUAGAAAUUUCAAUUGUCAAUCGAUGCAAACUCAAACCAAAAGAGUGUUUUUUUGAAGAAGUACUAUUUUUAAUGGUUGUAUUCUUUCAAAUAAACAUCUUCUUUAUUAAAGAUAGACAAACUAUUAUAUCAUAAUUAGAUUUUGCAGGUUUCAUAUAUGUUCUGGAAAUACAAUCUUAUUUUUUAGAGAUUGUAUUCAGGAUUUGAUAUAUCUUAGGGGUAAUUUGCCAUUAAAACUCUAUAGCAAACCAAGAUUGGUGAGGGUAAAUAAAACCUUAAAGAAAAAUGUGCAAACACGUCUCAAAUCCUAAGAAAUUUUCUUUGUUCUUUGCCUCCAUAUUCUUAAAAUUUGAAAAUUCACCCAUCAAUCUUUAAGGUUUUAUUUUGAUGCAAAUAGAGGCUGAGAAGAGUUUGACGUCAUUUCUUAAUCCUAGUGUCCAUCUCGAUCGUUUUGAUGGAACAAAUUUCACUCGUUGGAAGGAAAAAUUGUUCUUUCUUCUUACUGUUCUUAAAGUGGCAUAUGUUCUUAAUCCGAAAUUGGAACCAUUUCCAGAACCAAGGGAAGAUGAUACCGAAGUUGUUAAGGCUGUAAGGAAACGUCGUGAAGAUGAUGAAUUGAUGUGCCGGGGUCACAUACUCAAUACGCGUUCUGACAGGUUAUAUGAUCUCUACAAUUUUAUGACUUCUUCGAUGGAAAUUUGGAAUGCUCUUGAGUACAAAUACAAAACGGAGAAAGAAGGUACUGACAAAUUCCUUGUCUCUAAAUAUUUUGAAUUUAUUAUGGUAGACACACAAUCCAUUCUUGAUCAAAUACAUGAGUUAUAAAUUAUUGUUGCUAAGCUUCGAGAGUUAAAAGUUAAAAUUUCUGAAUCAUUUCAAGUUGGGACUAUUAUUGCUAAAUUGCCUCAAAGUUGGAAUGAUUAUAGAAAGAAACUCCUUCAUAGUAAAGAGAACAUAACUUUAGAAGAAUUGCAAAAACACUUGGUAAUUGAAGAAGAGACUAGGUCUCGCGAAUCCAAGGAUAAACAUGAUUCUACUAAAGUUAAUGUUCUUGAAGCUAGUAAAUUCUCAAAGAAUUUUAAAGUCAAGAAUGACAAGAAAUUUAAGAGGUCCAGCACACAAAAGUUUUCUGGAAAUUGUUUCUUUUGUGGUAAGAAAGGUCAUCGCCAAAGUGAUUGCAGAUUCAAGAAAAAAAAAGAAGAAGUGAAUUCCUAUAAAGCUAAUGUUAUUGAAAACAAAUCUGAAAAGAUUUGUGCUAUGGUUUCUGAAAUACAAAUUGGCAUGAUUAUCGAAACCAAUAUGGCUGAAACUAAGUCCUAUGAUUGGUGGCUCGAUUCGGGUACAACAAUUCAUGUUUGUAAUGAUAAGAAAUUUUUAUUAUCAUACAAAGAAGAAACGGAAGGACAAAUGGUUCUCAUGGGGAACAAUAAUGCAGCCAUAGUAGCAGGGAAAUGAGUAGUUGAGAUCAACUUCACUUCUAGAAAGAAAGUCACAUUGUAUAAUGUCUUUCAUGUACCUUCCGUUAGGAAGAAUCUUAUUUCUGCUAGUUGUAUGUGUAAGCAUGGGCUUAAGAUUGUGCUUGAGGGUAAUACUUGUAUUAUCUCAAAGAAUGAAUUAUUUGUUGGGAAAGGGUAUUCUUGUGAUGGAAUGUACAAACUCAACAUUAAUAAUAAUAAUAUCAACUUAGCUUAUAUUGUUGAGUCUUGUGAUGUUUGGCAUGCUAAAUUAGCACAUUUGAAUUUUAGAUCUUUGAAAUACAUGUCUGAGCAUGGUUUGAUUAAUUGCAAUGAUGUUAAAGGUCAUAAGUGUGAAAUCUGCAUCCAAGCUAAAUUAACUAAGAAACAUUUUCUUAAAGCCGAACGAAAUACUCAAAUAUUGGAUUUAAUAUAUACCGAUAUUUGUGAGUAUAAUGGCGUUUUAACAAGAGGAGGUAAGAAGUACUUUAUCCCUUUUAUUGAUGAUUGUUCUAGAUACACUUAUAUGUAUUUACUUAGAACAAAAAAUGAAGCUUUUGAUAAAUUUAAAAUUUUCAAAGCUGAAGUUGAGAACCAAAAAGAUAAGAAAAUCAAAAUGGUUCGUAGUGAUAGAGGUGGUGAAUAUUUCUCAAUUGAAUUUAAUAAUUAUUGUGAAGAAUUUGGAAUUAUUCACCAAAGAUCAGCUCCAUUUACUCCUCAACAAAGUGGUUUGGCUGAAAGAAAGAAUAGGAUCUUCACGGAUAUGAUAAAUUCCAUGAUCCAUAAUGCAAAACUACCAAAUAAUUUGUGGGGGGAAGCAUUACUCACUGCAUGUCAUAUUCAUAACAGAAUUACAUCUUUGAAAACACAUAUAUCUCUUUAUGAAAUUUGGAAAGGAAGAAAACCAAACUUGAUGUAUUUAAGGGUCUAGGGUUGUUUAGCUUUUUAUAAAAUACAUGAUCCUAAAUCAUCAAAGUUAAGUGCUAGAUGUAUAAAGAGUGUUUUCGUAGGAUAUGCUGAAAAUUCUAAGGCUUAUAGGUUGUUAGAUUUAGAUUAUAAUGUGAUUGUGGAAUCUAGAGAUGUUGAAUUUAUUGAGAAUAAAUUUCAACAUGAUUCUAAUAUUGAAUUAGAAUCAAUUAUUGAUCAACCAUGUGUUAAUACUCCUGUUACCUCCACUAACAAUAAUAAAAGGAAAGAGUCUAUGACAUCUUUCGAACCAAUGAGGAGUCAACGUGAAAAGAAAGAAAAGAGUUUAGCUCCGGAUUUUAUUUCAUCACAAGCACUACUCUUCUUGGUUGAAGGGGAUAGAAAGAAUGUACUUAACAAAGUACCAUUAUUGUUAAAUAUUGAAAAAGAUCCAAAGACAUUUAGCGAAGCUAUGUCUUCUAGAGACGCUUCUUUUUAGAGAGAGGCGGUAAAUGAUGAAAUUGAUUCGAUUAUUUCGAAUCAAACAUGGGUCUUGGUUGAUCUUCCUCCAGGAUCUAAACCAAUUAGCAGCAAAUGGGUAUUUAGAAGAAAGUACAAUAGUGAUGGUUCUUUGCACACUUUUAAGGCUAGAUUAGUAGCCAAAGGGUUUAAGCAAAGAAAUGGUAUUGAUUAUUUCGAUACAUAUGCUUCGGUAGCAAGGUUAACUUCUAUAAGAGUGCUAUUUGCAAUUGCUUCAUUGAACAAUUUGUAUGUGCAUCUAAUGGAUGUUAAAACCGCUUUUCUUAAUGGUGAUCUUGAUGAAGAAAUCUAUAUGGAACAACCUGAGGGAUUUGUUUUACCAGGAAAUGAGAAAAAAGGUAUGCAAAUUAGUCAAAUCACUUUAUGGUUUAAAGCAAGCACCAAAACAAUGGCAUGAGAAGUUUGAUUCGGUAAUUUUAUCUCAUGGUUUUAAGCAUAAUAAUGCUGAUAAAUGUAUAUAUUUUAAAUUUACGAAUGAUUUUGGUGUGAUUAUAUGCUUGUAUGUUGAUGACUUGCUUAUCUUUGGGACAAAUAUGCAAGGAGUAGAUGAUACAAAGAAGUAUUUAACUUCACAAUUUAAGAUAAAAGAUCUUGGUGAAGUAGAUACUAUCUUAGGUGUCAAAGUGAAGAAACAUAGUGAGGGUUACUCGUUGUGUCAAUCUCAUUAUAUAGAGAAAGUGCUUCUUAAAUUCAAUUAUUUGAAAUUUAAAGAAGCUAAUACCCCAUAUGAUUCUAGUAUUAAAUUAUUAGAGAAUUCAGGCCGAGUAGUAGCACAACUAGAAUAUGCUAGUGCUAUUGGUAGCUUGAUGUAUGCUAUGCAUUGUACGAGGCCUGAUAUAGCAUUUGCAGUUUGCAAAAUGUCAAGAUUCACGAGUAACCCUAGUGUUGAACACUGGAAAGCAAUUGGUAGAAUACUUGGUUAUCUUAAAAGGACCAUUCAUUUGGGUUUAUUUUAUAAUGAUUAUCCUGAAGUACUGGAAGGAUAUUCAGAUGCUAGUUGGGUAACCAAUACAAGAGAUAAUAAAUCCACUUCUGGUUGGAUUUUUACAAUUGUUGGAGGAGCAGUUUCCUGGGCUUCAAAGAAACAAACGUACAUAACUCAUUCAACAAUGGAAAGUGAGUUUAUAGCACUCGCAGUUGCAAGCAAGGAAGUAGAAUGACUGAGAAAUUUGUUGUUUGAUAUAAUGUUAUGGCCACAACCGAUGCCAUAUAUUUCUUUGUACUGCGAUAGUGAAGCUACAUUGUCUAGAGCUUAUAAUAAAGUGUAUAAUGGAAAGUCUAGACAUAUUAGCUUGAGACAUGAAUAUGUGAAACAAUUAAUAGCAGAUGGUGUUAUUAAUAUUGUUUAUGUUAGGACUAAUAAGAACCUAGCGGAUCCUUUAAUAAAAGGUCUUACAAGAGACUUAGUUAAGGAUACAUCUUUUGGAAUGGGAUUGAAACCUUUAAAUAAUAAAGUCACCAACGACGAUAACCCAACUAUGUAGUAGUUGUACCGCUACUCCAUAGUUAAAUGGAUAAUAACAAGUUGUUGUUAUGUGACUGGUUUGGCACCGAGUAAUAAAUAAUCACAUUCGAGAUAUUCGGUGCAAAUAGCUACGAGGUUGAGGUUGAGUAUUUAUUCUUAAUGAAGUUCAAGUCUUAUAGUAGCUAAAGACAUGAUUUGAAACUUCACCUAAGUGAACAUAAGAAAUGGUGCCGUUUCUAACAAGAUCAUGGUUUAAUCUAGUAAAUGUUCAUGAAUUCAAGAUAGAGCACAAGGCCGGAAUAGUGCUAAAUAUUGGAACACAACUUUGAAAAUCUGGGAUAGCUUAUAUGUGAUGUAUCUCCGGUAUUUACUUAAGAGACAAAGUUUAAUGCUUAGCACAUUAUUGUCUUGUAAAUGCUUUGAAAUACACUCACUAAUUAAAGGUUAAAAUCGAAAGAUAUCUUUUUGUAUGUAUAAGUUUAUCAUUAAUAAAUAUGAAAAAUAUUACAAUCUAGUGGGGGAUUGUAAGAGAGAUUGUAACAUUUUCAAUCUUUCGUUUGAUAUUCUGGAAGAAAACGGUUUGCCGUUUAUGGAGAAAACGGCUAACUGUUUAAUUCCAAAUAGCAUGUUUUCUGUUCUAGAGAAAACGACUAACUAUUUGGAGAAAAUGGCUAACUGUUUAAUUCUAGAGAGCAUGUUUUCUGUUCUAGAGAAAGCGGCUAACCGUUUGGAUAAAACGACCAACCGUUAAUUACAGAGAGCAACUUAUUUGACAUUCUGGAAUAAAACGGCUCACCGUUAUUGAGAAAACGGCUAACCGUUUAUUUCCAGAAAGCGUGUUUUUGCGUCAAUUGGAAAAACGGUUAGCAAGCUUGGAAAUUUCAAUUGUCAAUCGAUGCAAACUCAAACCAAAAGAGUGUUUUUUUGAAGAAGUACAAUUUCUAAUGGUUGUAUUCUUUCAAAUAAACAUCUUCUUUAUUAAAGAUAGACAAACAAUUAGAUCAUAAUCAGAUUUUGCAGGUUUCAUAUAUGUUCUGGAAAUACAAUAGAUCAUAAUCAGAUUUUGCAGGUUUCAUAUAUGUUCUGGAAAUACAAUCUUAUUUGCUAGAGAUUGUAUUCAUGAUUUGAUAUAUCUUGGGGGUAAUUUACCAUUAAAACUCUAUAGCAAACCAAGAUUGGUGAGGACAAAUAAAACCUUAAAGGAAAGUGUGCAAACACGUCUCAAAUCCUAAGAAUUGUUUUUUGUUCUUUGCCUCCAUAUUCUUAAAAUUCGAAAAUUCACCCAUCAUAUACAUACUACAUAUUAUUAACUUUUGUUUUAUAACUAUAGUGUUUUUUUUUUACCGCAACUGUAGUUUAAAAACUACAGCACCUCAAUCCCAAACAAGACCUUAGUGGAAGCGAGCGCAAAAGCCGAUCACCCAACAUUCGCGCUUGUGAGAGACUCCACUCUCUCCACUCAUUCCAAAUCCAAAAUCCUCGACCGUUUCAAAAAUCUCGGCGUCAAUUUAGUUCUUGUGCGCCACUCUUUUAGCUUUCCAAUUUUCCCGCCAAUUUUCUUUUAUUGUGAUUAAUUAAUUAAUUAAUUAAUUAAAGUAAAGAUUUUAUAUUAUAAUUUUGUUUGCAGGGAGAUCUAUACAGCCAUGAGAGCUUGGUGAGUGCAAUAAAGCAAGUGGAUGUUAAGGUAAUGAUUAACUUAAGUAAAUGCGUUAACUAAUUACUUGGGAUUUUAAAUUCAAAUGCGUGAAUUGUUCUAAAAAAUGAUUUAUGUUUAUUAGUCAGAGAUUCUUUCCUUCAGAAUUUGGAAAUGAUGUUGAUCGCGUGCAUGCCGUUGAGCCAGCAAGAACAUCAUUUGCCACCAAGGCUAAAAUCCGCCGAGCUGUUGAGGCUGAAGGAAUUCCAUACACCUACGUAGCUUCCAAUUUCUUCGCUGGUUUGUAUCUUUCCAGUUUCUCACAGCCUGAAGCCACAGCUCCUCCAAGGGAUAAAGUGGUCAUCGUAGGUGAUCGAAAUGCAAAAGGCAAAGCGCUUCUGGAUACAUUUACUCUGUACACGCAAUGUGUGGUUACUGUUUGGGGAUAAAAAAGGAGAUUAAUUAAUAAAGAAAAUGAAAUUAUUGAGGGAUUUGCUGAAGAGUUGCGUGCACUCCUCAUUUUUCUCCACCACUCAUCUUACUUGCAAAAUGCAAUGACCAAACUAUCCUCGCCAAAGCCUAGACAUUUACUUGUGUUCAAAGGCCAUUUAAGAGAGACAAGUACAAAAAAUUAUAAAGGAUAGUGAGCAAAAGAAGAAAAUGGAAGGAGGGGAGAAUAAAAAAUGGGAGUGGGGCGUUAUCUAGGGAGGAUUUUUAUUUUUAUUUUUUUUCCUCUCUUCUCCAUGGCAUCUCUUUCUCUCUUUCUCCCACUAAGAAAUUCUUUCUUUUACACUCUAUUUUACUUUUAUUCAAAUUACACAAAAAACUUUUGGUUUUAAGGCAAUGUUUAUUAAGCCACGUGAAUUUGAAAAAGCAGGAAUAAGGGGAUGAUUUUAACACAUUAAUUCACCAACAUUAAUUGGAAAAGAUCAGUUGCCACUUCGAAUCAGAGUAAUUUCUUCGGCAAUAGCCAAAUAUUGAUAUUUGAUCUUGACACUGUAGUUAAAUCAAUGUAACUGGUUUUGUCAUUUGAUCCCCAGUAAUUUUUAACAAGGAAGACGAUAUUGGAAUUAAUUCUAUCAAAGCGGUGGAUGAUCCGAGAACACUGAACAAAAUACUUUACAUCAGACCCCGUUGCAAUAUCUACUCAUUUAAUGAUCUUGUGUCUCUGUGGGAGGAAAAGAUUGGCAAAGCCCUUGACAGGGUCUAUGUUACAGAGGAACAACUUCUGAAAAACAUUCAAGGUUAGUUAGAACUAUCACUUUAUCAAGUGCAUAGAUGUAACUGACCGAUAAUGGAAUUUUUUUUCCUUCUCCAAAAUGCGAUAGAAUCUAAUCGGUUUCAACAAUCUCAAGAACACCUAUUCAUGGUUGUGUUGUUUGAAAUCUGUAUGUAUCAGUUUUCUUUCUAGAUCUCAGAUUGCUCGCAAGGAUGUCAAGUUUUGAUGAUGCUUGCCUGUUUUCCUGUGUUUACAGAAGCUUCAUAUCCACUCAAUAUGAUAUUACCUAUUGGGCACUCUGCCUAUGUCCUGGGAGAUCAGACCAACUUCGAAAUUGAACCUUCAUUUGGAGUAGAGGCAACAGAGCUUUAUCCAGAUGUCAACUACACUACUGUGGAUGAGUACCUCAACCAGUUCAUAUAAACCUUCUGAGAUGAGCAGCAGGAUCCUAACAAAAAAUUGGGUGGUUUCCAUCCCUGAUUCUAUGGUAUAAAGAUAGCGGCUUUCCCUGCUUUUGCCAGUUCAAUGAAGUUUGUUAGAUGAUGUUAUUUAUACUAUACUAGCAAAGAUCAAGUUGCCUUUCUUGUCAAGAAGCCAAGCUCUGGCAUUGGUUUAUGCUAGUUUUUCAUGUUUAUUACUUUUUUUGCAUUCAAAAUGAUAAAACUGCAGAGGUUGUUGCAUGCACGUCAUUUGUUAGUAGGGGUAUCAAUUUAUGAACGUAUGAAGUAUCUCUUCUGCAACGGCAUCCUCCUUAACUGUCAGUAGGAUCACAAUAAGUCGACCAACCAUCUACCGUAUGGAUUAUCUAUAAAUUGAAAUUGGUGUGUAUUAUGGAUCUGUCACUCUGCUGUUUCUGUUUUCUUUUCUAUUUUUACCAAGAAAGAAACAUUGUUAAAACUGAAUGGUUGUUAUCUCGUCUUGUUGUAAUGUUGUGUAUGCUUUCUAGAAAAUAAUGAAGUGCCAAAUAUGAAAAUACUAGUGGCUACCUUACCAUCCUUAAUAAGUUGUCUGAUUGUCACCGUCAACAAUCACUCUCAGCAACUCAUAAUCCAUUUAAGCAUAUUAUAAAAUAAUCAAUUUUGUAUUUGCACCAACUUUUAGUUUUAAAUGACAAUUUCGUUGAUCCCCACACUUCUGUACUAAUCAAAUCCACUGAAACUGGACUUUUUUUUCUUUUUUUUUAUAAUUACAUCGAUUGCAUUGGCUAUUGCAGGGAAAAGACUGCCUCUACAGGGAACUAAACUUUCAGAAUUGUUCUUAUGAGGGUUUGAAUAUGCUCUCGUACUAGGUCAAUGGCCUAUUGGUUCGAGACCAUUCACAAAGAAAGAAAUGAGUUUUGCUUGUAUAAAUGAAAGAAAUCCAAAUGAUAACUAAUGUAUAGUGGUACAUGAGAAAAAUAAUUUCAGCCCGUGUAAAGUCAAAAAGAGAAAAUAUUAAAAGAAAGGAUAAUGUCAUUGAGUUCGGUGAAGUGAAAGAAAAUGAAAAACAUGGGAUUUAGUCAAACUUAGUGUCCCAAUCAGCAGAAAAAGGUUUUAGAAACUCACCUCAAGUUAAGCCAACUAUUAGGAGCUUUAUUUAAUCAUGACUUUCUAAUGUAUAGUACUCCAAUACUAAACGAGGGCUACCUCUACGCUUGCAAUUGUAAAUGAAAUUGAGUUCGUGACGCACAAUGAAGUGAGCAAAAUGAGUUGAGAUCUGAGAAUAUAUUAAAGAAAAUAUGAAUCAAUGAAUUUUGGUUAAAAAAAACAAAUGCUGGUUCUUCAAGACCUGCGUGUAUUGUGUAAGUUUUGUUAGGAGAAGGAAAGCAUUUUGGUCUAAAACGCACUAAAUCGGAUUCAUUUGCUUGAUAUCUAAUAAGGGUGAAUUAACCACUCGCCCACAGCAAUUCAAGUCCCAAAAAAAUUAUUGUGGGGGCUAAAUUUCUUCUUUAAUUAUAACAAAUAAUUGAGUGGAGGAUAAAAAUUUAGGCCAUGUAUAACAAUAACUAAUAUAAACUAGUCCUAAUAAUAGUAUAAUUGUAAAUAUCAGUUGUAGUCUCAUACAAUAUAAGUUUAUAGAUUAUAAUAUCGGCAUAAAAAGAAAAAUGAUAUCUGACGGUCAAUCAAUAAAAGGACAAAAACUUGGAGUAACAUACCACAAAGUCAAUGUAGCUGGACAGAUGAAUAUAAUAUGUAAACAAAUUUAAAUGGGAUAAUACCAUACGGUACAUACAUAACAUUUUAAAACUGAAUUAAAAAAAUAAAAUUAAAACUGAAUUGGAAUUCGUAUGUGUAUCCAGCUACCUUGCAACAGUUGUAAGGUACCCUAACUUUGCAACAAUUUCAUCCUUCGUGCAUUCGGUCACAAAGUCCAAAUUAGGCACGUUUAAGAAUCGAACUGAAAAACUAAAAAAAAAGAAUCCGGCGAUAUUUGCGAACCGGAAACGAGCCAGCGUUAUGCUUAUGUCAUUUCAGAGAUAUCAACAGUCGUGCUUUCAGUCCUUAAACCUCAAGGGCAUUUUCGUCCUUUCACUCAAGCGUGAAACUGCAUGUAAGAACUGCUUCGCUUACACGCUCCAUGCACAUUUAAAGGCACCACUGUCGGAUAAAAAAUAUCCAUCCAUUUGAUCAUUUCAAAACAAAACGAAAAAAAAAAUCUCAGUAAUUGAACUGAACGAGUCUCAGAAAUGGCAUCGAAAAGUAAGAUUCUAUUCAUCGGCGGGACAGGGUAUAUCGGUAAAUUCACUGUCGAAGCGAGCGUAAAAGCCGGCCACCCGACGUUCGUGCUCGUGAGAGAAUCCACAAUCUCUGGUCCUUCCAAAUCUCAACUCCUCGAUCACUUCAAAAACCUCGGCGUCAAUCUUGUCAUAGUGCGUUUUCAUUUUUCUCUUUUCUUUAUUUUUUAUUCCGAUCAUUUUUACACGUCGAAGUGUAGCAUCUACUACUUAAUAUACAUAAUGAUAUUAUUAUUUUUUAAUUUUUUUGGGUUGCUGUUAUUAUUAUACAGGGAGAUGUGUUGAAUCACGAGAGUUUGGUGAAGGCGAUAAAACAAGUGGACGCGGUGAUAUCAACAGUUGGUCACACUUUAAUAGCCGAUCAGGUCAAGAUUAUUGCUGCCAUUAAAGAAGCCGGUAACGUUAAGGUAUGACAUAAUUAAUGUAAAUGUCUUAGAUUUCGAUCAGGAUUGUGCACUCGUGCACACGUGGUGAUUUAUUCUUCGUGUGGAGCUCGCUGUAGAGUAGAGCUCCCAGUUCCGCUAAUAAACACCCGUCAGAUGCGCAAUUGCGCCUCAAAAUAAUUUAAUUAAUUAAUUAGGUAUAAACACCGAUGGCAUGAAAGCAAUUAAAAUUAGUUGAUGUUUAUAAAUUAUUUAUUACUCAGAGAUUCUUACCAUCGGAAUUUGGAAAUGAUGUUGAUCGAGUCGAAGGCGCCGUAGAGCCAACAAAAUCGACGUAUGACGUAAAGGCGAAAAUCCGCCGAGCCGUUGAGGCAGAAGGCAUUCCGUACACUUACGUAGAAUCUUAUUGUUUUGAUGGGUAUUUCCUCCCCAAUUUGUUGCAGCCUGAGGCCACUGCCCCCCCUAGGGAUAAGGUUGUCAUCUUAGGCGAUGGAAAUCCAAAAGGUAAUAUAAUUUAAUUAAGCUCUGUUUGUUUGGUAUGUAUUGCGGUGUUAAUGUUAUUGUCUGUUGUACAAUGGAUGGUCUUGCUUGGUACUGUUGUUGGAGAGCUGCAGUGUUUUGAUAAACACCUCUAUAGUCUAUCCUUAUCCUUAGCUUUCAAGUUAAGUUGAUUUUAUACAACACUUGUUUAAUUAAAAACUUGUAAUAUUCUUACUACUUUGAUAAAAAAAAUAUUACGAUUAAAGUAUUAAUGGCACCAUAAUACGAAAUGAAUCUUAAGUGGUCAUUAUAGAUUUUAAGAUAGAGUUUUAAGUGAUUACCAGAUACUUUAGCUGCUGAACCGCCACAUCAUGGUUGCCACACAACAAUUUCAAACAGAACCUAAAUAACUUCAUUGCAAAACAGUUAAAUGAAUCUAACUUAGUUUCGUCGUUUGAUUUUCAGCUGUUUUUAACAAGGAAGAUGAUAUUGGAACCUACACUAUCAAAGCGGUUGAUGAUCCGAGAACCUUGAACAAAAACUUUUACAUUCAGCCUCCCGGUAAUAUUUACUCAUUCAAUGAUCUUGUGUCUCUGUGGGAGAGAAAGAUUGGUAAAACCCUCGAAAAGGAGUAUGUUUCAGAGGAGCAGCUCCUAAAGAAUAUUCAAGGUUGGUUAAAACUCUCUUUUUUAAAUGUAUUAAAGAGAGCCGUAUAUUCUCUGCCGUAAAUGUUAUUGAUCCUGUCUUCUCCAAAAUGUUGCAGAAGCUGCACCUCCACACAAUGUGAUAUUAUCAAUUUAUCACUCUGCUUUCGUGAAGGGAGUUCAAACCAACUUCAAGAUUGAACCAUCUUUUGGAGUUGAAGCCUCGCAGCUUUAUCCUGAUGUCAAGUACACUACAGUUGAUGAGUACCUCAAUCAGUUUGUGUAACCCUUCUCUGUUUCCAGCUGCAGCUUGCAGGAUCUUGGACUCUUGGUAAAUAAAUAAUUGGCUUGUUGCCAUCUUUGGUUUUAUAUGUAAAAAUUAUGGUUGUUGGCCUUACUUUCUUCUGGUUGUCCAUGGAAUUUGUUAGACCAUAUUAUGUUUGCUAUGUCAGUGAUCAAAUGAAGUAGGCCAUGUACUUGAUUUGAGAGUAGUAGUUAUAAAAAGCCAUCAUGAUCAGGUGGGUGCGUGGGUUGGGCUUCUAUUAGGGUGCGUGUGUUGGGCUUCAGGGGCUUGUGAUAUGGGUUCGACAGCCCCUAACGGGCAGUCAUUAUAAAAAUAAUUAUAGAGUUACAAAUCUAUGUAAAAAGCAAAAAUUAAAAGUAAUUUAUCAAUAAAAAUAAUUAAAAUUAAUAAAAAGUAGGUAUGAUAUUUCAGAAAUUAAAUUAAAGAUAGCAUUCUAAAGAGUUGGAUAAUCCUCCAACUAAACUAAAGAUCUAGUACAUUUGAGAGCAAAUUUAAUUAAAGAAAAGGAUAAGGAAAAACAAUAGAAUAAUAAUAUUAAAAAUUGCAAAUCUUGGUCUUUUUUUUUUACGAUGAUGUUGAUUUCUUAUAAAUUUAAUCUUAUCUAUAGAAUUAUUUAGUUACUGUAUGUCAAAAUUUCCUAUAAAGAUGAAGAAAAAUUAUAUUAGGAGAAGAUCCAAAUCCGUUUAACUGAUGCAUCAUCAACAACAUGAGUACAACAUUUUCGAAUAAACAAAAGAAACUCGUUUUAUGUGCGAACCAGUUCCAAAAUAAAGAGCAGACUAUUGGAAGGAGACAAAUACUACAAGAAGAACAAAACAUUCUACAGUUCCUACAUGAGCCCGCAACAAUUAAUUAUUAACUCGACAUUCAUUACACUUUUUCUUUAAUUUGACAAAGAAACCAAAAAUAAGAUAAAAUUGACUAAGAAAUAAAAAAAUGACCAAAAUCUUUUUGAAGUUUUGCCAGUUCAGCCAUGCACGCUUAUCUUUAUUCACUUGUUUCCUUUCUUUCCUGGAGCCUUCACAAAUCCUUUACCUUUCUGAGCCUUGCCAAUUUUCCCCUUCUUCAAACCACCUGGCCUUGCUGGAUCCACGUGUCCUUGCAUCCUUUUUCAUUCGUGGAUCAACAAGAAUCUCCCCCUUUCCAACUCUCUCUUGAACUCCUUUCUUUGCGACCAUGUAUUCUUUUGUAGGCCUUUUGGGUAUAGUUGUCUUGUAUAAUUGUUCAAUUUGAUUCCUCUUCGAACGAUCAGAGAUGUCCGCUUAGUCUAAUAUGACAUUUGCCUUCUUGCGAACCUUCUCAAGAUUUCGCAUGGCAACCCGUAUCUUUCGAGCUUUGGUCUUAGCCACCUUCUUGGCAAUAAGGGUGGGCGAUUCGGUUUUGGGAUAAACUUUUGGUUUCGUAUCGGUUUAGAUUCAAAAAUAGUAUAAAAAAAUAUUUAGAUUUUAUGGGAAAAAAUCUGAACCGAAACUGACCUAUCGAUUUCGUCUCGGUUUCAGUUUAGUUUCGAUUCUCCUAAUAGUUUUGUUUUGCCUUAUUGACUUCCGGUCAAGGACACUUUUGAAAAAUUUACAAACAAAAAAAAAUUGGCCAUAACAAAAUUUCUAUAUGUAAAUAUUUCCUAAACAUUGGGCUAUACUAAAUUUUUUUAAAAGGUAGGGAUCCAAACGAUAUUAUCCCUCUACUUCAUCUUCAACCUUCGUCACUUAGCAGCUACCACAGUAUCGAAAUGGAAAAACUAAAAAAGCACCGUAGGAUACGCAUAUCCACACAUAUCUAAUAAAACUAAAUAUUAUUAAUAAUUUAGUAUAGUAAUAAUAAAACAAGACAAACAUGAAAUUAGAAAAGACUAAAGAGCUUUUUAAGAAAAAAGCCAUUUAAAAAACGAAAAAUAGCAAGUUAUUUGGCUAGUUAACUGGCGACAGAAGUAAUGGAAAGAAGCAACAACGGCAGCGGCAGGUCAACAACGAAGAUUCAGCAGCACCGACCACCCACAGACUUGGAUUCGAUUGCAAAGUUGGGACUUAGGAUUUGGGUUUGUGGCUGCUGAAAUUGAAAGCGAGAGAGUAGAAAGUAGAGACUGAGAGUGGUGCAAACAUGUGUAAUUCUGUGUGUGUGUGUGUCUAUAUAUAUAUAUAUAUAUAUAUAUAUAUAUAUAUAUAUAUAUAUAAUGUGAAAUUAUAAAAAUGCCAUUAUAUCGGUUCGAUUCGAAUUUUGUAACUUGUGAUCCGAAAACUGAACCAAAUCGAAUCAUUUGGUUUGGUAUUUAUAUAUUCGGGUUUUUAAUUUAAAAAAAACUAAAUUAAAACUGAAAAAACCAGAACCGAAUUUUUUUUUUUUUUUUUGUUUCGGUUCAAUUCUGCCCAUCCCAACUUAGUAGGCUGGGCAUCAAUUUCUUUGAAUUGUGCUUUCAUUGCAGUAAUCUCCUCCUUGGUAAUAGGUUUAAUUGCUUACUGAUGCCUCAUUUCCUCUAGUAACAACUAGUCUAACAAGUCAUCAUCGUCAAACAUGUACCUAUUAUAAGCAUCAUCCAGAAUUUGCUCUCUUUGCAUUUUGCUUAGUGUCUUCUUUGCACAAGCUAAUAUCUCAGCUUUUUGUAUCAAUAUCUUUAUCUUUUGAUUCACCAGCGGAUGAAUCAUCACCGGAAUAGAGUGGUGAAGGCCCCAUAGAUCAGUGUGAUCAAGUUCUAGUGUAGUUUUGGUUUUGAUUUCAGUAUUAGGAAAAUGAAGCCUAUGAAAUUUACCAAGCUAACAUGCUUCACAAAAGUGCUUUAAUACUUGACUAUGAAUACUUGAAGACGAUAAAUGAGGAUAAAUAAAUUUAAGGCAAAUGUUAUGUUACAAUUAAUGUAACAUACACACUCAAUAACAACCACACAAAUUUUGUGGGCCCAUUAUUUGUGUGGUUGUUGUUGAGUGUGUAUGUUACAUUAAUUGUAACAUAGGGGCUCCCUAAAUUUAAAUAUGCAUUAGAUUUUGAGGGUUGGGAUGUCAAAACUUUUGGUGAAAAAGAGUUAGUACAAGCAUUUUUAUUGAGAUUUAAAACAUUUCUUAAGAUGAUCAAUGCUAGUUACAGAAUAGGAAUGAAAAAAAAAGGCAACAUAGACAAAGGUUUGUUUAUUUGAUUGUAAGAUAGAAAAGACUUGUAUUUAGGUUGUGGAAAGGAUUUGAGCAGCAAUUUAUACAACCUUUUCUCAGCAAAACCUUCCUCUUCAAUGAAUCCUUCACAAAACAAAUAGAUCCAAGAAAUUUGACAAAUAAAUUGUUGUCAAUGGUAAGUUUUGAAAUGCUUAAUAGAUUCUUUGUAAUGGAUGGAACAAACAAUACAUCCUUAAGUAAAAUAUGUCUUAUAUUAUCUUUUUUUUUAAUUAUUUUUAAAAAAUAAGUGAAUAAUAGUAUGUCAAUCUCAAAUAUCAAUAUGUACAAUUUUUAUUUGUGUAAGAAUUUGCAUCCAAUAAUCAUCAAUACAUAAUUGUCUUUUAAUUUAAUUGUUCUCACCUCCCUUCCAAACUUUGAAAAGGUAAAAUAAGAUCAAUCAUGUCGGUGGCAAUUAAUAUAAGGAUUACUUUUCUUAUUUGUAGUAACGUCCUCUGAUUAUUUAGCUGAUUUUCAAGCUACACAUUUAUUCCAUUUGAUGUUGAUAUUAGUAAAAUUAAUGUAAUAUUUAAAAAGGAAAAAAAUCCGUCGAGCUAAAAGCUGAGUAUAAAAUUGAACCCGACCCAAACCAGAAACGCACGCCAACAGCAUGCUUGCGUCAGUCGGCCCAAGCCCAUAAACCCACCAAGCCCAAUCCAAAUAGAAAAAUGAAUUGGAUGCCCGAGAUAGCACAAACAGAUAAGUAACGCUAGCGCUAUCCCCAGUCUCAUAUCUUCAACGGUAUCCAGCCAACAUCUCAAAGUGUUCAAUUUUUUUUUGAAGCUAAAAAAAAAAUUCAAAAUUUUCAAGUGGAAUCUGGGAAGAUGGCAACAAAAAGCAAGAUUCUGGUUAUCGGCGGAACCGGAUACAUAGGUAAGUACUUAAGGUGCGUUUGAAAUUGAAGUUGGACAGGUAUAACUUUAAAACUGCAGCACUAAAAUGUUUGGUAAACACUAACUAUUGUAACUUAAAAACUAUUUAAUAUAAUUUUUCACUUGUAUAAUAAAAAAUUUAUUAUAUCUUUAAUAAUUUUAUCAAAAUUAUUAUUUAAAAUAUAUACAUACUACAUAUUAUUAAUUUUUGUUUUAUAACUAUAAUUUUUUUCCUACCGCAACUGUAAUUUAAAAACUACAGCACCUCAAUCCCAAACAAGACUUUAGUGGAUGCGAGCGCGAAAGACGAUCACCCAACAUUUGCGCUUGUGAGAGACUCCACUCUCUCCACUCCUUCCAAAUCCAAAAUCCUCGACCGUUUCAAAAAUCUCGGCGUCAAUUUAGUUCCUGUGCGCCACUCUUUUAGCUUUCCAUUUUUCCUGCCAAUUUUCUUUUAUUGUGAUUAAUUAAUUAAUGUAAAGAUUUUAUAUUAUAAUUUUGUUUUCAGGGAGAUCUAUACAGCCAUGAGAGCUUGGUGAGUGCAAUAAAGCAAGUGGAUGUGGUGAUAUCAGCGAUAGGUCGCACUCAAUUAGCUGAUCAACUCAACAUUAUCGCAGCAAAUUGCGAUAACUAAUUACUUGGGAUUUUAAAGAAGCUGGAAAUGUUAAGGUACUGAUUAACUUAAGUAAAUGCGUUAACUAAUUACUUGGGAUUUUAAAUUCAAAUGCGUGAAUUGUUCUAAAAAAUGAUUUAUGUUUAUUAGUCAGAGAUUCUUUCCUUCAGAAUUUGGAAAUGAUGUUGAUCGCGUGCAUGCCGUUGAGCCAGCAAGAACAUCAUUUGCCACCAAGGCUAAAAUCCGCCGAGCUGUUGAGGCUGAAGGAAUUCCAUACACCUACGUAGCUUCCAAUUUCUUCGCUGGUUUGUAUCUUUCCAGUUUCUCACAGCCUGGAGCCGCAGCUCCUCCAAGGGAUAAAGUGGUCAUCGUAGGUGAUGGAAAUGCAAAAGGCAAAGCGCUUCUGGAUACAUUUACUCUGUACACGCAGUGUGUGGUUACUGUUUAGGGAUAAAAAAGGAGAUUAAUUAAUAAAGAAAAUGAAAUUAUUGAGGGAUUUGCUGAAGAGUUGCGUGCACUCCUCAUUUUUCUCCACCACUCAUCUUACUUGCAAAAUGCAAUGACCAAACUAUCCUCGCCAAAGCCUAGACAUUUGCUUGUGUUCAAAGGCCAUUUAAGGGAGACAAGUACAAAAAAUUAUAAAGGAUAGUGAGCAAAAGAAGAAAAUGGAAGGGGGAGAGUAAAAAAGGGGAGUGGGGCGUUAUCCAGGGAGGAUUUUUAUUUUUAUUUUUUUCCUCUCUUCUCCAUGGCAUCUCUUUCUCUCUUUCUCCCACUAAGAAAUUCUUUCUUUUACACUCUAUUUUACUUUUCUACAAAUUACACAAAAAGCUUUUGGUUUUAAGGCAAUGUUUAUUAAGCCACAUGAACUUGAAAAAGCAUGAAUAAGGGGAUGAUUUUAACACAUUAAUUCACCAACAUUAAUUGGAAAAGAUCAGUUGCCACUUCGAAUCAGAGUAAUUUCUUCGGCAAUAGCCAAAUAUUGAUAUUUGAUCUUGACACUGUAGUUAAAUGAAUGUAACUGGUUUUGUCAUUUGAUCCCCAGCAUUUUUUUAACAAGGAAGACGAUAUUGGAAUCAAUUCUAUCAAAGCGGUGGAUGAUCCAAGAACACUGAACAAAAUACUUUACAUCAGACCCCGUUGCAGUAUCUACUCAUUCAAUGAUCUUGUGUCUCUGUGGGAGGAAAAGAUUGGCAAAGCCCUUGACAGGGUCUAUGUUACAGAGGAACAACUUCUGAAAAACAUUCAAGGUUAGUUAGAACUAUCACUUUAUUCGUUACUGAUGACAACACAUGGAGAAAUUUUCCUUGGUCUUAUCAAGUGGAUAGAUGUAACUGACCGAUAAUGGAAAAUUUUUUCCUUCUCCAAAAUGCGAUAGAAUCUAAUCGGUUUCAACAAUCUCAAGAACAUCUAUUCAUGGUUGUGUUGUUUGAAAUCUGUAUGUAUCAGUUUUCUUUCUAGAUCUCAGAUUGCUCGCAAGGAUGUCAAGUUUUGAUGAUGCUUGCCUGUUUUCCUGUGUUUACAGAAGGCUCAUAUCCACUCAAUAUGAUAUUAUCUAUUGGGCACUCUGCCUAUGUCCUGGGAGAUUAGACCAACUUCGAAAUUGAACCUUCAUUUGGAGUAGAGGCAACCGAGCUUUGUCCAGAUGUCAACUACACUACUGUGGAUGAGUACCUCAACCAGUUCAUAUAAACCUUCUGAGAUGAGCAGCAGGAUCCUAACCAAAAAUUGGGUGGUUUCCAUCCCUGAUUCUAUGGUAUAAAGAUAGCGGCUUUCCAUGCUUUUGCCAGUUCAAUGAAGUUUGUUAGAUGAUGUUAUUUAUACUAUACUAGCAAAGAUCAAGUUGCCUUUCUUGUCAAGAAGCCAAGCUCUGGCAUUGGUUUAUGCUAGUUUUUCACACUAAUAUUGGUAUUCACUAAUUUUUUUUUUUUCAUUUCACACCUCCAUCAUCAGUUGAGAUACCCUCUUGUAUGGUACUAACUUUGAUUUUCCUUAUGCUUCACUUGCUGUCUCUGCAGAUUCGUAAAAGAUCAUUCAUGGAUAAGAUCAGAACAUCAAUGUAAUACAGUAUGCAUUGAGAACUCCCACAUGAGUCUUGUUCUAGUUCUCGUUAGACAUGAAACAUGUUACAGUUCCAUAACUUGAGACAUUGUCAUUCAACAAUUAUCAUCGCAUUAAAACAGUGGCCAAUCCCUAACAGCUACCUUUUGACUCUUCACAUUUUUUUUCUGCAUUUUAUGCGCAUUAAUUAUCCAGACCUAGACUUACUCUUCUCAGCUUGGCCCGUUGGACAGUGAGUGAUGAAACAGAAAAUUUUUCAUGUUUAUGAAUGUAUGAAGUAUCUCUUCUGCACUGCACCGGCAUCCUCCUUAACUGUCAGUAGGAUCACAAUAAGUCGACCAACCAUCUACCGUAUGGAUUAUCUAUAAAUUGAAAUUGGUGUGUAUUAUGGAUCUGUCACUCUGCUGCUUCUGUUUUCUUUUCUAUUUUUACCAAGAAAGAAACAUUGUUAAAACUGAAUGGUUGUUAUCUCGUCUUGUUGUAAUGUUGUGUAUGCUUUCUAGAAAAUAAUGAAGUGCCAAAUAUGAAAAUACUAGUGGCUACCUUACCAUCCUUAAUAAGUUGUCUGAUUGUCACCGUCAACAAUCACUCUCAGAAACUCAUAAUCCAUUUAAGCAUAUUAUAAAAUAAUCAAUUUUGUAUUUGCACCAACUUUUAGUUUUAAAUGACAAUUUCGUUGAUCCCCUCACACUUCUGUACUAAUCAAAUCCACUGAAACUGGACUUUUUUUUUUUUUUUUUUAUAAUUACAUCGAUUGCAAUGGCUAUUGCAGGGAAAAGACAGCCUCUACAGGGAACUAAACUUUCAGAAUUGAUCUUAUGAGGGUUUGAAUAUGCUCUCGUACUAGGUCAAUGGCCUAUUGGUUCGAGACCAUUCACAAAGAAAGAAAUGAGUUUUGCUUGUAUAAAUGAAAGAAAUCCAAAUGAUAACUAAUGUAUAGUGGUACAUGAGAAAAAUAAUUUCAGCCCCUGUGUAAAGUCAAAAAGAGAAAAUAUUAAAAGAAAGGAUAAUGUCAUUGAGUUCGGUGAAGUGAAAGAAAAUAAAAAACAUGGGAUUUAGUCAAACUUAGUGUCCCAAUCAGCAGAAAAAGGUUUUAGAAACUCACCUCAAGUUAAGCCAACUAUUAGGAGCUUUAUUUAAUCAUGGCUUUCUAAUGUAUAGUACUCCAAUACUAAACGAGGGCUACCUCUACGCUUGCAAAUGUAAAUGAAAUUGAGUUCGUGACGCACAAUGAAGUGAGCAAAAUGAGUUGAGAUCUGAGAAUAUAUUAAAGAAAAUAUGAAUCAAUGAAUUUUGGUUAAAAAAAACAAAUGCUGGUUCUUCAAGACCUGCGUGUAUUGUGUAAGUUUUGUUAGGAGAAGGAAAGCAUUUUGGUCUAAAACGCACUAAAUCGGAUUCAUUUGCUUGAUAUCUAAUAAGGGUGAAUUAACCACUCGCCCACAGCAAUUCAAGUACCCAAAAAAGUUUUGUGGGGGCUAAAUUUCUUCUUUAAUUAUAACAAAUAAUUGAGCGGAGGAUAAAAAUUUAGGCCAUGUAUAACAAUAACUAAUAUAAACUAGUCCUAAUAAUAGUAUAAUUGUAAAUAUCAGUUGUAGUCUCAUACAAUAUAAGUUUAUAGAUUAUAAUAUCGGCAUAAAAAGAAAAAUGAUAUCUGACGGUCAAUCAAUAAAAGGACAAAAACUUGGAGUAACAUACCACAAAGUCAAUGUAGCUGGACAGUGAAUAUAAUAUGUAAACAAAUUUAAAUGGGAUAAUACCAUACGGUACAUACAUAACAUUUUAAAACUGAAUUAAAAAAAUAAAAUUAAAACUGAAUUGGAAUUCGUAUGUGUAUCCAGCUACCUUGCCACAGUUGUAAGGUACCCUAACUUUGCAACAAUUUCAUCCUUCGUGCAUUCGGUCACAAAGUCCAAAUUAGGCACGUUUAAGAAUCGAACUGAAAAACUAAAAAAAAGAAUCCGGCGAUAUUUGCGAACCGGAAACGAGCCAGCGUUAUGCUUAUGUCAUUUCAGAGAUAUCAACAGUCGUGCUUUCAGUCCUUAAACCUCAAGGGCAUUUUCGUCCUUUCACUCAAGCGUGAAACUGCAUGUAAGAACUGCUUCGCUUACACGCUCCAUGCACAUUUAAAGGCACCACUGUCGGAUAAAAAAUAUCCAUCCAUUUGAUCAUUUCAAAACAAAACGAAAAAAAAAAUCUCAGUAAUUGAACUGAACGAGUCUCAGAAAUGGCAUCGAAAAGUAAGAUUCUAUUCAUCGGCGGGACAGGGUAUAUCGGUAAAUCCACUGUCGAAGCGAGCGUAAAAGCCGGCCACCCGACGUUCGUGCUCGUGAGAGAAUCCACAAUCUCUGGUCCUUCCAAAUCUCAACUCCUCGAUCACUUCAAAAACCUCGGCGUCAAUCUCGUCAUAGUGCGUUUUCAUUUUUCUCUUUUCUUAAUUUUUUAUUCCGAUCAUUUUUACACGUCGAAGUGUAGCAUCUACUACUUAAUAUACAUAAUGAUAUUAUUAUUUUUUAAUUUUUUUGGGUUGCUGUUAUUAUUAUGCAGGGAGAUGUGUUGAAUCACGAGAGUUUGGUGAAGGCGAUUAAACAAGUGGACGUGGUGAUAUCAACGGUCGGUCACACUUUAUUAGCUGAUCAGGUCAAGAUUAUUGCUGCCAUUAAAGAAGCCGGUAACGUUAAGGUAUAACAUAAUUAAUGUAAAUGUCUUAGAUUCCGAUCAGGAUUGUGCACUCGCGAACACGUGGUGAUUUAUUCUUGGUGUGGAGCUCGCUGUAGAGUAGAGCUCCCAGUUCAGCUAAUAAACACCCCGUCACAUGCGCAAUUGCGCCUCAAAAUAAUUUAAUUGAUUAAUUAAGGAUAAAUACCAAUGGCAUGAAAGCAAUUAAAAUUAGUUGAUGUUUAUAAAUUAUUUAUUACUCAGAGAUUCUUACCAUCGGAAUUUGGAAAUGAUGUUGAUCGAGUUGAAGGCGCCGUAGAGCCAACAAAAUCGACGUAUGACGUAAAGGCGAAAAUCCGCCGAGCCGUUGAGGCAGAAGGCAUUCCGUACACUUACGUAGAAUCUUAUUGUUUUGAUGGCUAUUUCCUCCCCAAUUUGUUGCAGCCUGAGGCCACUGCCCCCCUAGGGAUAAGGUUGUCAUCUUAGGCGAUGGAAAUCCAAAAGGUAAUAUAAUUUAAUUAAGCUCUGUUUGUUUGGUAUGUAUUUCGGUGUUAAUGUUAUUGUCUGUUGUACAAUGGAUGGUCUUGCUUGGUACUGUUGUUGGAGAGCUGCAGUGUUUUGAUAAACACCUCUAUCCUUAGCUUUCAAGUUAAGUUGAUUUUAUACAACACUUGUUUAAUUCAAAACUUGUAAUAUUCUUACUACUUUGAUAAAAAAUAUUACGAUUAAAGCAUUAAUGGCACCAUAAUACGAAAUGAACCUUAAGUGGUCAUUAUAGAUUUUAAGAUAGAGUUUUAAGUGAUUACCAGAUACUUUAGCUGCUGAACCGCCACAUCAUGGUUGCCACACAACAAUUUCAAACAGAGCCUAAAUAACUUCAUUGCAAAACAGUUAAAUGAAUCUAACUUAGUUUCGUCGUUUGAUUUUCAGCUGUUUUUAACAAGGAAGAUGAUAUUGGAACCUACACUAUCAAAGCGGUUGAUGAUCCGAGAACCUUGAACAAAAACUUUUACAUUCAGCCUCCCGGUAAUAUUUACUCAUUCAAUGAUCUUGUGUCUCUGUGGGAGAGAAAGAUUGGUAAAACCCUCGAAAAGGAGUAUGUUUCAGAGGAGCAGCUCCUAAAGAAUAUUCAAGGUUGGUUAAAACUCUCUUUUUUUAAAUGUAUUAAAGAGAGCCGUAUAUUCUCUGCCGUAAAUGUUAUUGAUCCUGUCUUCUCCAAAAUGUUGCAGAAGCUGCACCUCCACACAAUGUGAUAUUAUCAAUUUAUCACUCUGCUUUCGUGAAGGGAGUUCAAACCAACUUCAAGAUUGAACCAUCUUUUGGAGUUGAAGCCUCGCAGCUUUAUCCUGAUGUCAAGUACACUACAGUUGAUGAGUACCUCAAUCAGUUUGUGUAACCCUUCUCUGUUUCCAGCUGCAGCUUGCAGGAUCUUGGACUGUUGGUAAAUAAAUAAUUGGCUUGUUGCCAUCUUUGGUUUUAUAUGUAAAAAUUAUGGUUGUUGGCCUUACUUUCUUCUGGUUGUCCAUGGAAUUUGUUAGACCAUAUUUUGUUUGCUAUGUCAGUGAUCAAAUGAAGUAGGCCAUGUACUUGAUUUGAGAGUAGUAGUUAUAAAGCCAUCAUGAUCAGGUGGGUGCGUGGGUUGGGCUUCUAUUAGGGUGCGUGUGUUGGGCUUCAGGGGCUUGUGAUAUGGGUUCGACAGCCCCUAACGGGCAGUCAUUAUAAAAAUAAUUAUAGAGUUACAAAUCUAUGUAAAAAGCAAAAAUUAAAAGUAAUUUAUCAAUAAAAAUAAUUAAAAUUAAUAAAAAGUAGGUAUGAUAUUUCAGAAAUCAAAUUAAAGAUAGCAUUCUAAAGAGUCGGAUAAUCCUCCAACUAAACUAAAGAUCUAGUACAUUUGAGAGCAAAUUUAAUUAAAGAAAAGGAUAAGGAAAAACAAUAGAAUAAUAAUAUUAAAAAUUGCAAAUCUUGGUCUUUUUUUUUUACGAUGAUGUUGAAUUCUUAUAAAUUUAAUCUUAUCUAUAGAAUUAUUUAGUUACUGUAUGUCAAAAUUUCCUAUAAAGAUGAAGAAAAAUUAUAUUAGGAGAAGAUCCAAAUCCGUUUAACUGAUGCAUCAUCGACAACAUGAGUACAACAUUUUUGAAUAAACAAAAGAAACUCGUUUUAUGUGCGAACCAGUUCCAAAAUAAAGAGCAGACUAUUGGAAGGAGACAAAUACUACAAGAAGAACAAAACAUUCUACAGUUCCUACAUGAGCCCGCAACAAUUCAUUAUUAACUCGACAUUCAUUACACUUUUUCUUUAAUUUGACAAAGAAACCAAAAAUAAGAUAAAAUUGACUAAGAAAUAAAAAAAUGACCGAAAUCUUUUUGAAGUUUUGCCAGUUCAGCCAUGCACGCUUAUCUUUAUUCACUUGUUUCCUUUCUUUCCUUUCUUUGCUGAAGCCUUCACAGAUCCUUUACCUUUCUGAGCCUUGCCAAUUUUCCCCUUCUUCAAACCACCUGGCCUUGCUGGAUCCACGUGUCCUUGCAUCCUUUUUCAUUCGUGGAUCAACAAGAAUCUUCCCCUUUCCAGCUCUCUCUUGAACUCCUUUCUUUGGGACCAGUAUUCUUUUGUCGGCCUUUUGGGUAUAGUUGUCUUGUAUAAUUGUUCAAUUUGAUUCCUCUUCGAACGAUCAGAGAUGUCCGCUUAGUCUGAUAUGACAUUUGCCUUCUUGCGAACCUUCUCAAGAUUUCGCAUGGCAACCCGUAUCUUUCGAGCUUUGGUCUUAGCCACCUUCUUGGCAGUAUGGGUGGGCGAUUCGGUUUUGGGAUAAACUUUUGGUUUCGUAUCGGUUUAGAUUAAAAAAUAAUAUAAAAAAAUAUUUAGAUUUUAAGAGAAAAAAUCCGAACCGAGACUCACCUAUCGAUUUCGGCUCGGUUUCAGUUCAGUUUUGAUUCUCCUAAUAGUUUUAUUUUGCCUUAUUGACUUCCGGUCAAUGACACUUUUGAAAAAUUUACCAAAAAAAAAAAAAAUGGCCAUAACAAAAUUUCUAUAUGCAAAUAUUUCCUAAACAUUAGGCUAUACUAAAUUUUUUUAAAAGGUAGGGACCCAAACGAUAUUAUCCCUCUACUUCAUCUUCAACCUUCGUCAUUAGGGAUGGCAAAAUCCGAGUUCGGGUCCGGGUUUAGCCAUUUGGGAUCCGGACCCGGAUGAAUAUUUUUUGUACCAGACCCGAAAAUAAACCCGCAUUUUUCCACUUCGAGUCCGGUACGGGUUCAACCCGAAAAAAUUCGGGUUCCCUGACUGCGGGUUUCCAACUCGGAUUAAUGAAUCCAAUUGAAAAAAAAAAACUAAAUUCAACAAAAAAAAUCAAAUAGAAAUACAUAUCCAGGAUUUCAGCAAAUCAAAGAAAAAUUAUUUCAUCUGGAAACUAAUUAACAAAAACAACAAUUUUGUUUGGCUGCCCAGAAUCAGCAACCCAAUGUGGCGGCUCGUUCAAAACAUUAGUGUUUUCAACAGAUUUUGGGGUAGGAAAAGCCAAACCUAUCUAGAACAAUGAAUUUGUAUUUUUGGGGGAGAUGAGGUACCUCACUGGUUUGUUGUGUGCGGUGCAGUGUAUCUUAAAUUUGGGGGAUGUGAGAAGGGGAGAGGGAGUGGUAAUAAUGGUGAAAGGUCAAAACCAAUAGAGAUGUCCUUCAAAAUGAGCUUCACACCUGUAAAACAGUGAAAUAAAGGUUAGAGGUGAAGCUGGGGUAUCCCGGUGUUCACACUCCGACGCUCAAGUUAGCAAACUCAAGCUUUUAUGACAAAGAGAACUGGCUAGCCCUCUGUAAAUUAGGGUUUAAGGUUCAAGGAAACCUAUUUUUUGGAAUGUGAGUGUUAAUGGUGAGUGAGAGACCUCUUGGAGAAUGAAACCUAUGCGCCUUUAUAUAUGGAGUACCUCAGCUGCCACGUGACGUACCCUUUUUGGCUAACGUCAUUUUUCAUUUUUAUGAUUUUUGGGUCGUUAUGUUCAUGUUCGCGGGGUAUCUCAUCUUUUAGAAACGUGGCGCGCGCUGGAGAGUGGUCCAGGGUACCUCUGCAGUAGCUGUCGGGUAGGCGGCUGAGGACCACUGUCCUUGGGACAGUGUCUUUCACUUUUGGUAAAGGUGACAGGCGGUUGUCCUCCCUUUUAACACGACAUUUUUUAUUCCUAAUUAUGACAAAAUCGAAUAAUAUCUUUUAAGAGAUGGAGACGUUUCUCAUGGUGGAUAUUUUCGGAAGAUUCUCUUGCAUCUGAUCAGCCGGGUUCCUCCAGUUACGCAGGGUACCUCAAUUUAUGUGGGGUACCUCUAAUUUUAUGGGGUACCACUAUUUGCGCAGGGUACCUUGAAUCAUGCCAAGUACCUUAGAUUAUGCGGAGUACCUCUAAUUGUGCGGGAUACCUCUAUUGCGCUAGGUACCUUGAAUCAUGCCGGGUACCUCAGAUUGUGCGGGGUAUCUCUAUUUGCGCAGGGUACCUUGAAUCAUGCUGGGCACCUCAGAUUGUGUGGGGUACCUUGAGUCAUGCGAGGUACCUCUAAUCAGGCCAGGUACCCUCUAAUUGUGCUGAGUACCUAUAAUCAUGCAGGGUACCUCUAAUCAAGCCGGGUACCUUUAAUCAUGCGGGGUACCUCUAAUCAGGCCGGGUACCUUAGAUUGUGCGGGGUACCUCUAUUUGCGCAGGGUACCUUGAAUCAUGCAGGGUAUCUCAGAUUGUGCGGGGUACCUCAAAUUGUGUGGGGUACUUCUAAUCGUGCGGGGUACCUCUAAUCAUGUCGGGUACCUCGGAUUGCACUGAAGUUAUUCCAUUCGUUGACACGUGGCGUUAUGCUAUCUUUCUUAUUUUUCCCCCAAACAACAUCCCUCUAGUUUCUUUUGGCAAGAAGUUUUGGAGGCAAAAGAAACUUACAUAAAAAGUAGAAGCGACACGUGGCGAUAUGAUGUUUAGCUCGAUGGGUAACUAAAUAGAGGGCGCCUUUAGGGGUACCCUGAGAACCCAAAAAGGGAAGAUGGGCUCCAUUUCCUCGGAAAUGGCUACCACUUUGGACAUGUUGGAAAGGAUAGAGCUAAUUGAUCAAAAAAAUUUCAUCUAUUUCUAGGGAAGAACACCAAAUACGGGUAGAGGGUAUCGUUAGGGUACCCCACCAUUACCCAUAGUUUGUUUUCUAGUGACUGCCAUGUAUAAAUCGCUCUGGUGAAGGCUUCAAUACAUUCUUUGGGCAUUUAAGAAGCAAUUAUUUGAUUAUCUCGGGAUCCACCUUAUUUAAGGGUAUAUUUCCUUCAUGUACUUUGAAGACAAAAAUAAAAUCACAGGGCUUUCUUCCUUGUAACUUCAGAGGUACCCUCGACAGAAGAAUAUAGUCAACAAUGCUUUUAAGCGUAUCAUGAUCGAGGAAUGGAGUGCUGAUCUGGGGUUGGUGGUGCCAAGAGUGGAGAAGAUGGUAGAUGAACCGGCUAUCUUGAAGGCGAUUAACGAUAGCGGGGCUCUCAACACAUCUUGGUCUGAAGGGGUAAUGCAAAUAAGUUUACGUUGAUUGGAUAUUCAGAAGAAGUAAUACGCCAUUAAAAGCAACAAGUUUUCCAAAAAGCCAACAAAGACAGACACCACCACACCACCCCGCGCUGGAUGAAAAACGAUGAAAGCAUGAUAAGUGACAUCGAGUAAGCCACGUUCUCUCUCUCUCUCUCACUCGCACUCGCACUCGCACUCGCACUCGCACUCGCACACACUGUUACUAAAAUAACCAAAAAUAAGAUUCCCAUCAAAAUAUUUUCAAGUAUCGUUCUUGAAAGUGGCGGCGGCUGAUGAUGAUGAACACAGCCGCGAUUGCGAUUGGCGAAGGCGGCGUUCAGCCCGUAUCACAGCUAGUUAUCGGUCGUGGCAGAAAAGAUAAUGAAACGACGGCUGAUGAUGAUAAUGAUGAUGUUGAACAGCCGCAAAUAUGGGUAAGUGAUGCGACGAUGAUUUGAUGAAGAUGAAGAUGAGCUGAAGAUGGAAUAAGAGUGGAAAUGUUUGUGCGGCUGGGAAAGUGUAAUGAGCUGCUAGGGCACCAUUUGGGUUUUUUUGCUUUCCUAUUUAUAUUAAAAAUAAUUUUUAAAAAUUAAUAUAUAUCCGGGUUCGGGUUUUGGAUGUACGGGUUUACCUAGACCCGGACACAUGCGGAUUCAGCAGCACCGACCACCCACAGACUUGGAUUCGAUUGCAAAGUUGGGACUUAGGAUUUGGGUUUGUGGCUGCUGAAACAGAAAGUGAGAGAGUAGAAAGUAGAGACUAAGAGUGGUGCAAACAUGUGUAAUUUUGUGUGUGUGUCUAUAUAUAUAUAUAUAAUGUGAAAUUACAAAAAUGCCAUUAUAUCAGUUCAAUUCGAAUUUUGUAACUUGUGAUCCAAAAACUGAACCAAACCGAACCAUUUGGUUUGGUUUUUAUAUAUUCAGGUUUUUAAUUUAAAAAAACUAAAUUGAAAUUGAAAGAACUAAACCGAACCGAAUUUUUUUUUUUUUUUUGUUUCGGUUCAAUUAUGCCCAUCCCUACUUAGUAGGCUGGGCAUUAAUUUCUUUGAAUUGUGCUUUCAUUGCAGUAAUCUCCUCCUUGGUAAUAGGUUUAAUUGCUUGUUGAUGCCUCAUUUCCUCUAGUAACAACUAGUCUAACAAGCCAUCAUCGUCAAACAUGUACCUAUUAUAAGCAUCAUCCAGAAUUUGCUCUCUUUGCUUUUUGCUUAGUGUCUUCUUUGCACAAGCUAUUAUCUCAGCUUUUGUAUGAAUAUCUUUAUCUUUUGAUUCACCAGAGGAUGAAUCAUCACCGGAAUAGAGUGGUGAAGGCCCCAUAGAUUAGUGUGAUCAAGUUCUAGUGUAGUUUUGGUUUUGAUUUCAGUAUUAGGAAAAUGAAGCCUAUGAAAUUUACUAAGCUAACAUGCUUCACAAAAGUGCUUUAAUACUUGAAGAGGAUAAAUGAGGAUAAAUAAAUUUAAAUAUACAUUAGAUUUUGAGGGUUGGGAUGUCAAAACUUUUGGUGAAAAAGAGUUAGUACAAGCAUUUUUAUUGAGAUUGAAAAUAUUUCUUAAGAUGAUCAAUACUAGUUACAAAAUUGGAAUGAAAAAAAAAGGCAACAUAGACAAAGGUUUGUUUAUUUGAUUGUAAGAUAGAAAAGACUUGUAUUUAAGUUGUGGAAAGGAUUUGAGCAGCAAUUUAUACAACCUUUUCUCAGCAAAACCUUCCUCUUCAAUGAAUCCUUCACAAAACAAAUAGAUCCAAGAAAUUCGACAAAUAAAUUGUUGUCAAUGGUAAGUUUUGAAAUGCUCAAUAGAUUCUUUGUAAUGGAUGGAACAAACAGUACAUCCUUAAGUAAAAUAUGUCUUAUAUUAUCUUUUUUUAAUUCUUUUUUAAAAAAUAAGUGAAUAAUAGUAUGUCAAUCUCAAAUAUCAAUAUGUACAAUUUUUAUUUGUGUAAGAAUUUGCAUCCAAUAAUCAUCAAUACAUAAUUGUCUUUUAAUUGAAUGGUUCUCACCUCCCUUCCAAACUUUGAAAAGGUAAAAUAAGAUCAAUCAUGUCAGUGGCAAUUAAUAUAAAGAUUACUUUUCUUAUUUGUAGUAACGUCCUCUGAUUAUUUAGCUGAUUUUCAAGCUACACAUUUAUUCCAUUUGAUGUUGAUAUUAGUAAAAUUAAUGUAAUAUUUAAAAAGGAAAAAAAUCCGUCGAGCUAAAAGCCGAGUAUAAAAUUGAACCGGACCCAAACCAGAAACGCACGCCAACAACAUGCUUGCGUUAGUCGGCCCAUGCCCAUAAACCCACCAAGCCCGAUCCAAAUAGAAAAAUGAAUUGGACACCCGAGAUAGCAGAAACAGAUAAGUAACGGUCGUGUUAUCCCCAAUCUCAUAUCUUCAACGGUAUCCAGCCAACAUCUCAAAGUGUUCAAUUUUUUUUUAAGCCAAAAAAAAAUUCAAAAUUUUCAAGCGGAAUCUGGGAAGAUGGCGAUGAAAAGCAAGAUUCUGGUUAUCGGCGGAACCGGAUACAUCGGUAAGUACUUAAGGUGCGUUUGAAAUUGAGGUUGAACAACUAUAACUUUAAAACUACAGCACUAAAAUAUUUGGUAAACACUAACUGUUGUAACUUAAAAGCUAUUUAAUAUAAUUUUUCACUUGUAUAAUAAAAAAUUUAUUAUCUUUAAUAAUUUUGUCAAAAUUAUUAUUUAAAAUAUAUACAGUAAGAGAGAUUGUAACAUUUUCAAUCUUUGGUUUGAUAUUCUGGAAGAAAACGGUUUGCCGUUUACGGAGAAAAUGGCUAACCGUUUAAUUUCAGAGAGCAUGUUUUCUAUUCUAGAGAAAACGACUAACCGUUUGGAGAAAAUGGCUAACCGUUUGGAGAAAACGGCUAACCGUUUUGAGAAAACGGCUAACCGUUUAAUUCCAGAGAGCAUGUUUUCUGUUCUAAAGAAAAUAACUAACCGUUUGGAUAAAACAACCAACCAUUAAUUACAGAGAGUAACUUAUUUGACAUUCUGGAAUAAAACGGCUCACCGUUAUUGAGAAAAUGGCUAACCGUUUAUUUCCAGAGAGCGUGUUUUUGCGUCAACUGGAAAAACGGUUAGCAAGCUUGGAAAUUUCAAUUGUCAAUCGAUGCAAACUCAAACCAAAAGAGUGUUUUUUAAAGAAGUACCAUUUUUAAUGGUUGUAUUCUUUCAAAUAAACAUCUUCUUUAUUAAAGAUAAACAAACUAUUAUAUCAUAAUCAGAUUUUGCAGGUUUCAUAUAUGUUCUGGAAAUACAAUCUUAUUUUCUAGAGAUUGUAUUCAGGAUUUGAUAUAUCUUAGGGGUAAUUUGCCAUUAAAACUCUAUAGCAAACCAAGAUUGGUGAGGGCAAAUAAAACCUUAAAGAAAAGUGUGCAAACACGUCUCAAAUCCUAAGAAAUUUUCUUUGUUCUUUGCCUCCAUAUUCUUAAAAUUUGAAAAUUCACCCAUCAAUCUUUAAGGUUUUAUUUUGAUGCAAAUAGAGGCUGAGAAGAGUUUGACGCCAUUUCUUAAUCCUAGUGUCCAUCUCGAUCGUUUUGAUGGAACAAAUUUCACUCGUUGGAAGGGAAAAUUGUUCUUUCUUCUUACUGUUCUUAAAGUGACAUAUGUUCUUGAUCCGAAAUUGGAACCAUUUCCAGAACCAAGAGAAGAUGAUACCGAAGUUGUUAAGGCUGCAAGGAAACGUCGUGAAGAUGAUGAAUUGAUGUGCCGGGGUCACAUACUCAAUACGCGUUCUGACAGGUUAUAUGAUCUCUACAAUUUUAUGACUUCUCCGGUGGAAAUUUGGAAUGCUCUUAAGUACAAAUACAAAACGGAGAAAGAAGGUACUGACAAAUUCCUUGUCUCUAAAUAUUUUGAAUUUAUUAUGAUAGACACACAAUCCAUUCUUGAUCAAAUACAUGAGUUAUAAAUUAUUGUUGCUAAGCUUCGAGAGUUAAAAGUUGAAAUUUUUGAAUCAUUUCAAGUUGGGACUAUUAUUGCUAAAUUGCCUCAAAGUUGGAAUGAUUAUAGAAAGAAACUCCUUCAUAGUAAAGAGAACAUAACUUUAGAAGAAUUGCAAAAACACUUGAUAAUUGAAGAAGAGACUAGGUCUCGCGAAUCCAAGGAUAAGCAUGAUUCUACUAAAGUUAAUGUUCUUGAAGCUAGUAAAUUCUCAAAGAAUUUUAAAGUCAAGAAUGACAAGAAAUUUAAGAAGUCCAGCACACAAAAGUUUUCUGGAAAUUGUUUCUUUUGUGGUAAGAAAGGUCAUCGCCAAAGUGAUUGCAGAUUCAAGAAAAAAAAAAGGAAGAAGUGGAUUCCUAUAAAGCUAAUGUUAUUGAAAACAAAUCUGAAAAGAUUUGUGCUAUGGUUUCUGAAAUGCAAAUUGGCAUGAUUAUCGAAACCAAUAUGGCUGAAACUAAGUCCUAUGAUUGGUGGCUCGAUUCGGGUACAACAAUUCAUGUUUGUAAUGAUAAGAAAUUUUUAUUAUCAUACAAAGAAGAAACGGAAGGACAAAUGGUUCUCAUGGGGAACAAUAAUGCAGCCAUAGUAGCAGGGAAAUGAGUAGUUGAGAUCAACUUCACUUCUAGAAAGAAAGUCACAUUGUAUAAUGUCUUUCAUGUACCUUUCGUUAGGAAGAAUCUUAUUUCUGCUAGUUGUAUGUGUAAGCAUGGGCUUAAGAUUGUGCUUGAGGGUAAUACUUGUAUUAUCUCAAAGAAUGAAUUAUUUGUUGGGAAAUGGUAUUCUUGUGAUGGAAUGUACAAACUCAACAUUAAUAAUAAUAAUAUCAACUUAGCUUAUAUUGUUGAGUCUUGUGAUGUUUGGCAUGCUAAAUUAGCACAUUUGAAUUUUAGAUCUUUGAAAUACAUGUCUGAGCAUGGUUUGAUUAAUUGCAAUGAUGUUAAAGGUCAUAAGUGUGAAAUCUGCAUCCAAGCUAAAUUAACUAAGAAACAUUUUCUUAAAGCCGAACGAAAUACUCAAAUAUUGGACUUAAUAUAUACCGAUAUUUGUGAGUAUAAUGGCGUUUUAACAAGAGGAGGUAAGAAGUACUUUAUCACUUUUAUUGAUGAUUGUUCUAGAUACACUUAUGUGUAUUUACUUAGAACAAAAAAUGAAGCUUUUGAUAAAUUUAAAAUUUUCAAAGCUGAAGUUGAGAACUAAAAAGAUAAGAAAAUCAAAAUGGUUCGUAGUGAUAGAGGUGGUGAAUAUUUCUCAAUUGAAUUUAAUAAUUAUUGUGAAGAAUUUGGAAUUAUUCACCAAAGAUCAGCUCCAUUUACUCCUCAACAAAGUGGUUUGGCUAAAAGAAAGAAUAAGAUCUUCACAGAUAUGAUAAAUUCCAUGAUCCUUAAUGCAAAACUACCAAAUAAUUUGUGGGGGGAAGCAUUACUCACUGCAUGUCAUAUUCAUAACAGAAUUACAUAUUUGAAAACACAUAUAUCUCUUUAUGAAAUUUGGAAAGGAAGAAAACCAAACUUGAUGUAUUUAAGGGUCUAGGGUUGUUUAGCUUUUUAUAAAAUACAUGAUCCUAAAUCAUCAAAGUUAUGUGCUAGAUGUAUAAAGAGUGUUUUCGUAGGAUAUGCUGAAAAUUCCAAGGCUUAUAGGUUGUUAGAUUUAGAUUAUAAUGUGAUUGUGGAAUCUAGAGAUGUUGAAUUUAUUGAGAAUAAAUUUCAACAUGAUUCUAAUAUUGAAUUAGAAUCAAUUAUUGAUCAACCAUGUGUUAAUACUCCUGUUACCUCCACUAACAAUAAUAAAAGGAAAGACUCUAUGACAUCUUUCGAACCAAUGAGGAGUCAAGGUGAAAAGAAAGAAAAGAGUUUAGCUCCGAAUUUUAUUUCAUCACAAGCACUACUCUUCUUGGUUGAAGGGGAUAGAAAGAAUGUACUUAACAAAGUACCAUUGUUGUUAAAUAUUGAAAAAGAUCCAAAGACAUUUAGCGAAGCUAUGUCUUCUAGAGACGCUUCUUUUUGGAGAGAGGCGGUAAAUGAUGAAAUUGAUUCGAUUAUUUCGAAUCAAACAUGGGUCUUGGUUGAUCUUCCUCCAGGAUCUAAACCAAUUAGCAGCAAAUGGGUAUUUAGAAGAAAGUACAAUAGUGAUGGUUCUUUGCAAACUUUUUAGGCUAGAUUAGUAGCCAAAGGGUUUAAGCAAAGAAAUGGUAUUGGUUAUUUCGAUACAUAUGCUUCGGUAGCAAGGUUAACUUCUAUAAGAGUGCUAUUUGCAAUUGCUUCAUUGAAUAAUUUGUAUGUGCAACUAAUGGAUGUUAAAACCGCUUUUCUUAAUGGUGAUCUUGAUGAAGAAAUCUAUAUGGAACAACCUGAGGGAUUUGUUUUACCAGGAAAUGAGAAAAAAGGUAUGCAAGUUAGUCAAAUCACUUUAUGGUUUAAAGCAAGCACCAAAACAAUGGCAUGAGAAGUUUGAUUCGGUAAUUUUAUCUCAUGGUUUUAAGCAUAAUAAUGCUGAUAAAUGUAUAUAUUUUAAAGUUACGAAUGAUUUUGGUGUGAUUAUAUGCUUGUAUGUUGAUGACUUGCUUAUCUUUGGAACAAAUAUGCAAGGAGUAGAUGAUACAAAGAAGUAUUUAACUUCACAAUUUAAGAUAAAAGAUCUUGGUGAAGUAGAUACUAUCUUAGGUGUCAAAGUGAAGAAACAUAGUGGGGGUUACUCGUUGUGUCAAUCUCAUUAUAUAGAGAAAGUGCUUCUUAAAUUCAAUUAUUUGAAAUUUAAAGAAGCUAAUACCCCAUAUGAUUCUAGUAUUAAAUUAUUAGAGAAUUCAGGCCGAGUAGUAGCACAACUAGAAUAUGCUAGUGCUAUUGGUAGCUUGAUGUAUGCUAUGCAUUGUACGAGGCCUGAUAUAGCAUUUGCAGUUUGCAAAAUGUCAAGAUUCACGAGUAACCCUAGUGUUGAACACUGGAAAUCAAUUGGUAGAAUACUUGGUUAUCUUAAAAGGACCAUUAAUUUGGGUUUGUUUUAUAAUGAUUAUCUUGAAGUACUGGAAGGAUAUUCAGAUGCUAGUUGGGUAACCAAUACAAGAGAUAAUAAAUCCACUUCUGGUUGGAUUUUUACAAUUGCUGGAGGAGCAGUUUCUUGGGCUUCAAAGAAACAAAUGUACAUAACUCAUUCAACAAUGGAAAGUGAGUUUAUAGCACUCGCAGUUGCAAGCAAGGAAGUAGAAUGGCUGAGAAAUUUGUUGUUUGAUAUAAUGUUAUGGCCACAACCGAUGCCAUCUAUUUCUUUGUACUGCGAUAGUGAAGCUACAUUGUCUAGAGCUUAUAAUAAAGUGUAUAAUGGAAAGUCUAGACAUAUUAGCUUGAGACAUGAAUAUGUGAAACAAUUAAUAGCAGAUGGUGUUAUUAAUAUUGUUUAUGUUAGGACUAAUAAGAACCUAGCGGAUCCUUUAACAAAAGGUCUUACAAGAGACUUAGUUAAGGAUACAUCUUUUGGAAUGGGAUUGAAACCUUUAAAUAAUAAAGUCACCAACGACGAUAACCCAACUAUGUAGUAGUUGCACCGCUACUCCAUAGUUAAAUGGAUAAUAACAAGUUGUUGUUAUGUGACUGGUUUGGCACCGAGUAAUAAAUAAUCACAUUCGAGAUAUUCGGUGCAAAUAGCUACGAGGUUGAGGUUGAGUAUUUACUCUUAAUGAAGUUCAAGUCUUAUACUAGCUAAAGACAUGAUUUGAAACUUCACCUAAGUGAACAUAAGAAAUGGUGCCGUUUCUAACAAGAUCAUGGUUUAAUCUAGUAAAUGUUUAUGAAUCCAAGAUAGAGCACAAGGCCGGAAUAGUGCUAAAUAUUGGAACACAACUUUGAAAAUCUGGGAUAGCUUAUAUGUGAUGUAUCUCCGGUAUUUACUUAAGAGACAAAGUUUAAUGCUUAGCACACUAUUGUUUUGUAAAUGCUUUGAAAUACACUCACUAAUUAAAGGUUAAAAUCGAAAGAUAUCGUUUUGUAUGUAUAAGUUUAUCAUUAAUAAAUAUGAAAAAUAUUACAAUCUAGUGGGGGAUUGUAAGAGAGAUUGUAACAUUUUCAAUCUUUGGUUUGAUAUUCUGGAAGAAAACGGUUUGCCGUUUAUGGAGAAAACGGCUAACUGUUUAAUUCCAAAUAGCAUGUUUUCUGUUCUAGAGAAAACGACUAACUAUUUGGAGAAAAUGGCUAACUGUUUAAUUUUAGAGAGCAUGUUUUCUGUUCUAGAGAAAACGGCUAACCGUUUGGAUAAAACGGCCAACCGUUAAUUACAGAGAGUAACUUAUUUGACAUUCUGGAAUAAAACGGCUCACCGUUAUUGAGAAAACGGCUAACCAUUUAUUUCCAGAGAGCGUGUUUUUGCGUCAACUGGAAAAACGGUUAGCAAGCUUGGAAAUUUCAAUUGUCAAUCGAUGCAAACUCAAACCAAAAGAGUGUUUUUUUAAAGAAGUACCAUUUCUAAUAGUUGUAUUCUUUCAAAUAAACAUCUUCUUUAUUAAAGAUAGACAAACAAUUAGAUCAUAAUCAGAUUUUGCAGGUUUCAUAUAUGUUUUGGAAAUACAAUCUUAUUUGCUAGAGAUUGUAUUCAGGAUUUGAUAUAUCUUGGGGGUAAUUUGCCAUUAAAACUCUAUAGCAAACCAAGAUUGGUGAGGGCAAAUAAAACCUUAAAGGAAAGUGUGCAAACACGUCUCAAAUCCUAAGAAUUGUUUUUUGUUCUUUGUCUCAAUAUUCUUAAAAUUCGAAAAUUCACCCAUCAUAUACAUACUACAUAUUAUUAAUUUUUGUUUUAUAACUAUAGUUUUUUUUUUACCGCAACUGUAGUUUAAAAACUACAGCACCUCAAUCCCAAAUAAGACCUUAGUAGAAGUGAGCGCGAAAGCCGAUCACCCAACAUUCGCGCUUGUGAGAGACUCCACUCUCUCCACUCCUUCCAAAUCCAAAAUCCUCGACCGUUUCAAAAAUCUCAGCUCGACCGUUUCAAAAAUCUCAGCGUCAAUUUAGUUCAUGUGCGCCACUCUUUUAGCUUUCCAAUUUUCCCGCCAAUUUUCUUUUAUUGUGAUUAAUUAAUUAAUUAAUGUAAAGAUUUUAUAUUAUAAUUUUGUUUGCAGGGAGAUCUAUACAGCCAUGAGAGCUUGGUGAGUACAAUAAAGCAAGUGGAUGUGGUGAUAUCAGCGAUAGGUCGCACUCAAUUAGCUGAUCAACUCAACAUUAUCGCAGCAAAUUGCGAUAACUAAGUACUUGGGAUUUUAAAGAAGCUGGAAAUGUUAAGGUUCUGAUUAACUUAAGUAAAUGCGUUAACUAAUUACUUGGGAUUUUAAAUUCAAAUGUGUGAAUUGUUCUAAAAAAUUAUUUAUGUUUAUUAGUCAGAGAUUCUUUCCUUCAGAAUUUGGAAAUGAUGUUGAUCGCGUGCAUGUCGUUGAGCCAGCAAGAACAUCAUUUGCCACCAAGGCUAAAAUCCGCCGAGCUGUUGAGGAUGAAGGAAUUCCAUACACCUACGUAGCUACGUAGCUUCCAAUUUCUUCGCUGGUUUGUAUCUUUCCAGUUUCUCACAGCCUGAAGCCACAGCUCCUCCAAGGGAUAAAGUGGUCAUCGUAGGUGAUGGAAAUGCAAAAGGCAAAGCGCUUCUGGAUACAUUUACUCUGUACACGCAAUGUGUGGUUACUGUUUGGAGAUAAAAAAGGAGAUUAAUUAAUAAAGAAAAUGAAAUUAUUGAGGGAUUUGCUGAAGAGUUGCGUGCACUCCUCAUUUUUCUCCACCACUCAUCUUACUUGCAAAAUGCAAUGACCAAACUAUCCUCGCCAAAGCCUAGACAUUUACUUGUGUUCAAAGGCCAUUUAAGGGAGACAAGUACAAAAAGUUAUAAAGGAUAGUAAGCAGAAGAAGAAAAUGGAAAGGGGAGGGGGGGGGGGGGAGAAUAAAAAAGGGGAGUGGGGCGUUAUCUAGGGAGGAUUUUUAUUUUUAUUUUUUUUCCUCUCUUCUCCAUGGCAUCUCUUUCUCUCUUUCUCCCACUAAGAAAUUCUUUCUUUUACACUCUAUUUUACUUUUAUGCAAAUUACGCAAAAAACUUUUGGUUUUAAGGCAAUGUUUAUUAAGCCACGUGAAUUUGAAAAAGCAUGAAUAAGGGGAUGAUUUUAACACAUUAAUUCACCAACAUUAAUUGGAAAAGAUCAGUUGCCACUUCGAAUCAGAGUAAUUUCUUCGGCAAUAGCCAAAUAUUGAUAUUUGAUCUUGACACUGUAGUUAAAUCAAUGUAACUGAUUUUGUCAUUUGAUCCCCAGUAAUUUUUAACAAGGAAGACGAUAUUGGGAUUAAUUCUAUCAAAGCGGUGGAUGAUCCAAGAACACUGAACAAAAUACUUUACAUCAGACCCCGUUGCAAUAUCUACUCAUUUAAUGAUCUUGUGUCUCUGUGGGAGGAAAAGAUUGGCAAAGCCCUUGACAGGGUCUAUGUUACAGAGGAACAACUUCUGAAAAACAUUCAAGGUUAGUUAGAACUAUCACUUUAUCAAGUGGAUAGAUGUAACUGACCGAUAAUGGAAAUUUUUUUCCUUCUCCAAAAUGCGAUAGAAUCUAAUCGGUUUCAACAAUCUCAAGAACACCUAUUCAUGGUUGUGUUGUUUGAAAUCUGUAUGUAUCAGUUUUCUUUCUAGAUCUCAGAUUGCUCGCAAGGAUGUCAAGUUUUGAUGAUGCUUGCCUGUUUUCCUGUGUUUACAGAAGCUUCAUAUCCACUCAAUAUGAUAUUACCUAUUGGGCACUCUGCCUAUGUCCUGGGAGAUCAGACCAACUUCGAAAUUGAACCUUCAUUUGGAGUAGAGGCAACAGAGCUUUAUCCAGAUGUCAACUACACUACUGUGGAUGAGUACCUCAACCAGUUCAUAUAAACCUUCUGAGAUGAGCAGCAGGAUCCUAACAAAAAAUUGGGUGGUUUCCAUCCCUGAUUCUAUGGUAUAAAGAUAGCGGCUUUCCCUGCUUUUGCCAGUUCAGUGAAGUUUGUUAGAUGAUGUUAUUUAUACUAUACUAGCAAAGAUCAAGUUGCCUUUCUUGUCAAGAAGCCAAGCUCUGGCAUUGGUUUAUGCUAGUUUUUCACACUAAUAUUGGUAUUCACUAAUUUUUUUUUUUCAUUUCACACCGCCAUCAUCAGUGGAGAUGCCCUCUUGUAUGGUACUAACUUUGAUUUUCCUUAUGCUUCACUUGCUGUCUCUGCAGAUUCGUAAAAGAUCAUUCAUGGAUAAGAUCAGAACAUCAAUUUGAUACAGUAUGCAUUGAGAACUCCCACAUGAUUCUUGUUCUAGUUCUGGUUAGACAUGAAACAUGUUACAGUUCCAUAACUUGAGACAUUGUCAUUCAACAAUUAUCAUCACAUUAAAACAGUGGCCAAUCCCUAACAGCUACCUUUUGACUCUUCACAUUUUUUUUCUGCAUUUUAUGCGCAUUAAUUAUCUAGACCUAGACUUAUUACACUUCUCAGCCUGGCCCGUUGGACAGUGAGUGAUGAAACAAAUUUUUUUUCAUGUUUAUUACUUUUUUUGCAUUCAAAAUGAUAAAACUGCAGAGGUUGUUGCAUGCACGUCAUUUGUUAGUAGGGGUAUCAAUUUAUGAACGUAUGAAGUAUCUCUUCUGCACCGGCAUCCUCCUUAACUGUCAGUAGGAUCACAAUAAGUCGACCAACCAUCUACCGUAUGGAUUAUCUAUAAAUUGAAAUUGGUGUGUAUUAUGGAUCUGUCACUCUGCUGCUUCUGUUUUCUUUUCUAUUUUUACCAAGAAAGAAACAUUGUUAAAACUGAAUGGUUGUUAUCUCGUCUUGUUGUAAUGUUGUGUAUGCUUUCUAGAAAAUAAUGAAGUGCCAAAUAUGAAAAUACUAGUGGCUACCUUACCAUCCUUAAUAAGUUGUCUGAUUGUCACCGUCAACAAUCACUCUCAGCAACUCAUAAUCCAUUUAAGCAUAUUAUAAAAUAAUCAAUUUUGUAUUUGCACCAACUUUUAGUUUUAAAUGACAAUUUCGUUGAUCCCCACACUUCUGUACUAAUCAAAUCCACUGAAACUGGACUUUUUUUUCUUUUUUUUUAUAAUUACAUCGAUUGCAUUGGCUAUUGCAGGGAAAAGACUGCCUCUACAGGGAACUAAACUUUCAGAAUUGAUCUUAUGAGGGUUUGAAUAUGCUCUCGUACUAGGUCAAUGGCCUAUUGGUUCGAGACCAUUCACAAAGAAAGAAAUGAGUUUUGCUUGUAUAAAUGAAAGAAAUCCAAAUGAUAACUAAUGUAUAGUGGUACAUGAGAAAAAUAAUUUCAGCCCCUGUGUAAAGUCAAAAAGAGAAAAUAUUAAAAGAAAGGAUAAUGUCAUUGAGUUCGGUGAAGUGAAAGAAAAUAAAAAACAUGGGAUUUAGUCAAACUUAGUGUCCCAAUCAGCAGAAAAAGGUUUUAGAAACUCACCUCAAGUUAAGCCAACUAUUAGGAGCUUUAUUUAAUCAUGGCUUUCUAAUGUAUAGUACUCCAAUACUAAACGAGGGCUACCUCUACGCUUGCAAAUGUAAAUGAAAUUGAGUUCGUGACGCACAAUGAAGUGAGCAAAAUGAGUUGAGAUCUGAGAAUAUAUUAAAGAAAAUAUGAAUCAAUGAAUUUUGGUUAAAAAAAACAAAUGCUGGUUCUUCAAGACCUGCGUGUAUUGUGUAAGUUUUGUUAGGAGAAGGAAAGCAUUUUGGUCUAAAACGCACUAAAUCGGAUUCAUUUGCUUGAUAUCUAAUAAGGGUGAAUUAACCACUCGCCCACAGCAAUUCAAGUACCCAAAAAAGUUUUGUGGGGGCUAAAUUUCUUCUUUAAUUAUAAAAAAUAAUUGAACGGAGGAUAAAAAUUUAGGCCAUGUAUAACAAUAACUAAUAUAAACUAGUCCUAAUAAUAGUAUAAUUGUAAAUAUCAGUUGUAGUCUCAUACAAUAUAAGUUUAUAGAUUAUAAUAUCGGCAUAAAAAGAAAAAUGAUAUCUGACGGUCAAUCAAUAAAAGGAUAAAAACUUUGGAGUAACAUACCACAAAGUCAAUGUAGCUGGACAGUGAAUAUAAUAUGUAAACAAAUUUAAAUGGGAUAAUACCAUACGGUACAUACAUAACAUUUUAAAACUGAAUUAAAAAAAUAAAAUUAAAACUGAAUUAGAAUUCGUAUGUGUAUCCAGCUACCUUGCCACAGUUGUAAGGUACCCUAACUUUGCAACAAUUUCAUCCUUCGUGCAUUCGGUCACAAAGUCCAAAUUAGGCACGUUUAAGAAUCGAACUGAAAAACUAAAAAAAAGAAUCCGGCGAUAUUUGCGAACCGGAAACGAGCCAGCGUUAUGCUUAUGUCAUUUCAGAGAUAUCAACAGUCGUGCUUUCAGUCCUUAAACCUCAAGGGCAUUUUCGUCCUUUCACUCAAGCGUGAAACUGCAUGUAAGAACUGCUUCGCUUACACGCUCCAUGCACAUUUAAAGGCACCACUGUCGGAUAAAAAAUAUCCAUCCAUUUGAUCAUUUCAAAACAAAACGAAAAAAAAAAUCUCAGUAAUUGAACUGAACGAGUCUCAGAAAUGGCAUCGAAAAGUAAGAUUCUAUUCAUCGGCGGGACAGGGUAUAUCGGUAAAUUCACUGUCGAAGCGAGCGUAAAAGCCGGCCACCCGACGUUCGUGCUCGUGAGAGAAUCCACAAUCUCUGGUCCUUCCAAAUCUCAACUCCUCGAUCACUUCAAAAACCUCGGCGUCAAUCUCGUCAUAGUGCGUUUUCAUUUUUCUCUUUUCUUAAUUUUUUAUUCCGAUCAUUUUUACACGUCGAAGUGUAGCAUCUACUACUUAAUAUACAUAAUGAUAUUAUUAUUUUUUAAUUUUUUUGGGUUGCUGUUAUUAUUAUGCAGGGAGAUGUGUUGAAUCACGAGAGUUUGGUGAAGGCGAUUAAACAAGUGGACGUGGUGAUAUCAACGGUCGGUCACACUUUAUUAGCUGAUCAGGUCAAGAUUAUUGCUGCCAUUAAAGAAGCCGGUAACGUUAAGGUAUAACAUAAUUAAUAUAAAUAUCUUGAAUUCCGAUCAGGAUUGUGCACUCGCGAACACGUGGUGAUUUAUUCUUGGUGUGGAGCUCGCUGUAGAGUAGAGCUCCCAGUUCAGCUAAUAAACACCCCGUCACAUGCGCAAUUGCGCCUCAAAAUAAUUUAAUUGAUUAAUUAAGGAUAAAUACCAAUGGCAUGAAAGCAAUUAAAAUUAGUUGAUGUUUAUAAAUUAUUUAUUACUCAGAGAUUCUUACCAUCGGAAUUUGGAAAUGAUGUUGAUCGAGUUGAAGGCGCCGUAGAGCCAACAAAAUCGACGUAUGACGUAAAGGCGAAAAUCCGCCGAGCCGUUGAGGCAGAAGGCAUUCCGUACACUUACGUAGAAUCUUAUUGUUUUGAUGGCUAUUUCCUCCCCAAUUUGUUGCAGCCUGAGGCCACUGCCCCCCCUAGGGAUAAGGUUGUCAUCUUAGGCGAUGGAAAUCCAAAAGGUAAUAUAAUUUAAUUAAGCUCUGUUUGUUUGGUAUGUAUUUCGGUGUUAAUGUUAUUGUCUGUUGUACAAUGGAUGGUCUUGCUUGGUACUGUUGUUGGAGAGCUGCAGUGUUUUGAUAAACACCUCUAUCCUUAGCUUUCAAGUUAAGUUGAUUUUAUACAACACUUGUUUAAUUCAAAACUUGUAAUAUUCUUACUACUUUGAUAAAAAAUAUUACGAUUAAAGCAUUAAUGGCACCAUAAUACGAAAUGAACCUUAAGUGGUCAUUAUAGAUUUUAAGAUAGAGUUUUAAGUGAUUACCAGAUACUUUAGCUGCUGAACCGCCACAUCAUGGUUGCCACACAACAAUUUCAAACAGAACCUAAAUAACUUCAUUGCAAAACAGUUAAAUGAAUCUAACUUAGUUUCGUCGUUUGAUUUUCAGCUGUUUUUAACAAGGAAGAUGAUAUUGGAACCUACACUAUCAAAGCGGUUGAUGAUCCGAGAACCUUGAACAAAAACUUUUACAUUCAGCCUCCCGGUAAUAUUUACUCAUUCAAUGAUCUUGUGUCUCUGUGGGAGAGAAAGAUUGGUAAAACCCUCGAAAAGGAGUAUGUUUCAGAGGAGCAGCUCCUAAAGAAUAUUCAAGGUUGGUUAAAACUCUCUUUUUUAAAUGUAUUAAAGAGAGCCGUAUAUUCUCUGCCGUAAAUGUCAUUGAUCCUGUCUUCUCCAAAAUGUUGCAGAAGCUGCACCUCCACACAAAGUGAUAUUAUCAAUUUAUCACUCUGCUUUCGUGAAGGGAGUUCAAACCAACUUCAAGAUUGAACCAUCUUUUGGAGUUGAAGCCUCGCAGCUUUAUCCUGAUGUCAAGUACACUACAGUUGAUGAGUACCUCAAUCAGUUUGUGUAACCCUUCGCUGUUUCCAGCUGCAGCUUGCAGGAUCUUGGACUGUUGGUAAAUAAAUAAUUGGCUUGUUGCCAUCUUUGGUUUUAUAUGUAAAAAUUAUGGUUGUUGGCCUUACUUUCUUCUGGUUGUCCAUGGAAUUUGUUAGACCAUAUUAUGUUUGCUAUGUCAGUGAUCAAAUGAAGUAGACCAUGUACUUGAUUUGAGAGUAGUAGUUAUAAAGCCAUCAUGAUCAGGUGGGUGCGUGGGUUGGGCUUCUAUUAGGGUGCGUGUGUUGGGGGGCUUCAGGGGCUUGUGAUAUGGGUUCGACAGCCCCUAACGGGCAGUCAUUAUAAAAAUGAUUAUAGAGUUACAAAUCUAUGUAAAAAGCAAAAAUUAAAAGUAAUUUAUCAAUAAAAAUAAUUAAAAUUAAUAAAAAGUAGGUAUGAUAUUUCAGAAAUUAAAUUAAAGAUAGCAUUCUAAAGAGUUGGAUAAUCCUUCAACUAAACUAAAGAUCUAGUACAUUUGAGAGCAAAUUUAAUUAAAGAAAAGGAUAAGGAAAAACAAUAGAAUAAUAAUAUUAAAAAAUUGCAAAUCUUGGUCUUUUUUUGUUACGAUGAUGUUGAAUUCUUAUAAAUUUAAUCUUAUCUAUAGAGUUAUUUAGUUACUGUAUGUCAAAAUUUCCUAUAAAGAUGAAGAAAAAUUAUAUUAGGAGAAUAUCCAAAUCCGUUUAACUAAUGCAUCAUCAACAACAUGAGUACAACAUUUUCGAAUAAACAAAAGAAACUCGUUAUAUGUGCGAACCAGUUCCAAAAUAAAGAGCAGACUAUUGGAAGGAGACAAAUACGACAAGAAGAACAAAACAUUCUACAGUUCCUACAUGAGCCCGCAACAAUUAAUUAUUAACUCGACAUUCAUUACACUUUUUCUUUAAUUUGAAAGAAACCAAAAAUAAGAUAAAAUUGACUAAGAAAUAAAAAAGUGACCAAAAUCUUUUUGAAGUUUUGCCAGUUCAGCCAUGCACGCUUAUCUUUAUUCACUUUUUCCUUUCUUUCCUUUCUUUGCUGAAGCCUUCACAGAUCCUUUACCUUUCUGAGCCUUGCCAAUUUUCCCCUUCUUCAAACCACCUGGCCUUGCUGGAUCCACGUGUCCUUGCAUCCUUUUUCAUUCGUGGAUCAACAAGAAUCUCCCCCUUUCCAGCUCUCUCUUGAACUCCUUGCUUUGCGACCAUGUAUUCUUUUGUAGGCCUUUUGGGUAUAAUUGUUCAAUUUGAUUCCGCUUCGAACGAUCAGAGAUGUCCGCUUAGUCUGAUAUGACAUUUGCCUUCUUGCGAACCUUCUCAAGAUUUCGCAUGGCACCGUAUCUUUCGAGCUUUGGUCUUAGCCACGCUCUUGGCAGUAAGGGUGGGCCAUUCGGUUUUGGGAUAAACUUUUGGUUUCGUAUCGGUUUAGAUUCAAAAAUAAUAUAUAAAAAUAAGUAGAUUUUAAUGGAAAAAAUCCAAACUGAAACUGACCUAUCGAUUUCGGCUCGGUUUCAGUUCAGUUUCGAUUCUCCUAAUAGUUUUAUUUUGCCUUAUUGACUUCCGGUCAAUGACACUUUUGAAAAAUUUACAAAAAAAAAAAAAACUGGCCAUAACAAAAUUUCUAUAUGCAAAUAUUUCCUAAACAUUGGGCUAUACUAAAUUUUUUUCAAAGGUAGGGAUCCAAACGAUAUUAUCCCUCUACUUCAUCUUCAACCUUCGUCACUAGGGAUGGCAAAAUCCGAGUCCGGGUCCGGGUAUAGCCAUUCCGGAUCCGGACCCGAACGAAUAUUUUCUAUACCGGACCCAGAAAUAAACCCGUAUUUUUCCACUCCGAGUCCGAUACGGGUUCAACCCGGAAAAAUUCGGGUUCCCAGACUGCGGGUUUCUAACCCGGAUUGAUGAAUCCAAUUGAAAAAAAAAAACUAAAUUUGACUAAAAAAAUCAAAUAGAAAUACAUAUCUAGGAUUUCAACAAAUCAAAAAAAAAUUAUUUCAUCUGGAAACUAAUUAACAAAAACAACAAUUUUGUUUGGCUGCCCAGAAUCAGCAACCCAAUGUGGCGGCUCGUUCAAAACAUUAGUGUUUUCAACAGAUUUUGGGGUAGGAAAAGCCAAACCUAUCUAGAACAAUGAAUUUGUAUUUUUGGGGGAGAUGGGGUACCUCACUGGUUUGUUGUAUGCGGUGCAGUGUAUCUGAAAUUUGGGGGAGGUGAGAAGGGGAGAGGGAGUGGUAACAAUGGUGAAAGGUCAAAACCAAGAGAGAUGUCCUUCAAAAUGAGCUCACACAUGUAAAACAGUGAAAUAGAGGUUAGAGGUGAAGCCGGGGUACCCCGGCAUUCACACUCCGACGCUCAAGUUAGCAAACUCAAGCUUUUAUGACAAAGAGAACUGGCUAGCCCUCUGUAAAUUAGGGUUUAAGGUUCAAGGAAACCUAUUUUUUAGAGUGUGAGUGUUAAUGGUGAGUGAGAGACCUCUUGGAGAAUGAAACCCAGGUGCCUUUAUAUAUGGAGUACCUCAGCUGCCACGUGGCAUACCCUUUUUAGCUAACGUCUUUUUUCCUUUUUAUGAUUUUUUGGCCGUUAUGUGCAUGUUCGCGGCGUAUCUCAUCUUUUGGAAAUGUGGCGUGCGCUGGAGAGUGGUCCAGGGUACCUCUGCAGUAAUUGUCGGGUAGGCGGCUGAGGACCACUGUCCUUGGGACAAUGUCCUUCACUUUUGGUAGAGGUGACAGGCGGCUGUCCCCCCUUUUAGCACGACAUUUUUGAUUCCUAAUUCUGACAAAAUCGAAUAAUAUCUUUUAAGAGAUGGAGACGUUUCUCAUGGUAGAUAUUUUCGGAGGAUUCUCUGGCAUCCGAUCAGCCGGGUUCCUCCAGUUACGCGGGGUACCUCAAUUUAUGUGGGGUACCUCUAAUUGUGCGGGGUACCUUUAUUUGCGCAAGGUACCUUGAAUCAUGCCAGGUACCUCAGAUUAUGUGAGGUAUCUCUAAUUGUGCGAGAUACCUCUAUUUGCGCAAGGUACCUUGAAUCAUGCUGGGUACCUCAGAUUGUGUGGGAUACUUCUAUUUUCGCAGGGUACCUUGAAUCAUGUUGGGCACCUCAGAUUGUGCGGGGUACUUCUAUUUGCGCAGGGUACCUUGAGUCAUGCGAGGUACCUCUAAUCAGGCCAGGUACCUCUAAUCGUGCUGGGUACGUCUAAUCAUGCGGGGUACCUCUAAUCAGGCCGGGUACCUCUAAUCACGCCGGGUACCUCUAAUCAUGUGGGGUAUCUCUAAUCAGGCCGGAUACUUCAGAUUGUGCGGGAUACCUCAGAUUAUGCGGGGUACCUCUAUUUGCGCAAGGUACCUUGAAUCAUGUCAGGUAUUUCAGAUUGUGCGGGGUACCUCAAAUUGUGUGGGGUACCUCUAAUCGUGCGGGGUACCUCUAAUCAUGUCGGGUACCUCGGAUUGCACUGAAGUUAUUUCAUUCGUUGACACGUGGCGAUAUACUAUCUUUCCUAUUUUUCCCUCAAACAACAUCCCCCUAGUUUCUUUUGGCGAGAAGUUUUAGAGGCAAAAGAAAUUUACAUAAAAAGUAGGAGCGACACGUGGCGAUAUGAUGUUUAGCUCGAUGGGUAACUAAAUAGAGGGCGCCUCUAGGGGUACCCUGAGAACCCAAAAAGGGAAGAUGAGUUCCCUUUCCUCGGAAAUGACUACCACUUUGGACAUGUUGGAAAUGACAGAGCUAAUUGAUCAAAAAAUUUUCAUCUAUUUCUGGGGAAGAACACCAAAUACUGGUAGAAGGUAUCGUUAGGGUACCCCACCAUUAUCCAUAGUUUGUUUUCUAGUGACUGCCAUGGAUAAAUCGCUCUGGUGAAGGCUUCAAUGCAUUCUUUGGGCAUUUAAGAAGCAAUUAUUUAAUUAUCUCGGGAUCCACCUUAUUUAAGGGUACAUUUCCUUCAUGUUCUUCGAAGACAAAAAUAAAAUCAUAGGGCUUCCUUCCUUGCAACUUCAGAGGUACCCUCGACAGAAGAACAUAGUCGACAAUGCUUUUAAGCGUAUCAUGAUCGAGGAAUGGAGUGCUGAUCUGGGGUUGGUGGUGCCAAGAGUGGAGAAGAUGGUAGAUGAACCGGCUAUCUUGAAGGCGAUUGACGAUAGCGGGGCUCCUAACACAUCUUGGUCUGAAAGCCCAUUGAGAUUAGCUGAGGUACCUCAGAUGAAGUAUCUAUAAGGUACCCCUGAUACUAACCCUUGUGUUUUUGCUACUUUUAGCACUUUUGUUGAUCCCCUCAUCUUAAGGGAUGAAGUUGAAGAUAACCAUCCUGCUGUGUAACCUUGUUCGGCAUUACUGACAAGGUGUAUGGGGUACCUCGGGUACCCUAAUGCUUGGAUAUCCCUUGAGCUAUCUAUUACUUCAUGGCGGAAUAACCCAAUUUCAUCAACCAUAUGACGAUUCCUCCAGAUAUGCUUGUCGCUUAUCUUAAGCUUUCUUAGGGUUUCUCCCGGUGUAUCUGAGGAAUAACUUUCUGGCGUGGGGUACCCUUAAUCAGCGUAUGACGAUUUUCAUAGAAAUGCUUACCGCAAAUCUUCACAAAACUUGUGGCGGUUUCUGUUGAGAGAUGAUGGAAAACCUCAUGAUCCACCAUUCACUCUAAAUCAAAUAUGCAAGACAAAUAGUAAUAAAGGUGACUGCUCGCCUACCCUUAUGCAAAAUAGUGGAAAAUCUCAUGAUCCGCCAUUCGCGUGGAAUCAAAUAGACAACAUAGAUUGAGAUAAAUGUAGCUGCUCACCUACCCUUAUGCGAGAUGGUCGAAAACCUCAUGAUUCAUCAUUCGCAUGGAAUCAAAUAAACAAUAUAGAUUAAGAUAAAGGUGGCUGCUCGCCUACCCUUAUGCGAGAUGGUCGAAACCUCAUGAUCCACCAUUCGCAUGGAAUCAAACAUGACGAAAAAAUAAUGAUAAAGGCGGCUACUAGCGUGCCCUUUUGCUGGGUCUACUGUUGAGUAGAUUAUCAUGAUCGGAGAUUGGUCAUGUACACCUCGGGUACCCUGGAAUAAGGUACCUCGGGUACCCCGGAAUAAGGUGAUCUCUGGAUUCCAUCUUGCUUCAUAAUAAACAAUGCUCAACGACAUAUAUAAAAUUAGUUUAAUGGUGAACAUAUUAUUAUAGCAUUUCAAGCUACUCAUCCAUAUCAAAAAAUCGAGAGGCAAAUAAAAGAGCACACAUUAUCAAACUUUGUAAAGAAAAUACAUUCACAAAGAGUGGCGAUAUGGAUCAUUAUAUGACACUAUUUUAUUAUCCUAAGGAGAAUAUAGGGGAUCCCGAGAUCACUUGUUAUUGUCAUUAAAGGCUUAGGAAACUGACCAGUUUGGGGUACACUCUGGAUACCCCAUAUAGCCAAGCAUAUAUUUCAAACAUACAAGCAUUAAAGAAAACAAACAAACUAAGUAGAAGGGGGUAAAGUGUUAUCACUUUACUAGUAGUAUGACUUUUCUUUGUUGUUCUUCUGAAAGGUUGGAGCCUAUUUUGACGGUCUUUGUUGGAUCGGUGGCGCAAAUUGAGACUGAAAUUGGGUCUUCAACCAGGGUACCUCGUUUUUCAUCUUUGGGUAUUCAAGGAUCCAAAUGUGCCUCCAAUUCACAUUUGGGCUUAAUCUGGUCCCCUUAGGGUAUCCCCGCAUAACUUCAGAGUAACUAGUUAUGGGGUACCCCACCACCGAGGCCUCGAUGGUGACUCUUGCUGCUUUGAUGGUGGCGAUCUUAGAGGUUGGGGUACUCGUGAGAUACCCUGAGUUUAAACCCUCGUCCCCGCGGGGCAGCCCGUGGAGGGCUCCGAGUUUGGGGUACCCUUAGUAUUGGGGAUUCGGUUUUCUUGGGCUUCUUCUUGUUCUUUGUGACUUCGGCCUUAUUUUCUUGGCACUUCAAAUGGCAUUUCUCAUCCAUCUCCACUUACUGCAACGCCCGAGAACGGGCUUCCACAUAUGAAAGAGGGCGCUUCUUUUGAAAAGAACGUCAUACAUUGCCCAACCGUAAAUUUUUCUCAAAAUGGGUCAAUGUGUAUUGGUUUCCAAAUGCUCCGGUUCGCAGCACCUCUUAGUGGAAACGACUCACAUACUCUGUCAAAGGCUCGGCUUCCCCUUGCUUAAUAAAGGCAAGUUUGGAGACUACUCUAUCUUGAGUAGAAGCGUAGGAAAAUUCUUUAGUAAAUUCGGAUAACAAUUGGUGUUUUCAACAGAUUUUAGGGUAGGAAAAGCCAAACCUAUCUAGAACAAUGAAUUUGUAUUUUUGGGGGAGAUGAGGUACCUCACUGGUUUGUUGUGUGCGGUGCAGUGUAUCUGAAAUUUGGGGGAGGUGAGAAGGGGAGAGGGAGUGGUAACAAUGGUGAAAGGUCAAAACCAAGAGAGAUGUCCUUCAAAAUGAGCUUCACACCUGCAAAACAGUGAAAUAGAGGUUAGAGGUGAAGCCGGGGUACCCCGGCGUUCACACUCUGACGCUCAAAUUAGCAAACUCAAGCUUUUAUGCCAAAGAGAGCUGGCUAGCCCUCUGUAAAUUAGGGUUUAAGGUUAAAGGAAACCUAUUUUUUGGAGUGUGAGUGUUAAUGGUGAGUGAGAGACCUCUUGGAGAAUGAAACCCAGGCGCCUUUAUAUAUGGAGUACCUCAGCUGCCACGUGGCGUACCCUUUUUAGCUAACGUCAUUUUUCCUUUUUAUGAUUUUUAGGCCGUUAUGUGCAUGUUUGCGGCGUAUCUCAUCUUUUGGAAACGUGGCACGCGCUGGAGAGUAGUCCAGGGUACCUCUGCAGUAGCUGUCGGGUAGGCGGCUGAGGACCACUGUCCUUGGGACAAUGUCCUUCACUUUUGGUAGAGGUGACAGGCGGAUGUCCCCCCUUUUAGCACCACAUUUUUUAUUCCUAAUUCUGACAAAAUCGAAUAAUAUCUUUUAAGAGAUUGAGACGUUUCUCAUUGUGGAUAUUUUCAGAGGAUUCUCUUGCAUCCGAUCAGCCGGGUUCCUCCAGUUACGCGGGGUACCUCUAUUUGCGUAAGGUACCUUGAAUCAUGCCGGGUACCUCAGAUUGUGCGGGGUACCUCUAUUUGCGCAGGGUACCUUGAAUCAUGCUGGGCACCUCAGAUUGUGCAGGGUACCUCUAUUUGCGCAGGGUACCUUAAGUCAUGCGAGGUACCUCUAAUCAUGCGGGGUACCUCUAAUCAGGCCGGGUACCUCUAAUCACGCCGGAUACCUCUAAUCAUGCGGGGUACCUCUAAUCAGGCCGGGUACCUCAGGUUGUGCAUGGUACCUCAGAUUAUGCGGGGUACUUCUAUUUGCGCAGGGUACCUUGAAUUAUGCCAGGUAUCUCAGAUUGUUCGGGGUACCUCAAAUUGUGUGGGGUACCUCUAAUCGUGCGGGAUACCUCUAAUCAUGUCGGGUACCUCGGAUUGCACUGAAGUUAUUGCAUUCGUUGACACGUGGCGUUCUGCUAUCUUUCAUAUUUUUCCCCCAAACAAUUAGUAAAGAGAGCUAAAGAACUAGCUUUAGUUGCGAGUAGGAAGUCAAGAGUCAAGGAGCAGCCAAAGCACUUUUAAUGGUGAUGGGAAAGCUGGAGGGGUAAUGCAAAUAAGUUUACGUUGAUUGGAUAUUCAGAAGAAGUAAUACGCUAUUAAAAGCAACAAGUUUUCCAAAAAGCCAACAAAGACAGACACCAUCACACCACCCCGCACUGGAUGAAAAAAGAUGAAAUCAUGAUAAGUGGCAUCGAGUAAGCCACGUUCUCUCUCUCUCUCUCUCACUCGCACUCGCACACACUGUUACUAAAAUGACCAAAAAAUAAGAUUCCCAUCAAAAUAUUUUCGAGUAUCAUUCUUAAAAGUGACGGCGGCUGAUGAUGAUGAACACAGCCGCGAUUGCGAUUGGCGAAGGCGGCGUUCAACCCGUAUCACAGCUGGUUAUCGGUCGCGGCGGAAAAGAUAAGGAAACGACAGUUGAUAAUGAUGAUGAUGAUGUUGAACAGCCGCGAAGAUGGGUAAGUGAUGCGACGAUGAUUUGAUUUGAUGAAGAUGAGCUGAAGAGGGAAUAAGAGAGGAAAUGUUUGUGCGGCUGGGAAAGUGUAAUGAGCUGCUAGGGCACCAUUUGGGUUUUUUUGCUUUCCUAUUUAUAUUAAAAAUCAUUUUUAAAAAUUAAUAUAUAUCCGGGUCUGAGUUUUGGAUGUACGGGUUUACCUAGACCCGAACACACGCGGGUUUUUAAAAUGACAUCCGGAUCCAGAUUUUAUUUAAUCCGGUACGGGUUGAACCCGGACUGGAAAAUCCGGGUUUCAUCUAGGUCCGGGCCAGGUGCGGGUUGAAUUGCCAUCCUUAUUCGUCACUUAGCAGCUACCACAAUAUCGAAAUGGAAAAACUAAAAAAGCACCAUAGGAUACGCAUAUCCACACAUAUAUAAUAAAACUAAAUAUUAUUAAUAAUUUAGUAUCUAUAUAUAUAUAUAAAGCUGGGACUUGAGGAGGUGAUGUGGCAUCACCAUUUCUCAUCUUUGUAUAUUCUCUAUUAUCUAAUAAAUAGAGAAAUUUUCUUUUAGAUUUGGUUUUUCAUCUUCUCAUAAUUAAUUUGAUUGUUUUUACACAAUAACAAUUAUGUAAAGAUUUUAAUGAAGCAUAUUCUUUGUAAUGAACAUCCAAGGGGGAGUGUUAUGAAUUUAUUAAAAUAAAUGUAGAUGUUCAUAACAUAUAUCUCUUAGUCUCCCCACUAUCUCCCAUUAGCAACCUUUAACUUCCUUAUAACUCCCAUUAUCUCACAAGGAAUUAUGAUCCAUAAUUUUUCAUUAAUUUCAUGGAGUGAUUAUGUAACUAUAAAAGGAGAGCUUAUCUUUUUGUUUUGUACACACACAAUUGGAAUAAAUAAAAUCACUCUAUAAUAUAUUCUCUCAUUUUAUUCUUUAUCUUGUGUUGCUUCUUUAUUUGUAUUGUUGGCUAAUAGCUUUUUUUGUUUUUUAUAAGGCUGCCUCAUCUUAAAAAAAAAUUAAUUCAUAUUUUUUAUCAGUUUCAUCAAGUGUAAAGUAAGAAUAAAAAAAAGGCAAACAUGAAAUUAGAAAAGACUAAAGAGCUAUUUAAAAAAAAAAGCCAUUUAAAAAAAGGAAAAUAGCAAGUUAUUUGGCUAGUUAACUGGCGACAGAAGUAAUGGAAAGAAGCAACAACGGCAGCGGCAGGUCGACAGCGAAGAUUCAGCAGCACCGACCACCCACAGACUGGGAUUUGAUUGCAAAGUUGGGACUUAGGAUUUAGGUUUCUGGCUGCUGAAACUGAAAGCGAGAGAGUAGAAAGUAGAGACUGAGAGUGGUGCAAACAUGUGUAAUUGUGUGUGUGUGUCUAUAUAUAUAUAUAUAUAAUGUGAAAUUACAAAAAUGCCAUUAUAUCAGUUCAAUUCGAAUUUUGUAACUUGUGAUCCGAAAACUGAACCAAACCGAACCAUUUGGUUUGGUAUUUAUAUAUUCGGGUUUUUAAUUUAAAAAACUAAAUUGAAACUGAAAAAACUAAACCGAACCGAAUGUUUUUUUUUGUUUCGGUUCAAUUCUGCCCAUCCCUACUUAGUAGGCUGGGCAUCAAUUUCUUUGAAUUGUGCUUUCAUUGCAGUAAUCUCCUUCUUGGUAAUAGGUUUAAUUGCUUGCUGAUGCCUCAUUUCCUCUGGUAAUAACUAGUCUAACAAGCCAUCAUCGUCAAACAUGUACCUAUUAUAAGCAUCAUCCAGAAUUUGCUCUCUUUGCUUUUUGCUUAGUGUCUUCUUUGCACAAGCUAUUAUCUCAGCUUUUGUAUCAAUAUCUUUAUCUUUUGAUUCACUAGAGGAUGAAUCAUCACCGGAAUAGAGUGGUGAAGGCCCCAUAGAUUAGUGUGGUUAAGUUCUAGUGUAGUUUUGGUUUUGAUUUCAGUAUUAGGAAAAUGAAGCGUAUGAAAUUUACUAAGCUAACAUGCUUCACAAAAGUGCUUUAAUACUUGACUAUGAAUACUUGAAGAGGAUAAAUGAGGAUAAAUAAAUUUAAAUAUACAUUAGAUUUUGAGGGUUGGGAUGUCAAAACUUUUGGUGAAAAAGAGUUAGUACAAGCAUUUUAUUGAGAUUGAAAACAUUUCUUAAGAUGAUCAAUGCUAGCUACAAAAUUGGAAUGAAAAAAAAGGCAACAUAGACAAAGGUUUGUUUAUUUGAUUGUAAGAUAGAAAAGACUUGUAUUUAGGUUGUGGAAAGGAUUUGAGCAGCAAUUUAUACAACCUUUUCUCAGCAAAACCUUCAUCUUCAAUGAAUCCUUCACAAAACAAAUAGAUCCAAGAAAUUCGACAAAUAAAUUGUUGUCAACGGUAAGUUUUGAAAUGCUCAAUAGAUUCUUUGUAAUGGAUGGAACAAACAGUACAUCCUUAAGUAAAAUAUGUCUUAUAUUAUCUUUUUUUAAUUCUUUUUAAAAAAAUAAGUGAAUAAUAGUAUGUCAAUCUCAAAUAUCAAUAUGUACAAUUUUUAUUUGUGUAAGAAUUUGCAUCCAAUAAUCAUCAAUACAUAAUUGUCUUUUAAUUGAAUGGUUCUCACCUCCCUUCCAAACUUUGAAAAGGUAAAAUAAGAUCAAUCAUGUCAGUGGCAAUUAAUAUAAAGAUUACUUUUCUUAUUUGUAGUAAUGUCCUCUGAUUAUUUAGCUGAUUUUCAAGCUACACAUUUAUUCCAUUUGAUGUUGAUAUUAGUAAAAUUAAUGUAAUAUUUAAAAAGGAAAAAAAUCCGUUGAGCUAAAAGCCGAGUAUAAAAUUGAACCGGACCCAAACCAGAAACGCACGCCAACAACAUGCUUGCGUCAGUCGGCCCAUGCCCAUAAACCCACCAAGCCCGAUCCAAAUAGAAAAAUGAAUUGGACAUCCGAGAUAGCAGAAACAGAUAAGUAACGCUCGCGCUAUCCCCAAUCUCAUAUCUUUAACGGUAUCCAGCCAACAUCUCAAAGUGUUCAAUUUGUUUUUAAACCAAAAAAAAAAAUUCAAAAUUUUCAAGCGGAAUUUGGGAAGAUGGCGACGAAAAGCAAGAUUCUGGUUAUCGGCGGAACCUGAUACAUCAGUAAAUACUUAAGGUGCGUUUGAAAUUGAGGUUGAACAACUAUAACUUUAAAACUGCAGCACUAAAAUGUUUGGUAAACACUAACUGUUGUAACUUAAAAGCUAUUUAAUAUAAUUUUUCACUUGUAUAAUAAAAAAUUUAUUAUCUUUAAUAUUUUUGUCAAAAUUAUUAUUUAAAAUAUAUACUGUAAGAGAGAUUGUAACAUUUUCAAUCUUUGGUUUGAUAUUCUGGAAGAAAAUGAUUUGCCGUUUAUGGAGAAAAAGGCUAACCGUUUAAUUCCAAAGAGCAUGUUUUCUGUUCUAGAGAAAACGGCUAACCGUUUUGAGAAAAUGGCUAACCGUUUUGAGAAAACGGCUAACCGUUUAAUUCCAGAGAGCAUGUUUUCUGUUCUAGAGAAAACGACUAACCGUUUGGAUAAAACGGCCAACCAUUAAUUACAGAGAGUAACUUAUUUGACAUUCUAGAAUAAAACGGCUCACCGUUAUUGAGAAAACAGCUAACCGUUUAUUUUCAGAGAGCGUGUUUUUGCGUCAAUUGGAAAAACGGUUAGCAAGCUUGGAAAUUUCAAUUGUCAAUCGAUGCAAACUCAAACCAAAAGAGUAUUUUUUUGAAGAAGUACCAUUUUUAAUGGUUGUAUUCUUUCAAAUAAACAUCUUCUUUAUUAAAAAUAGACAAACAAUUAGAUCAUAAUCAGAUUUUGCAGGUUUCAUAUAUGUUAUGGAAAUACAAUCUUAUUUGCUAGAGAUUGUAUUCAGGAUUUGAUAUAUCUUAGGGGUAAUUUGCCAUUAAAACUCUAUAGCAAACCAAGAUUGGUGAGGGCAAAUAAAACCUUAAAGAAAAGUGUGCAAACACGUCUUAAAUCCUAAGAAAUUUUCUUUGUUCUUUGCCUCCAUAUUCUUAAACUUUGAAAAUUCACCCAUCAAUCUUUAAGGUUUUAUUUUGAUGCAAAUGGAGGCUGAGAAGAGUUUGACGUCAUUUCUUAAUCCUAGUGUCCAUCUCGAUCGUUUUGAUGAAACUAAUUUCACUCGUUGGAAGGGAAAAUUAUUCUUUCUUUUUACUGUUCUUAAAGUGGCAUAUGUUCUUGAUCCGAAAUUGAAACCAUUUCCAGAACCAAGAGAAGAUGAUACCGAAGUUGUUAAGGCUGCAAGGAAACGUCGUAAAGAUGAUGAAUUGAUGUGCCGGGGUCACAUACUCAAUACGCUUUCUGACAUGUUAUAUGAUCUCUACAAUUCUAUGACUUCUCCGGUGGAAAUUUGAAAUGCUCUUGAAUACAAAUACAAAACGGAGAAAGAAAGUACUGACAAAUUCCUUGUCUCUAAAUAUUUUGAAUUUAUUAUGGUAGACACACAAUCCAUUCUUGAUCAAAUACAUGAGUUACAAAUUAUUGUUGCUAAGCUUCGAGAGUUAAAAGUUGAAAUUUCUGAAUCAUUUCAAGUUGGGGCUAUUAUUGCUAAAUUGCCUCAAAGUUGGAAUGAUUAUAGAAAGAAACUCCUUCAUAGUAAAGAGAACAUAACUUUAGAAGAAUUGCAAAAACACUUGGUAAUUGAAGAAGAGACUAGGUCUCGCGAAUCCAAGGAUAAGCAUGAUUCUACUAAAGUUAAUGUUGUUGAAGCUAGUAAAUUCUCAAAGAAUUUUAAAGUCAAGAAUGACAAGAAAUUCAAGAAGUCCAGCACAUAAAAGUUUUCUGGAAAUUAUUUCUUUUGUGGUAAGAAAGGCCAUCGCCAAAGUGAUUGCAGAUUCAAGAAGAAAAAGGAAGAAGUGAAUUCCUAUAAAGCUAAUGUUAUUGAAAACAAAUCUGAAGAGAUUUGUGCUAUGGUUUCUGAAAUGCAAAUUGGCAUGAUUACCGAAACCAAUAUGGCUGAAACUAAGUCCUAUGAUUGGUGGCUCGAUUCGGGUACAACAAUUCAUGUUUGUAAUAAUAAGAAAAUUUUCUUAUCAUACAAAGAAGAAACGGAAGGACAAAUGGUUCUCAUGGGGAACAAUAAUGCAGCCAUAAUAGCAGGGAAAAGAGUAGUUGAGAUCAACUUCACUUCUGGAAAUAAAGUCACAUUGUAUAAUGUCUUUUAUGUACCUUCCGUUAGGACUUAUCUUAUUUCUGCUAGUUGUAUAUGUAAGCAUGGGCUUAAGAUUGUGCUUGAGGGUAAUACUUGUAUUCUCUCAAAGGGUAUUCUUGUGAUGGAAUGUACAAACUCAACAUUAAUAAUAAUAAUAUCAAGUUAGCUUAUAUUGUUGAGUCUUGAGAUGUUUGGCUUGCUAAAUUAGCACAUUUGAAUUUUAGAUCUUUGAAAUACAUGUCUGAGCAUGGUUUGAUUAAUUGCAAUGAUGUUAAAGGUCAUAAGUGUGAAAUUUGCAUCCAAGCUAAAUUAACUAAGAAACAUUUUCUUAAAGCCGAACGAAAUACUCAAAUAUUGAAUUUAAUACAUAUCGAUAUUUGUGAGUAUAAUGGCGUUUUAACAAGAGGAGGUAAAAAGUACUUUUAUCACUUUUAUUGAUGAUUGUUCUAGAUACACUUAUGUGUAUUUACUUAGAACAAAAAAUGAAGCUUUUGAUAAAUUUAAAAUUUUCAAAGCUGAAGUUGAGAACCAAAAAGAUAAGAAAAUCAAAGUGGUUCGUAGUGAUAAAGGUGGUGAAUAUUUCUCAAUUGAAUUUAAUAAUUAUUGUGAAGAAUUUGGAAUUAUUCACCAAAGAUCAGCUCCAUUUACUCCUCAACAAAAUAGUUUGGCUGAAAGAAAGAAUAAGAUCUUCACGGAUAUGAUAAAUUCCAUGAUCCUUAAUGCAAAACUACCAAAUAAUUUGUGGGGGGAAGCAUUACUCACUGCAUGUCAUAUUCAUAACAGAAUUACAUCUUUGAAAACACAUGUAUCUCCUUAUGAAAUUUGGAAAGGAAGAAAACCAAACUUGAUGUAUUUAAGGGUUUGGGGUUGUUUAGCUUUUUAUAAAAUACAUGAUCCUAAAUCAUCAAAGUUAAGUGCUAGAUGUAUAAAGAGUGUUUUCGUAGGAUAUGCUGAAAAUUCCAAGGCUUAUAGGUUGUUAGAUUUAGAUUCUAAUGUGAUUGUGAAAUCUAGAGAUGUUGAAUUUAUUGAGAAUAAAUUUCAACAUGAUUCUAAUAUUGAAUUAGAAUCAAUUAUUGAUCAACCAUAUGUUAAUACUCCUAUUACCUCCACUAACAAUAAUAAAAGGAAAGACUCUAUGACAUCUUUCGAACCAAUGAGGAGUCAACGUGAAAAAAAAGAAAAGAGUUUAGCUCCGGAUUUUAUUUCAUCACAAGCACUACUCUUCUUGGUUGAAGGGGAUAGAAAGAAUGUACUUAACAAAGUACCAUUGUUGUUAAAUAUUGAAAAAGAUCCAAAGACAUUUAGCGAGGCUAUGUCUUCUAGAGAUGCUUCUUUUUGGAGAGAGGCGGUAAAUGAUGAAAUGGAUUCGAUUAUUUCGAAUCAAACAUGGGUCUUGGUUGAUCUUCCUCCAGGAUCUAAACCAAUUAGCAGCAAAUGGGUAUUUAGCAGAAAGUACAAUAGUGAUGGUUUUUUGCAAACUUUUAAGGCUAGAUUAGUAGCCAAAGGGUUUAAGCAAAGAAAUGGUAUUGAUUAUUUCGAUACAUAUGCUUCGGUAGCAAGGUUAACUUCUAUAAGAGUGCUAUUUGCAAUUGCUUCAUUGAACAAUUUGUAUGUGCAUCAAAUGGAUGUUAAAACCGCUUUUUUUAAUGGUGAUCUUGAUGAAGAAAUCUAUAUGGAACAACAUGAGGGAUUUGUUUUGCCAGGAAAUGAGAAAAAGGUAUGUAAGUUAGUCAAAUCACUUUAUGGUUUAAAGCAAGCACCAAAACAAUGGCAUGAGAAGUUUGAUUCGGUAAUUUUAUCUCAUAGUUUUAAGCAUAAUAAUGCUGAUAAAUGUAUAUAGUUUAAAUUUACGAAUGAUUUUGGUGUGAUUAUAUGCUUGUAUGUUGAUGACUUGCUUAUCUUUGGAACAAAUAUGCAAGGAGUAGAUGAUACAAAGAAGUAUUUAACUUCACAAUUUAAGAUGAAAGAUCUUGGUGAAGUAGAUAUUAUCUUAGGUGUCAAAGUGAAGAAAUAUAGUAGGGGUUACUCGUUGUGUCAAUCUCAUUAUAUAGAGAAAGUGCUUCUUAAAUUCAAUUAUUUGAAAUUUAAAGAAGCUAAUACCCCAUAUGAUUCUAGUAUUAAAUUAUUAGAGAAUUCAGGCCGAGUAGUAGCACAACUAGAAUAUGCUAGUGCUAUUGGUAGCUUGAUGUAUGCUAUACAUUGUACGAGGCCUGAUAUAGCAUUUACAGUUUGCAAAAUGUCAAGAUUCACGAGUAACCCUAGUGUUGAACACUGGAAAGCAAUUGGUAGAAUACUUGAUUAUCUUAAAAGGACCAUUAAUUUGGGUUUGUUUUAUAGUGAUUAUCCUGAAGUACUGGAAUGAUAUUCAGAUGCUAGUUGGGUAACCAAUACAAGAGAUAAUAAAUCCACUUCUGGUUGGAUUUUUACAAUUGCUGGAGGAGCGGUUUCUUGGGCUUCAAAGAAACAAACGUGCAUAACUCAUUCAAAAAUGGAAAGUGAGUUUAUAGCACUUGCAGUUGCAGGCAAGGAAGCAGAAUGACUAAGAAAUUUGUUGUUUGAUAUAAUGUUGUGGCCACAACCGAUGCCAUCUAUUUCUUUGUACUGCGAUAGUGAAGCUACAUUGUCUAGAGCUUAUAAUAAAGUGUAUAAUGGAAAGUCUAGACAUAUUAGCUUGAGACAUGAAUAUGUGAAACAAUUAAUAGCAGAUGGUGUUAUUACUAUUGUUUAUGUUAGGACUAAUAAGAACCUAGUGGAUCCUUUAACAAAAGGUCUUACAAGAGACUUAGUUAAGGAUACAUCUUUUGGAAUGGGAUUGAAACCUUUAAAUAAUAAAGUCACCAACGACGGUAACCCAACUAUGUAGUAGUUGUACCGCUACUCCAUAGUUAAAUGGGUAAUAACAAGUUGUUGUUAUGUGACUAGUUUGGCACCAAGUAAUAAAUAAUCACAUUCGAGAUAUUCGGUGCAAAUAACUACGAGGUUGAGGUUGAGUAUUUACUUUUAAUGAAGUUCAAGUCUUAUAGUAGCUAAAGACAUGAUUUGAAACUUCACUUAAGUGAACAUAAGAAAUGGUGCCGUUUCUAACAAGAUCAUGGUUUAAUCUAGUAAAUGUUCAUGAAUCCAAGAUAGAGCACAAGGCCGAAAUAGUGCUAAAUAUUGGAACACAACUUUGAAAAUCUGGGAUAGCUUGUGAUGUAUCUCCGGUAUUUACUUAAGAGACAAAGUUUAAUGCUUAGCACACUAUUGUCUUGUAAAUGCUUUGAAAUACACUCACUAAUUAAAGGUUAAAAUCGAAAGAUAUCUUUUUGUAUGUAUAAGUUUAUCAUUAAUAAAUCUGAAAAAUAUUACAAUCUAGUGGGGGAUUGUAAGAGAGAUUGUAACAUUUUCAAUCUUUGGUUUGAUAUUCUGAAAGAAAACGGUUUGUCGUUUAUGGAGAAAAUGGCUAACCGUUUAAUUCCAGAGAGCAUGUUUUCUGUUCUAGAGAAAACGGCUAACCGUUUGGAGAAAAUGGCUAACUGUUUAAUUCCAGAGAGCAUGUUUUUUGUUCUAGAGAAAACGACUAACCGUUUAGAUAAAACGGCCAACCGUUAAUUACAGAGAGCAACUUAUUUGACAUUCUGGAAUAAAAAGGCUCACCGUUAUUGAGAAAACGGCUAACCGUUUAUUUCCAGAGAGCGUGUUUUUUGCGUCAACUGGAAAAACGGUUAGCAAGCUUGGAAAUUUCAAUUGUCAAUCGAUGCAAACUCAAAACAAAAGAGUGUUUUUUUGAAGAAGUACAAUUUCUAAUGGUUGUAUUCUUUCAAAUAAACAUCUUCUUUAUUAAAGAUAGACAAACAAUUAGAUCAUAAUCAGAUUUUGCAGGUUUCAUAUAUGUUAUGGAAAUACAAUCUUAUUUGCUAGAGAUUGUAUUCAGGAUUUGAUAUAUCUUGGGGGUAAUUUGCCAUUAAAACUCUAUAGCAAACCAAGAUUGGUGAGGGCAAAUAAAAUUUUAAAGGAAAGUGUGCAAACACGUCUCAAAUCCUAAUAAAUUUUUUUUGUUCUUUGCCUCCAUAUUCUUAAAAUUCGAAAAUUCACCCAUCAUAUACAUACUACAUAUUAUUAAUUUUUGUUUUAUAACUAUAGUUUUUUUUUUACCGCAGCUGUAGUUUAAAAACUACAGCACCUCAAUCCCAAAAAAGACCUUAGUGGAAUCGAGCGCAAAAGCCGAUCACCCAACAUUCGCGCUUGUGAGAGACUCCACUCUCUCCACUCCUUCCAAAUCCAAAAUCCUCGACCGUUUCAAAAAUCUCGGCGUCAAUUUAGUUCCUGUGCGCCACUCUUUUAGCUUUCCAAUUUUCCCGCCAAUUUGCUUUUAUUGUGAUUAAUUAAUUAAUUAAAGUAAAGAUUUUAUAUUAUAAUUUUGUUUGCAGGGAGAUCUAUACAGCCAUGAGAGCUUGGUGAGUGCAAUAAAGCAAGUGGAUGUGGUGAUAUCAGCGAUAGGUCGCACUCAAUUAGUUGAUCAACUCAACAUUAUCGCAGCAAAUUGCGAUAACUAAUUACUUGGGAUUUUAAAGAAGCUGGAAAUGUUAAGGUACUGAUUAACCUAAGUAAAUGCGUUAACUAAUUACUUGGGAUUUCAAAUUCAAAUGCGUGAAUUGUUCUCAAAAUUGAUAUAUGUUUAUUAGUCAGAGAUUCUUUCCUUCAGAAUUUGGAAAUGAUGUUGAUCGCGUGCAUGCCGUUGAGCUAGCAAGAACAUCAUUUGCCACCAAGGCUAAAAUCCGCCGAGCUGUUGAGGCUGAAAGAAUUCCAUACACCUACGUAGCUUCCAAUUUCUUCGCUGGUUUGUAUCUUUCCAGUUUCUCACAGCCUGAAGCCACAGCUCCUCCAAGGGAUAAAGUGGUCAUCGUAGGUGAUGGAAAUGCAAAAGGCAAAGCGCUUCUGGAUACAUUUACUCUGUACACGCAAUGUGUGGUUACUGUUUGGAGAUAAAAAAGGAGAUUAAUUAAUAAAGAAAAUGAAAUUAUUGAGGGAUUUGCUGAAGAGUUGCGUGCACUCCUCAUUUUUCUCCACCACUCAUCUUACUUGCAAAAUGCAAUGACCAAACUAUCCUCGCCAAAGCCUAGACAUUUACUUGUGUUCAAAGGCCAUUUAAGGGAGACAAGUACAAAAAAUUAUAAAGGAUAGUGAGCAAAAGAAGAAAAUGGAAGGAGGGGAGAAUAAAAAAGGGGAGUGGGGCGUUAUCUAGGCAGGAUUUUUAUUUUUAUUUUUUUCCUCUCUUCUCCAUGGCAUCUCUUUCUCUCUUUCUCCCACUAAGAAAUUCUUUCUUUUACACUCUAUUUUAUUUUUCUGCAAAUUAUGCAAAAAACUUUUGGUUUUAAGGCAAUAUUUAUUAAGCCACAUGAACUUAAAAAAGCAUGAAUAAGGGGAUGAUUUUAACACAUUAAUUCACCAACAUUAAUUGGAAAAGAUCAGUUGCCACUACGAAUCAGAGUAAUUUCUUCGGCAAUAGCCAAAUAUUGAUAUUUGAUCUUGACACUAGAGUUAAAUGAAUGUAACUGGUUUUGUCAUUUGAUCCCCAGCAUUUUUUAACAAGGAAGAUGAUAUUGGAAUCAAUUCUAUCAAAGCGGUGGAUGAUCCAAGAACACUGAACAAAAUACUUUACAUCAGACCCCGUUGCAGUAUCUACUCAUUCAAUGAUCUUGUGUCUCUGUGGGAGGAAAAGAUUGGCAAAGCCCUUGACAGGGUCUAUGUUACAGAGGAACAACUUCUGAAAAACAUUCAAGGUUAGUUAGAACUAUCACUUUAUCAAGUGGAUAGAUGUAACUGACCGAUAAUGGAAAAUUUUUUCCUUCUCCAAAAUGCGAUAGAAUCUAAUCGGUUUCAACAAUCUCAAGAACAUCUAUUCCUGGUUGUGUUGUUUGAAAUCUGUAUGUAUCAGUUUUCUUUCUAGAUCUCAGAUUGCUCGCAAGGAUGUCAAGUUUUGAUGAUGCUUGCCUCUUUUCCUGUGUUUACAGAAGCUUCAUAUCCACUCAAUAUGCUAUUACCUAUUGGGCACUCUGCCUAUGUCCUGGGAGAUCAGACCAACUUCGAAAUUGAACCUUCAUUUGGAGUAGAGGCAACAGAGCUUUAUCCAGAUGCCAACUACACUACUGUGGAUGAGUACCUCAACCAGUUCAUAUAAACCUUCUGAGAUGAGCAGCAGGAUCCUAACCAAAAAUUGGGUGGUUUCCAUCCCUGAUUCUAUAGUAUAAAGAUAGCGGCUUUCCCUGCUUUUGCCAGUUCAAUGAAGUUUGUUAGAUGAUGUUAUUUAUACUAUACUAGCAAAGAUCAAGUUGCCUUUCUUGUCAAGAAGCCAAGCUCUGGCAUUGGUUUAUGCUAGUUUUUCACACUAAUAUUGGUAUUCACUAAUUUUUUUUUUUUUCAUUUCACACCUCCAUCAUCAGUUGAGAUACCCUCUUGUAUGGUACUAACUUUGAUUUUCCUUAUGCUUCACUUGCUGUCUCUGCAGAUUCGUAAAAGAUCAUUUAUGGAUAAGAUCAUAACAUCAAUAUGAUACAGUAUGCAUUGAGAACUCCCACAUGAGUCUUGUUCUAGUUCUGGUUAGACAUGAAACAUGUUACAGUUCCAUAACUUGAGACAUUGUCAUUCAACAAUUAGCAUCGCAUUAAAACAGUGGCCAAUCCCUAACAGCUACCUUUUGACUCUUCACAUUUUUUUUCUGCAUUUUAUGCGUAUUAAUUAUCCAGACCUAUACUUACUCUUCUCAGCUUGGCCCGUUGGACAGUGAGUGAUGAAACAGAAAAUUUUUCAUGUUUAUUACUUUUCUUGCAUUCAAAAUGAUAAAACCGAAGAGGUUGUUGCAUGCACGUCAUUUGUUAGUAGGGGUAUCAAUUUAUGAACGUAUGAAGUAUCUCUUCUGCACUGGCAUCCUCCUUAACUGUCAGUAGGAUCACAAUAAGUCGACCAACCAUCUACCGUAUGGAUUAUCUAUAAAUUGAAAUUGGUGUGUAUUAUGGAUCUGUCACUCUGCUGCUUCUGUUUUCUUUUCUAUUUUUACCAAGAAAGAAACAUUGUUAAAACUGAAUGGUUGUUAUCUCGUCUUGUUGUAAUGUUGUGUAUGCUUUCUAGAAAAUAAUGAAGUGCCAAAUAUGAAAAUACUAGUGGCUACCUUACCAUCCUUAAUAAGUUGUCUGAUUGUCACCGUCAACAAUCACUCUCAGCAACUCAUAAUCCAUUUAAGCAUAUUAUAAAAUAAUCAAUUUUGUAUUUGCACCAACUUUUAGUUUUAAAUGACAAUUUCGUUGAUCCCCACACUUCUGUACUAAUCAAAUCCACUGAAACUGGACUUUUUUUUCUUUUUUUUUAUAAUUACAUCGAUUGCAUUGGCUAUUGCAGGGAAAAGACUGCCUCUACAGGGAACUAAACUUUCAGAAUUGUUCUUAUGAGGGUUUGAAUAUGCUCUCCUACUAGGUCAAUGGCCUAUUGGUUCGAGACCAUUCACAAAGAAAGAAAUGAGUUUUGCUUGUAUAAAUGAAAGAAAUCCAAAUGAUAACUAAUGUAUAGUGGUACAUGAGAAAAAUAAUUUCAGCCCUUGUGUAAAGUCAAAAAGAGAAAAUAUUAAAAGAAAGGAUAAUGUCAUUGAGUUGGUGAAGUGAAAGAAAAUGAAAAACAUGGGAUUUAGUCAAACUUAGUGUCCCAAUCAGCAGAAAAAGGUUUUAGAAACUCACCUCAAGUUAAGCCAACUAUUAGGAGCUUUAUUUAACCAUAGUUGCCUCAACAAUGACUGAUUCUCUUCCCCCCACCCACAUUGUAGCUUUCUAAUGUAUAGUACUCCAAUACUAAACGGGGGCUACCUCUACGCUUGCAAAUGUAAAUGAAAUUGAGUUCAUGACGCACAAUGAAGUGAGCAAAAUGAGUUGAGAUCUGAGAAUAUAUUAAAGAAAAUAUGAACCGAUGAAUUUUGGUUAAAAAAAAAAAUGCCGGUUCUUCAAGACCUGCGUGUAUUGCGUAAAUUUUGUUAGGAAAAGGAAAGCAUUUUGUCUAAAACGCACUAAAUCAGAUUCAUUUGCUUGAUAUCUAAUAAGGGUGAAUUAACCACUCGGCCAUAGCAAUUAGGGGUGGGCAAAAUACCCGACCCGACCCGAUUCGAUUCGAAAAAAAUCGGGUUCGGAUCGGAUCGGGUUGUAAAGAAAACCCGAUCGGGUGCAUUUGUGUCAACCCAAUCGGAGCAUGAUCGGAUCGGAUCGGGUUGACCCGAUCGGGUUGACACAAAAUAAAAAAAAAAUUAAACCUCAAAUACACACCCCACACACACAGGAACAUAUAUACGCCACACACACUAGAACACACACGCUGGAACACAUACACACCACACACACUGGAACACAUUACACAUACACACCACCCACGCACUGGAACACACACAUUGGAAUACACACACUGGAACACACACACACCACCCACGCCCUGGAACACACACACCACGCCCCCCACGCACUGGAACACACACACUGGAACACGAAGUGAACACCACACACACUGACACACCCACAGCCCCCUGCCGACCAGCAACAUAAUCGCCCACACCCACCCACAAGCCACAGCCUCCCUCUCUCGCAUCCCACUAUCGACGGAAACAAGCGACAGUUAUACAGCCCACUCCAACCGAGGCUACUCCGUGAGAAUGGUGACCCGAUCUACUGAUCUACUGCUACCAAGUACCGGAUCUGCUGCGCCACCUCCACGCCUCCAAUCCUCCGCCAUCACCCGAUCCGAUUCAAGCUCCAUUUGUCUGUUGAGUUUUGAAAGCUUUGGGUUGUUGCUGUAAAUGUGUAGAUCGUGUGUGUGUAAAUGGGUAGAUUGUGUGUAUUUUUUAUAUCCGACCCGAUCCGAUCCGAAUUAUAUUCGGAUCGGGUCGGAUCGGGUUAUAGAUUCGGGUUGAAUUCGGAUGAGUUCUCAUCUAACCCGACCAACCCGAAACCCGAUCGGGUUGAUCCGAACCCGAUUUUACCCACCCCUAAUAACAAUUCAAAUCCCCACAAAAGUAUUAUGGGGGCUAAUUUUCUUCUUUAAUUAUAACAAAUAAUUGAGCGGAGGAUAAGAAUCGAACUGAAAAACUAAAAAAAAUGAAUCCGGCGAUAUUUGCGAACCGGAAACGAGCCAGCGUUAUGCUUAUGUCAUUUCAGAGAUAUCAACAGUCGUGCUUUCAGUCCUUAAACCUAGAAACAUUAUGGCUUUUCUCCUUAAACCUCAAGGGCAUUUUCAUCCUUUCACUCAAGCGUGAAACUGCAUGUAAGCACUGCUUCGCUUACACGCUCCAUGCACAUUUAAAGGCACCACUGUCGGAUAAAAAAUAUCUAUCCAUUUGAUCAUUUCAAAACAAAACGAAAAAAAAAAAAAAAUCUCAGGAAUUGAACUGAACGAGUCUCAGAAAUGGCAUCGAAAAGUAAGAUUCUAUUCAUCGGCGGGACAGGGUAUAUCGGUAAAUUCACUGUCGAAGCGAGCGUAAAAGCCGGCCACCCGACGUUCGUGCUCGUGAGAGAAUCCACAAUCUCUGGUCCUUCCAAAUCUCAACUCCUCGAUCACUUCAAAAACCUCGGCGUCAAUCUCGUCAUAGUGCGUUUUCAUUUUUCUCUUUUCUUAAUUUUUUAUUCCGAUCAUUUUUACACGUCGAAGUGUAGCAUCUACUACUUAAUAUACAUAAUGAUAUUAUUAUUUUUUAAUUUUUUUGGGUUGCUGUUAUUAUUAUGCAGGGAGAUGUGUUGAAUCACGAGAGUUUGGUGAAGGCGAUUAAACAAGUGGACGUGGUGAUAUCAACGGUCGGUCACACUUUAUUAGCUGAUCAGGUCAAGAUUAUUGCUGCCAUUAAAGAAGCCGGUAACGUUAAGGUAUAGCAUAAUUAAUAUUGUCAAUAAAAUUAAAAUAAUUAAUUAUAAACCAAUGGCAUGGACGCAAUUAAUUAAUUGAUGUUGAAUGUGAUUAUUAUUAUCCAGAGAUUCUUCCCUUCAGAAUUUGGAAAUGACAUUGAUCGAGUCCACGCCGUUGAGCCAGCAAAGUCUUUAUUUGCCAUAAAGGCGAAAAUCCGCCGAGCCGUUGAGGCUGAAGGCAUUCCGUAUACUUACGUAGCAUCGAAUCUCUUUGCUGGUUACUUCCUUCCCAAUUUGUCGCAGCCUGGGGCCACUGCCCCACCUAGGGAUAAAGUUGUCAUCUUAGGCGAUGGAAAUCCAAAAGGUAUGAAUUUAGGUCAUUGCUUAUAGCAAAACUGUUGAAAUAACCAUGAUUAAGGCUCCGUUUGUUACUACGGUGUUAAUUUUAUGGCCUAAAAUUGCUGUAGAAUGGAAGGUGUUGCAACCUAACUUACGCUCUGUUCGGUGUGGUUGUUGCAUAGCUGUAACUUAAAGUUAACUGAAAAGUGUUUGAUGAAUAUUUGCAGACUUAACUUUAAACCGAGGUGAUUUUAUCCAACAUUUGUCUGAUUAAAACUUAUGAUCCCUAAGAAGUUUGUCAAAAAAAAUAUAUAUAUAUGUAUAUAUAUUCAAUGGAGCACCUCAAUACUAAAUGAAUCCAUGUAUUCAACUUUGGAUAGACUUUUAAAUAAUGACCAAACACUUUAGCUGUUAAAUUGCCACAUCACAGCUGCAACACAAUAAUUCCAAACGUCUUCAUUGCAAAAUAGUUGAAUGAAUCUAAGUCCACUGGCUUCGUCAUUUGAUUUUCAGCGAUCUAUAACGAGGAAAAUGAUAUUGGAACCUACACCAUCAAAGCGGUUGAUGAUCCGAGAACCUUGAACAAAAUCCUUUACAUUAAACCCCCUGGUAAUAUUUACUCAUUCAAUGAUCUUGUGUCCUUGUGGGAGAGAAAGAUUGGCAAAACCCUCGAAAGGGUGUACCUUCCGGAGGAGCAAGUCCUAAAGAAUAUUCAGGGUUAGCUAUAAUUCUUACUUUUUAAAUUUUAUCAAAGAGAGCAAUAAAUUUUGUGCCUUAUUGAUACUGUCUUCCCGAAAAUGUUGCAGAAGCUGCACCAGCUGCACCUCCAGUCGACGUGAUAUUAUCAGUUCAGCACUCUGUUUUCGUGAAGGGAGAUCAAACCAACUUCGAGAUUGAACCAUCGUUUGGAGUUGAGGCGUCGCGGCUUUAUCCUGGUGUCAAAUACACUACAGUUGAUGAGUACCUCAAUCAGUUUGUGUAACCCUACUCUGCUGAGCUGCAGCUUGCGGGACCUUAGGAAAUAAAUAAUUGGCUUGUUGCCAUCUUAAUUUUAUAUAUAUAUAAACAUUAUGGUUGUUGGUUGUUGGCCUUUCUUUUGGUUUUCGAUGGAAUUUGUAACACCAUAUUAUGCCCGCUACGUGAGUACACCAGUGAUCAAGUAAAGUAGCCCUAUGUGCUUGAUAUAAAAUAAUUAUAAAGUCAGAAACACCUAGAAAUUAAAAGGUAAUUCAUCAACAUUUGUCACGUAAAAUUUACUUUAUGGAAGAGAGAUUCCAGGAACCAACUUUAUGAGUGAGAAAAGUGUAAAAAUCCAAGAUAUAUGAGAAUCAAUAAUGAUAUAACCAUAAAUUAUUGUACAAAUCUUUUUAUACAACCUGAGUUGGCAGCUGAUGGGUACUAACCACGUCACUUAGUUAAAUCACCCCAAGUUAACGGCGUAAAAGCUUUUUUUUUUCCUAUUUUCCUAUUUCUCCCAUUCACGUCUUCGCGAGCUCCUUGGGCGACGGCUCCAACAUCUCUCUCUUUUGCCGGCGACAAUCUUUGCUGGUUUCGCUCUAUUUUACGACAACAAUCUUCCUAUGCCAUCGAAUUUUUUUUGGGUAUGUCCUAUAAGAUUUUAUUUUUAGAUCUAAAACUAAUAAUAUUCAUUAGAUUAAACCAGUCGAAGUUAUCAAAACUUCAACAAAAUCCACAAAGGAGAGAGAGAAAGUAAAGAAAUUGAAAUAAUAAUAAUUAUUAUUUCCUAUUCUAUUUAGAUAUUUGUCUCAUCUUUCGGCACUUUCUCUUCAAUCUCCUCGUGCGCUUCUUCUUGCACUUGGCUCUCAUGGUGAUUGGGCUGUAAAGAUUAACAAAUUCUCUCUCAGUGGCCUUCGGAAUCAUGGGUGAAAAUCGGUAUGUCCUAUAAGAUUGCUUGAUUGAGAGUGUUUUCAAUUUUCUUCAAAUUGCGGUUGGUUUUUUGUUUAACAUAGCAAAAGCGGAUUCAAUCCCCCCCCCCCCCCCCCAAACAAAAGACUCAAAUUCAAUUAGAAAAAAAUCGAAAUAAUAAUGGCACAUCAUGGAAGAUUGUAAAGAAAAUACCCUUAAACUAUCUGGCAAUUUUAUAGACAAACCGAAAAAAAAAUAUGGUGGCAAAGGAAGAUUGUAAACGAAGAGCCGAAGUCAUAAAAGGAGCCCGCGAAGUCGUGAAGUCAGAGAAACAGAAAAACAAAAAUUAAAAAAGAAUGCUUUUUAUUUGAAUUUAUAAACCGUAUAGGUUUAACUCCGUUAGCUUAGGUUUACUUACCUUGAUGAUGUGGCCAAAGCCAUGUCAGUUGCCAAUUUAAGUUGUAUAAAAAAAAUUUAUACAAUAGUUUGUGGCUGUAUCAUUAUUGUAUAAAAAUAUAAGGGCCAGACCAUGUUGCAUUAAAUUCAUGAGUUGUGUCUCAUGAUAAUUAUUUCACAUGUUGCCAUUCUUUAAUUUUGAAUAACAACAAUACUACAUGUUACAUAUAAUUUAACAUAGUAUGACCUAUUUUCUAAUAUUAUUUUAAUUGAUUUGAAAUUCUGGAAUUAAAAAAUUGAAAAAAAUGGACCGAGCAUUGUUAUGAACCAAAAACAAGCCAGUAUUAUGCUUAAAUCAUUUCCUUGCACAGGAAAACUUAUUCAUAAUCAUAAUGGUAGGAUCAAUUAAUUUUAUUAUUAUGUAAAGGUUAUAACUUAAUAAAAGUAUAGUUACAAAAAUUAUUAUUUUAACUUAAUCAUCUUUAGUGCGAUUGAUGUAGAGAUAAAAAUAUGCACUAUAUUGAUAAUUAAUUAAUGUAGCAUGUCAUAUUCAAUUUACAGAUGACGACAAAAGAGAUAGACAUACUCUUAGAAAAAUAGUGCAUAUAUCUACGUAGUGUUGGAAUUAUACAAAGUUAUCUUGAAAGUCUAAAAAAUAAAUCAUUAUCCCAAAUAAUUUUAGAAAAAUAUUUUACUCUUUCUUAAACCUUUAAUAUAACACAACAUAUAUAUUUUUACAAUUUAUUGAUAAUUAUUACUAUAUAGAGGUAAGUUUUUUAAAACUGGAUUUAGAAAAAUUAUAAGUUAUUAUAAUGUAGAAUUUCUUACUAUUUAGCUUGACAAUGAAUGUUGUGCUUGAGCCAUACCAAGCUCAAGCCCUACCCAACCCUAUGACUAAAAUGAAAGGUCUUAACCCUUAAAAUACCCGACCCUUCAAACCAUGGAAUAGGCUUGGGCUUUAUCCAAGACCGGCCACAAUUUUUUUUUUUUUUAGAAUAGAACUCUUAUUUUCCAUUCUUUAGUAAUAAUAUUAUAUUAUUAUUGUUUCUUUUUUGUUGAAUCUUUUGUAAGGAAUUUAAUACAUUAUUUUGUUAUUUUACUUUAACAAUAAUACAACAUCUAACAAUCUAACCAAAUUAACAUAUUAACCAAACUAACAAGUAAAUAAACUUAGGGUAUAGUUGUAAUUGCGUUUGUGGCAUGUGUGUUUUAAUAACUUUUAAGUAAUACAUUUUUUAUUUCAAAAAUUAAUUUAAGAUUCAUGAGUCAGAUAAGAAUUUUUUUUUUGAUAAAACCUAAAUCUUUAUCUAAAUAUAAUUGUGCUUUGAUUCCUUAAUCUUAGAGUUUUAUUAAAAAAAUAAACCCCCUCUUCUUAUUUUAUUAUAUAUAUAUAUUUGUUUUUGUACGCAUAUCUAUAAAACUAUAAAAUGUUGAGAUAAUGUUUAGAUUAGGUUGGGAGGUGGGGAUAGUUGACAUGUGUUUUUAAAUAUGUGUGUUUUUUUUCUCUUUUCUUUUUCUUUUUAAAUAAUAAUAAUAAUAAUAAUAAUAAUUUUUUGUCUAUGAUGGUUGUGUAAAGACUCACGACUUUUGAGACGCAUUCUAAUAGUAUGUUGUAUUAUAUUUUGAUUUUAAAAUUCAUAGUAAGUUGUUUUUGUUCCCUUUUUCUUUGAAUUACUCAAAUUUAUAAACUCUCCAAUUUGUUAUUAAGUCAUUUAAUUGUUUACUCAUUUAACAGGUAUUAUUGAAUCAUUCUUCACACACGCACUAUGACACAUACUAGUGGGUUGUAAGUUAAAAGUGAUGCAGCAUUUAGUUCUUUUGAUUUAUUAGGGAUAAUAUCUAAGAUAGUAAAAAGUGUAUAUUGUAUAUUUGAAUGUGUUUAAUUUUGCUAUAUGUAGAACUCGAGUAAUUAAGUCUGUAGGGGUGUUUCAACACCUAAGGUCAAUUGGUCUGGGAGUCGUUGGCAUAAAGCUCGCUCAUGAGUUAUAGAUAUAUUGUUUGCUUAUUAGAAAUCCGAGUAAUUAAGUCCUUAAGGGUGUUUCAACACCUAGUGCCCUAGGCCGACUGAUCUGUGAGUCACUGGCUUAAAGCUCGCUACAUGGGUUAUAAAUGUAAUGUUUUAAAAUUCAUGUGAAUAAUCUACUACCUAAAGAUAGAAUUUCUAAUGAAUUUUGGAGCGAAAAUGUUGUUUUUUUCUUUUAAUUACUUGAGUACAAAAGAAGUUUGAUGAUAUUCUAGAUAAUGAGUAAAUGACAAAGAGGUAAAGAAAUUUGGGAGAGUUUAUUUGUUUGAUAGUUUAGAGGAUAGACAAACAAUUAUUAACUUACAUUUGAAUUUUAUAAAUCUUAAUUUAAUAUAGUGCUUUUAUUGCUAGCGGCUAGAAAUAAGUUGGUUGGAAGGUGUGAUUAGUAUUAAAAAUUGUUUGCUUAUCAAGUGAUAAAACUAUUAUUUUGUGCCUAUAUUAUAAUUUAUAUUUGUGUUUAUGCAAUAUAUUAGGAAUUAUUAAUUAUGUCUUAAUUAUAUUUAAUUUUAUGUAUUUUUGUAUGUUUAUUAGGUAAAAUAUUAAAUUCGUGUAAUUCAAGACGCCAAACAGAUAAACAGAUGACAAAUUUGGAUUCCGAAGGUCCGAAAAAUUUAAGAUGAGUCAAAACCAGCUUAAAAUUGAGGUUGUGCAAAAAAGUUGACUUUUCUUAUUGACCGAACACUAAUUGGAUGAUAAAAUGAGCUUACAAUAGAUAUGAGUACACUAGAUAGCCGGCAAUUUUGACUAAAUCUCAACCGUUCAUAAUUCAAUGGCCACAAUUGUGCCACGUGGUAAUGGUUGGUGAAGCAAGUUGUAGGAUCCGAAUCUUUGUAUUUGGGUCGACCCGAUCCACCCAUUAACCUGCCAAAUCUCAACCGUUCUUUGGCCAAAUCGGAUGCGUCACAUGAUGCCACGUGUAAUGUUGACUUUUGAAGUUUGACCAGUGUUGGUUAAUUUUAAACUCAAUUGCUAUUGAUGCCAAUGUGCAAGUAUACACAACAAGUAAUAAAGUUAUGAGUAUUUAAGAUCGUCUCCACAGGGAUUGAUGUUACUAAAAAUGUUACAGCAAUCACAAUAGCGCUAUCUAUCUUAAUUUCAAGAUGAAUAAAUUUAAAGUUGUUUACUCCGAAAUUAACAAUUGUAAAGAAAUCAAACAAAUAACUGCAAUAGUAAAAUAAACUAAGUAAAUCGCGUAAAAGAAUCAAUUGAGAAUGAGGUAGUUGAAUGAUCAAACUCUCUUCAUGGGCUGAUUGCUUUUCAUCAGAUUAACACCAGUUGCUAUAACAAUUCCUACAGCACUGGGCAGAAUUAUUUUGCAUCCUCAGCUGUCGCGUGUUGGACUUCUCAUACCUUUAAGUAUCCUAACAAUGACCAGUUGUUAUUCUACAUGAGGCAUGGCAUUGUGAACAUCCAUUCUAUCAACCCUACAAGGUGAAUGACUAUAUCUAGUUCUUCACAAAUCUUAACUUCAAGUAUAGUCCUUAUGGGAUUCAAGCUAAACUUAAUCCAGGAAACUCAAAUUAAGAUAAAGUAUUACUCUAAUAAUAUCCACUAAGACAGUCCUUUUUGCGGCUCUAUCUUAACUUGAACCAUUAAAUAAGUGGUCAGCCGAAAUAACAGUUAUAAUAAUAGCUACUAGAAUAAAAUGCUAUAGCAAUCAUACAACAACUCAUAAGAACAGUCAAAAACUCAUUCCGAUUGUUUGUCACCCAACUACAAGCAAGUUAAGUUCAUACUUUGAAAAAGAUAAACAAACACCAAACUAAUGGUCACGAAAUACAUUGGUCCAAUCAAAGAGUAGAGAAAAGAACAAGUAAAGGAUGAUGAAGACUAAAUCCAAAUAACUCUAUUAGAUUCUUCACUGAUGCAGACUUGGUUCCCUUGAUUUCUGAUUGUUUUCCUCUUUCCCUCUUGAUUUCUCAAUGUUAAUUCCUUGCCGUCAUUUUAUGUGAUGCGCGCCUCCUUUUAUAACUGAAAAUUAGGGUAAGCAAAAGCCUAGGACGCGCGAGAGUCAAAUUAGGAAACUAUAGAUCGCAAUCUUGCAGAUUUCCCGUGCUAAGUUUUCUCUAUCGUUGUUCCAGAAUUGCCACAGCAAUGGCUACUCCAACAACGACUCUAGCACUGUACUGCUUCAGAUUUGGUUUCACUUCUUUUGUGGCCAUAUUCUUCAUCUUUUGUGCCAGCCUAUUGCUUCCACAUUCUUUCCCUGAAUCAUAAGCUUCUGGAAACCUACGAUUUUGCACACAAUUUGAUCACAAAUUAAUCUAAAUCAAGUAAAAUUUAUUAAGACUAAAAUAAAAUGAAUGUUUAUGCAAAAUGUAACAAAAAUGCAAUAAAAACACAGCAUUUGCUCUCUAAGUAAUCUUGUUUUCAGUCUAGAAUUGCCGUAAUAACUCUCAUUUCAUAGAGUUAUCAACCAGCCAUUAGAUCGUGAUCUAAUGGCUGUGAGGAGCGCAUGUAUAAAACUUAUGAUGGGCCGCAAAACACUGGAUUAUGAAUUUAUUUUUCUAUAAAUAAAGCCUUAUUUUUAUGUUUUUUAUCAUCUCUCUUCUUCUCAAUUUCUCUCAAUCUCCCUAUGAUCUUGUUUUUCAGGUGUGUUUUUAAUAUUUUUCUUAAUUAUUUUUAUAAAUAAAUUUAGUUUUAUUUUCAAUUUUAGUUGUUUUUAUUCAUUUUAAUUAUGAGUAAUUUAAUUUUAAUAAUUCUUUUUAUUUCAAUUAUGCUUAACUAAAUAAUAAUAGUUAAAGUUUUACCUUCAUAUUCCUUCUUGUCUUGUCUCUGGGACAAGUUUCGUUUGUCUUGUCAUUAGGGCAAGUUUUAUCAGUGGUCAUUCUAUCCAUUUUUUUCUUCUUUUACUUUGCAAUGGCCAAUAAUGAGGGACAAUCAGAACUUGAUAUCAGUAAUGGAUAUGCUAGCAUGACCAUUGAUGAUGAGGAGGAUGGUGGGUUGAGUAUUGAAGGAGAAGAUGUAGAUGAAGGGAACAAGGUCAAGAUUGAUUACCGAUGUUGCUUGGUGGCAGAUUUCUGACGAAUAAGGUGAUUAAUUUUGCUGUUAUGAAGAACACAAUGGCUUCUAUUUGGCGGCCAGGAAAGGGUGUUUGCAUUAAGGAUUUAUCACCUACGCUUUUUUUAUUUAAAAUUUUCCAUGAGAUUGAUGUAAAUCGGGUAUUGGAGUCAGGACCAUGGAUUUUUGACCAGCACAUUCUGCUGGUUAAAAGGUUAGAGGAGAAUGAACAACCUCAGAUUGUUCCCUUAUUUUUUGCAUCUUUUUUUAUUUAAAUAUACAACCUACCCAUUGGCUUUAUGUCUAAAAUUUUUUUGAAGAAUAUUGGAAACUAUGUUGAUACUUUUUUGGAUUCUGAUGAGCAUAAUUUCAUGGGAGUGUGGAGUACCUAUAUGUGCAUUCGGGUAUCCAUUGAUGUUAGAAAGCUUCUUAAGCGUCGAAUGAAACUUUAAAAGGAGGGUGGAGAGUGGAUUUGGAUUGAAUUUAAAUAUGAACGAUUGAAUAUUUUAUGUUUCAUUUGUGGACUACUUGGGCAUACUGAAAAACAAUGCCUGAAGUUGUAUGAUUGCCCGUCGGGUGAGGUUGUGAAGGCUUAUGGUCAUUGGAUGAAAGCGCCGAACAAGAGGAGUCAGAUGAAUUCUGAUGAAAGGUGGCUGAGAUCGGAGAUGCCGAACGAGUUCAACAAUGGAAAAGGUAACAACGUGAAUUUUGCUGGUAUGGCGAUUGAUUCGGUUAUUAGCACAAAUCCUAGAGAUCAUGUGCUAAAAAUAAGGGAUUAUAGUGUCAACACAGGGAUUGCGGGGAUCAAUAAGGAAAGCAGUAUAUUGCUACCAAAUAGGAGCCAUUUGCGUAUCAAUGACAAGUCAACAAUGGGAAUCACUAAUGAUUUGUGCGGGAGUAAGGAUUUUGAAGAGGAACAAGAAGCUGGCAUUAUUGUUAAUGAUUCAAAGAGAAGACGAUCUCAAGUUGGGCCUCGUAGCACUGUGGGCCUUAAUGAUGAGUCAUCUACUCAAGUGAUGGAUAUAUCAGUUGAGCUAAAAAAUGGGCAAACGGUGGGACUUGUGACCUAGGCCCACCGAGAUAAAUAAGCAUGCUAAGCUGGAAUUGUCGUGGGCUGGGCCACCCAUGGACAAUUCAAGUUCUAAUAAACCUGGUCAGAUGUAAAAAACCUUCUAUAAUUUUUCUUAUGGAAAUUUUGUGUAGUAAAAAUAGAUUAGAGAGUAUCAAGUUAAAGCUGGGAUUUGAUGGGCUUUUUGUGGUGGAUUGUGUAGAACGUAGUGGUGAGCUUGCUCUUCUUUGGGAUGCCAGUACUAAUGUUUCUUUAUUGAGCUAUGCUAGAAAUUUUGUUGAUGUCCAUGUUGAGGUCUCUAGUUUGGGUGACUGGAGAUUGACUGGUUUCUACGGUUUUCCAAAAUCGUGUCGUCGUCGCCAGUCUUAGGACUUGUUUCGACUUCCUUCUUCUUCCUCUGCUGCCCCAUGGGUUUGUCUUGGGGAUUUUAACGACUUAUUAACGGCCAGUGAGAAAAGAAGUAGACUUGAUCAUUCUAAUUGGAAGCUUCAGGGGUUUAAGAGUGUUAUUUCUGAUAGUAGUUUGCUUGAUGUUGGGAUGGAAGGUUAGCAAUUUACUUGGGAGAGAUCCCGAGGGUCAGCUGAUUGGGUGGAGUUACGGCUUGAUAGAGUUUUCACCUCGGCUGAGUGGCUUAAUCAUUUUGCUCGGGUUAAUUUUAUGAGUUUGGAGGCUUCUUGUUCUAACCACUUGCCUAUUUUUAUGGAUCCAAAUCCUAUUGUUCAUAAUAAUAGGCAUUGGAGAUUUCGUUUUGAGAAUUUGUGGCUGCGGGAGGGGGAAUGUGUUGAGGUGAUUAAAAAUAGCUGGGCCGCUUCUUCAGGUUGUUCAAUUCAGCAAAAGAUUUUGAGGUGUAGUGCUGACUUGUUUCAAUGGGGAGGUUAUUUAGCUCGAGAUCUUCGCAAGCAUAUUUCCGAUUGUAAAUGUCUCAUGGCUCGAUUAAGGGGGCGGCGUGACCAGGUUGGUGUGGAUGAAUUUGUUGAGGCCAUGAAUCGUUAUAAUGCGCUCCUCCAUAGUCAUGAAGUCUUCUGGAAGCAAAGAGCAAAAUCCCUUUAGCUUAAGGAGGGAGAUAUGAACUCGCGUUUCUUUCGUGCCACAACUUCAGUAAGGAAGCAUAGGAAUUCUCUUAAAAGGUUGUGUAAUAGUCAGGGGCAUUGGUGCUCUAAUCAUGAUGAGAUUGAUGUAAUGAUUGUGGAGUAUUUCAGUACGUUAUUUAAGACUAAAGGUUGUAGCAGUGCUGAUGUCUUAGCUUGUGUAAAGACGAGUAUUACCGAGGAUCAAAAUAUGACACUCUUGGCUCCAUUCUCUGCUAUUGAAAUUAAAGAUGCCCUUUUUUAUAUGCAUCCAGAUAAAUCUCCAGGGCCUGAUGGUAUGAAUCCUGCAUUUUAUCAAAAGUUCUGGCAUAUUGUAGGUGAGGAUGUGGUACUAGCUUGCUUGACUUUCAUUAACAAUUGUUCCUUUUUUGUAGGAUUGAAUGACACCUCCAUUGUUUUGAUUCCGAAAAAGCAACAGCUUGAGACUUUAGCAGAUAUGAGGCUCAUUGCGCUAUUUGAUAAAGAGUAUUCUAGCUUCUUAUAGUCGUGCUUCUGGGCAAAAAGUUAAUUUCAGCAAAUCUUCUAUUUCAUUUAGCUCUAAUGUGCUUGCUGAUGUUGUUAGCCAGGUGUGUGGGGUGCUGGAUGUUAAUGUUACCUCUGAUUAUGGUGCUUAUUUGGGUCUUCCCUUUUGUAUUGGAAGAAAGAAAAAAGUUGUGUUUCAAAGCAUCCAUGACAAAGUUUGGCAGAGGCUUCAAGGAUGGAAUACGAAGCUGCUAUCUAGAGGCGGAAAAGAAGUUUUACUAAAAACAGUGGCGCAAGCAAUGCUUAAUUAUAUAAUGAAUGUCUACCUUCUUCCGCUUGAUCUUUGUAAGGAACUUGAAAUUAUGAUGAACUCGUUUUGGUGGGGUAGUAAGCGCAAUGGUGGUGGUGGAAUUAAAUGGAUGAAGUGGGAGCGUCUAUGCAAGCCGAAGGAUUUUGGGGGGUUAGGUUUCAAGUAACUCCAUAUCUUCAAUAUUGCAAUGUUGGGUAAACAUGUGUGAAAUCUGUUGACAAACCCAACUUCUCUUGUUGCAAAGGUUCUUAAAGUCCGUUAUUUUCCUAGAUCCUCUGUUUUUUAUGUUAGCUUGGGGUUUAAUCCGAUUUUUAUUUGGCGCUCCAUAAUGGCUUCAAAGGAUGUUGUUAUUAAAGGAAGCAGACUUCAUAUUGAGAGUGGGCAUCAGGCCCUCAUUGGGAAAGCUCCUUGGCUUCCUAACUCUGAUUGUGGUUUCAUUACUAUUGAUCUGCAUGAGGAACUUGCAAUGGCUCCAGUAUGUAGUUUGAUGAUGGUUAAUCAGCGUCGAUGGGACUAUGAUGUUGUGACCGACUUAUUUAAUGCCAAAAAUAGAGAUCUUAUUCUGAAAAUACCGCUUAUCACUCGUAGGGAUCGUGAUGUGUGGUAUUGGUUGGCCAAUCCUCGUGGUGUGUUUUCUGUUCGUAGCUGUUACAAGAUGAUGACUUAUGAUGCUAAUAACUCUUCCUCGAGUUUUUGGAGACGCUUAUGGAAAUUGAAUGUGCCGGGUAAAGUGAAGAAUUUUCUUUGGCGUGCUGUUAAGAAUGUUCUGCCUACAACUGAUAACCUCCUUAGUCGAGAGUUCAGGUGUUGCCUACUUGCUCUGUUUGUAAUGCCUAUAAUAAGUCUGUAAUUCAUGCUUUGGUGGAAUGUGGUUUUUCCAAAUCUUGCUGGAUUGCUUCUCCUGUUGGCUAUGUUGGUCAAAUGUCUUCUUUUAUGGAGUGGCUUGGUAUUAUUUUUUCUCGUUGUAACAAAGAAGAGUGUGAGCUUGCUACUAUGAUUUGUUGGAGGAUUUGGGCUCAUCGUAAUGAUAAAGUUUGGAAUAAAAGAUGUGGUCGGUUUUACCAAAUUCUCAACUCUGCUAGCCACCUUUUAAACUAGUGGCAAUCUUUGAGAAAACAAGUUAUGUUUACUGAUGUAGAUGAGAGCUGCUUGGUUCAGGGGUUGUGUGCUGGGAAAGACCUCAUGUUGGUUGGGUUAAAUGCAAUGUUGAUGCUGCUGUGUUUUCUUUUCAAUCGAAAAGUAGUUUUGGCUGUGUGGUUCACAAUUCUGAUGGUACUUUCUUGGCUGCAAAGUGUGAUAGUUUUGCUGGCAGUUUUGGGGCUAGAGAAGCAGAAGCGUUUGGUGUUCGGGAGGCACUUAGCUGGUUGAAGAAUUUGCAACUUCCUCGUGUGGUAAUUGAAUUGGACUAUCUUCAAGUUUUUAAGGCUUUAACUAAGAACCAGUCAAGUCCUAAUGGCUUUGGACUCAUAAUUGAGGAAUGUCGUUUUUUAGCUCAGAAUUUGAGAGAAAUGAAAUUCUCGUUUGCCCGUCGAUCUGCGAACACUGCUGCCCAUAGUGUUGCUAGGGUGGGGGGUUCUAUGUCAGGUUCUAAAGAGUGGAGUGUUGCUCCAUCUCGUUGGUUACUGAAAAAUUUGCAAUCGUUUUUGUUUAAUGAAUUUCUCUUAAAAAAAUAAUAAUAAUAGUUAGGGUAAGGUGAAGCUCUUAGGAAAUAAAUAUGAUUUAAUCAAAUUCUAUUUUUAAUUUUAUAAAUUAAAUUAUUUUCUAUUUAAUUUUAUACAUAUUUUCUAUUUUAAAAUUUUGAUUUAUUGUAGACAAAUAAGGGAGUUUGGCACAAUAAAUUCUUAAUAUAUUAAUAUAAGAUAUGGUAAAAUUGUAUUUUGACUUAUUGCAGACAAACUAAAUUUGGCACAAUAAAUAUUUAAUCCAUAAUGAAAUUAAUGGGAAAAUAAUAUAAUUUAUAAAAUUAAUCUUUUGGGCAAUAAAUCUAAAAAAAUGUAAAAAGAAUUUAUUAAAUUUUAUUUACUACUAAGAGUGGAUCUAUAACCCUAACUAAUUUAAUAUCAUAAUUACUUUAUUGAAAUCAAGUUGUAUAAGUUUUGUUUUCAUUUUUAGAUAAAGUAAAAUAAACAAAGUAAAUAUUUUCUCUGUAGAUUGAUCUCGGACUCAUCGAGCUAUAAUAUAACAAGACACUCUUAUACUUUGAAGUUAGAAAUCACUUUUAAUUUAUGUCAAGUUUUUGACGCCGUUGCUAAGGAAAUGUUUUUUUUUGUUUCAUUUUUUUGUUUUUCAUUUUUUCUCUUUUUGUAAAUUUUCAUUCACGCCCUUUUCCUCUUAUUAACUUUUGUUUUGCCCACAAAAUCUUUCAGAAUCUUUACAUUCAUAUCACAUGGCUCUGUUCUAAACUUCUAAAAAUUACUAUCUGGCCAUAAAAUUAUAAAGAAUUUGCAAAAGAUCCCUAGACGAAAUUUCUCAUAAUAAUGAGACUUGGACUUACAUCUUGCACUUAUUUGGACUCAAUUUGGACCAAUUUGGCCUCAAUUUAGACUAAGCAAACUGAAUAUUGACUCUUAAUUUUUUUUAUUUAAUUUUUCGUAUUUAUUUUAUUUUAUUAUACGGCUGGUUUGACCGCCAAAAUUGUUAUUUAAUUUUCUAUUUUUUUUAUUAUUUUGCAUUUAUUUUAUGCUUUAUUUUAUAUUGUUAAUUUGUAUGGUGGGUUCAACCACCAAAAUUAUUAUUUAUUUUUAAUUAAUUUUUUUUAAAUUUUUUGUACACUUAUAUUAUUUGCAUAUUUAAUUUUCCUUUUUUUUUUGCAAUUUUCAUUUAGUUCUUUUGUUACUAAUUUCUUUGAAUAUUACCUUUGUGAUAUAAUUAUUGCAUGAUAUGUUGGUCUCGAACUUCAAGUGGCAGGUUAAUUCGUAGAUCUCAAUCACCACCACCAAUCAUGGACGAGAUACAAGAUGAGAAAAAAAAACAAGGAAAUUAAUAAUGUUAGCAUACCACGGCAUUGAAGUAACAUAAAAUAAAAAUUCAUCAGGGAAAGAAUCAUUGAUAGGUGUUAUAUCAGUGCAGUAUUUAGAUGUGAGUCUUCAUAAAUGAUCAACAAUGACAUUUUUGACACUCUUUUCAUUUUUUAUGGUAAGGUCAAAUUCUUGAAGUAACGAAAUCCAACGAAUUAAUCUUGGUUUGGCAUCCUGUUUUUUUGGACUAAUUUGUUGGAUUUGGUUACAUCAAAAAUUUGACCUUACCAUCAAAGAUAAAAAGGGUGUCGAAAAUGUCGUUGCUGAUAAUUUAUCAAGACUCACAUCCGAAUACUACACUUAUAUAGCACCCAUCAAUGAUUCUUUCCUUGAUGAAUUUUUAUUUUCUGCUACUUCAAUGUCAUGGUAUGCUAACAUUGUUAAUUUUCUUAUUUUUUUCAUCUUGUAUCUCGUCCAUGAUUGGUGGUGGUGAUUGACAUCUACGAAUUAACCUGCCAUUUGACGUUCGAGACAAACGUCUCAUGCAAUAAUUAUAUCACAAAGGUAAUAUUAAAACAAAUUAGUAACAAAAGAACUAAAUGAAAAUUGCACCCAAAAAAAUGAAAAUAAAAUAUGCAAAUAAUGUAAGUGUACAAAAAAUUAAAAAUUAAAAUUAAAAUUAAAAUAAAAUAACAAUUUGGUGGUUGAACCCACCAUAUAAAUUAACAAUAUAAAAUAAAGCAUAAAAAAAAUGCAAAAUAAUAAAAAAUUGAAAAAUUAAAUAACAAUUUUGGCGGUCAAACCAGCCGUAUAAUAAAAUAAAUAUGAAAAUUAAAUAAAAAAAUUAAGAGUCAAUAUUCAGUUUGCUUAGUCUAAAUUGAGUUCAAAUAAGUCCAAGUCUGGUUAUUAUGAGAAAUUUCGUACAGGGAUCUUUGUACAAAUGUUUUAUAAUUUUAUGGUCAGACGGUAAUUUUUAGAAGUUUAGAACAGAGUCAUGUGGGAUGAAAGUGACGACUCUAAAAGAUUUUGUAGACUAAACAUAAUUUAAUAAGAGGAAAAGGGCACGAAUGAAAAUUUACAGAAAGGGAAAAAUGAAAAACAUAAAAAUGAAACAAAAUAAAAAUCUUUCCCCGGCAACGGUGCCAAAAAUGCGACACAAUUUAAAAGUAAUUUCUAACUUCCAAGUAUAAGAGUGUCUUGUUAUAUUAUAUUUCGGUGAGUCCGAGGUCGAUCCAUAGAGAAAAGAUUUACUUUGUUUAUUUUACUUUAUCUAAAAAUGAAAAUAAAACUUAUACAACUUGAUUUAUAUGGAAUUAUGAAAUUGAAUUAGUUAAGGUUAUGGAUCCACUCUUAGUAGUAUAUAAAAUUUAAUAAAUUCUUUUUGCCAUUUUUUUUAGAUUUAUUGUCCAAAGAUUAAUCAAAUAAAUUAUUAUUAUUUUCCCAUUAAUUUUAUUGUGGAUUAAGUAUUUAUUGUGCCAAAAUUUAAUUUGUCUACAAUAAGUCAAAAUAUCAUUUUACCAUACCUUAUAUUAAGAUAUUAAAAAUUUAUUGUGCCAAACUCCCUUAUUUUUCUACAAUAAAUGAAAUUUUCAAAAUAUAAAAUAUGUAUAAAAUUAAAUAGAAAAUAAUUUAAUUUAUAAAAUUAAAAAUAAAAUUUGAUUAAAUCAUAUUUAUUUCCUAAGAGUUUCACCUUACCCUAACUAUUAUUAUUUAGUUAAGCAUAAUUGAAAUAAAAAGAAUUAUUAAAAUUAAAUUACUCAUAAUUAAAAUGAAUAAAAACAACUAAAAUUGAAAAUAAAACUAAAUUUAUUUAUAAAAUAAUUAAGCAAAAUAUUUAAAACACACCUGAAAAACAAGAUUACAGGGAGAUUGAGAGAAAUUGAGAAGAAGAGAGAUGUAGAGAGAUGUAGAGAGAUGAUCAAAAACAUAAAAAUGAGGCUCUAUUUAUGGAAAAAUAAAUUCAUAAUCCAGUGUUUUGCGGCCCAUCAUAAGCUUUAUGCAUGCACUCCUCACAGCCAUUAGAUCAUGAUCCAACGACUGGUCAAACUUCAAAAGUCAACAUUACACGUGGCAUCAUUUGACGCGUUCGAUUCGGCCAAAAAAUGGUUGAGAUUUGGCGGGUUAAUGGGUGGAUCGGGUUGACCCAAAUACAAAGAUUCGGAUCCUACAACUUGCUUUACUAACCAUUGCCACGUGGCAAAAUCGUGGGCAUUGAAUUAUGAACGAUUGAGAUUUAGUCAAAAUUACUAGCUAUCCAAUGCACGCAUAUCUAUUGUAAGCUCAUUUUAUCAUCCAAUCAAUACUCGGUCAACAAAAAAAGUCAACUCUUUCGUACAACCUCAAUUUUAAGCGGAUUUUGACUCAUCUUAAGGUUUUCGGACCUCCAAAAUCUAAAUUUGUCAUCUGUUUAUCUGUUUGGAGCCUUAAAUUACACGAAUUUAAUAUUUUACCUAAUAAACGCACAAAAAUAUACAAAAUUAAAUAUAAUUAAGACACAAUUAAUAACUCCUAAUAUAUUGCAUAAACACAAAUAUAAAUUAUAAUAUAGGCACAAAAUAAUUUUUUAUCGCUUGAUAAUCAAACAAUUUUUAAUACUAAUCACCAAGUCCCAACUUGACCCUAUGACUAAAAUGAAGGGCUCUAAUCCUUAAAAAACCCGACCCUUCAAAUUAAGCAACAACUUGACUUUAAUAAUUUUUUAAUAUUUUAGUUUUUUUUUAAGACUAGGACUCCUAUUCUUCAUCUUUAGUAAUAAUAAUAUUAUUAUUAUUGUUCCUUUUUUUGGUUGGAUUUGUUUGUAAGGAAUUUAAUAAAUUAUUUUUUAUUCAACUUUAACAAUAAUAGAACAUGUAACAAUCUAACAAAAUUAACCAAGCAACAUGUUAAUAAAUCAAAUACAAAAUAACAAAUUUAAUGUGAAACAAAGACAAAUAUACCUAAGGUGUAGAUGUAACCAUCUAUGUGGUGUAUGUGUGUCUUAAUAAUAUUUUUUAUUUUAAAAAUUAAUUUAAAUAUCAAGACCUGGGACAGAGCUUUUUGGUAAAACCUUAACUCUAACCUGAAUGUAAUUAGGUCCUGAUUCCUUAAGCCCUAACCCAACGUUUAACCCUUUAAAUUUGAGCUAAAGUAGGUCGGAUCAAUCAGGCCAAGGGUCAGAUCAAUCACACCGAGGGUCGGAUCGACCCUUUUUAUCAUCCUAAUAAUUACCUUAAAUUAAAAUCACAUUUUUUAAAAAAUUAUAUAAAAAUUAUUCUUAUACAAAGUAACAAUAUAUGACCCAUUAAGAAACGAACCUUUUAUCCACAAACAAAAUUUCAAAACCCACUUAUAGACCUCAAAAGCAUUUUAGUCCAUUUAAUCAAACAUAAAAAUACAGGUACCAACUGGUUAGCUUACACACUUCCCAUACAAAGGCACGGGUCUUAUUUCAUUAAAUAAUAAGAGUAUCACCAAAAAGCACUUCAAAUAAAAUUUUAUUACUUAUUUGAAGAGUCACAUCAAUAUUUAAGGCUCCAAAAGACACUUCAAUUAAAAUUUUUCAAAUAAAAAAUGAUUCUCUCUCUUUAAAUUUAGAGAGUUGUUUUCUCCCUCUUCAAUUUAUAUUUUAUUACUUUUCAUUGGCGAAAGAGAUAGAAGUAUUUUAAUUGCUAUUGACUUUUCCUUUUAAAAAAUAAUUAUUUGAUUAAAAUAAUAUUAAUUUAUUUCUAUUUGAAAAGUCUUUUAGAGAAUAUCAUAUUUUUUCACCCUUCUAUUUGCCACAUAGGUAAGCAAAUAGAUAUUUGAAGAAUAAAAUUUAUAGAGGCUUUUGGAGAUGCUCUAAUAAUAAGGGUCCCUCUAUGAUGCCGUAAUUUUUUUUACGGCAUCAAUAGCGUAAAAAAUAUGUACCGUUGGAUGUAAUCAAAGGUACAUAUUUUUUAAUAAUAAAAAUAUUUAAUUAUUUCAAAAAUAUUAUAACUGGUUAACAAACCGAUUGAAAAGAUUAUUUUAAAUUUUAAAAGAAAGACAAUAGAGAUACGAUAAAACACGAUCUCUUUCUUUAUCUCAUAAAAUUCACUAUCUAUUUAUCUCUCACGUUGUUGUAUUGAAAUUUGAUUCUUGAAUGCUGUCUCAUUUCCUAAAUGAUUAACCAUUGACAAGAAUUGUAAUCUCAUUCUUUUAGUUCAACUUUUUCUCAGUUUAUUGCCUUGAGUAUUUGAUAGGUAGGCUUUUACAUGUGUUGCUAGAUGGUGACAUUAGACAAGGAAUCAUGGAUUUGAUGUUCUUUGUUGUACUAAAUUCAUAUCAAAUCUUGCUUUGAUGCUAUAAUAUAUUUAGUUACUACCUUACAUUUUCUUUUUUCACAUUUGAAAACAAAUUCUUUUUAUUCAUAGGAUUACGUGACGUGUGCAGUCUUGAAGUGUGAACUUCAAAGCAUAAAGUUGCAUCGCAGCAUGUUAGCAGCAAAGUUCCUUCCCUGCAUUAGAUAGAAAACAAAACAACCGAAAUCAGGGAAUCAAGUGAAACCAAGACUUGGCUCAGUCAGCAGUUAGCCACUCAUGAUUUGUCUUUUUCAGUGCGUGUUAGGAUCCUAGUCUUAGUUCUACAUUAUUUCCUUUUCUGUUAAGGAUUAGUUACUAAGUUAUUAUGUUAUUAGGAAUUAUUAUUUUAGUAGGAUUUCUUUCGCUCUAUAUAAGGAACUGUUGUUAGAUUAAUAAAGAAUAAGAAUUGCUUCAAAAACUCUCAUUUUCCCUCUGGCCACCUCUCCUCAUUAUUCUUCUCAUUAUUUUUCUCUUCAAUUCAUUGCUCUAAAUUGCUAUCUAAGAGCAACAGCCUAACAGUGCGCUUUCUCUUUUCGACUCGAAUUCAUCCCUUCGACAAACGACAAGAUGGCAGGCAGCAAAAACAGGGGUUGAGGACCCGGUUAAUCGGUGGAAGCAGCAACCCACCAAUCGUUUAAGAAAAAGGGGCAAAGCAAGCAGAAGCCCACUUAUUAAUCUCAGUCUCUUAUUCCAUUCUCCUUUUCUCCACCCCCAUUUAAUCAUCUCCAGCAGCGACGCGGGAAAGGUUAAACCGGCAUGAUCUUGCCCACUUAUUAAUGUAGUUAUCUCUUUUUUUUCUUUUUGAAUAUCAUUAAUGUUGCCUUUCUCUUUUCGUUCCUCGCAAAAACAACAAGAGGGAUCAAAAUAGAAAGCACACCCGCAAGCCGAAGAAAACCCACACCAAAUAAGAUCUAUAGAAGAUAGGAUAACAUGUUCAAGCUUCUGGAACAGAGGCUACUGCACGCUUCAUGGAAGCAAAUUUGAUAAGGUGGUUGUAGCUGUCUUUUUCCUUGAACAAUUUGGAGAAACGAUGUUUGCAAUACCAGAUGCCUUCCAGGGCUGCGUAAUUUGAUGGGCUAAUGGAAUAACCACCAUGUGAGCACUUGAAACAUGAGAUGGGCCUGGCUUUCCAUUGCUACCUUCUCCGAUGGACACACUAUUUUACUGCAAGAAGCACAUGUUUUUGGGUCCCAGAUAACAUGCUGGCAGCUUUGCUAGGUGAUCUUGUCGAGUUAACUUCUCAAUUAACUUUGCAGGUGAUUGGAAAUUCUUGUUAAAGUUACCCGACUCCUUGAAAAGUUGUUCAAAGUGAGGCUUAAAGUAAAGAACACCUUCCAUGGAUGAGUAAUUGCUCAGCUUGAGUGUGCCUUUGCAGUGAGAGCACUUAAAGCAAGACUUAUGAUAAACAAUCCCAUCAGCAGAUAAUUGCUCAACUGGAUAAACUGUCUUCUCACAGACCUUGCAUUUCUGUUGGGUACCAAUAAAAGACAUUGCUUUUUGAAUUUUGGUUGAUAACUGCAAAAACAAUAUUGAACGUUUUGUUAUUAGCAAACUUGCAUGAUUAAACUGUACUGACCUAAAAUAUGUAAUAUUACACAGUAUAUACGAUUGGAUACACAAAUGUGUAUAGUUAUAUAGAAAUUUUACAAAUUUUAAUUUCAACUUCUUUUCUUAAAUAUAUUCUGGAUUUAGUAAACAAAAGUCACGGUUGUCCUUAAAACUACACAAGAUAAGAUGUUUUCACUUAAAUGGUAUCAAAUAAUGAAGAAUAAUAUUACAAGUUAUGUAUCUCUAGAAAGCUGUAUUUGUCAGGAGUUCAACUAAUUUUACGGUUUUCUAUUUGAAGUUUUCUACAUGACGAUAUGGCUUAAAGAAUGGUGACUGCUCAGAAUCAUUAAAGCAACCAAGUCUAUGAUUAUCAGCCAAAUUUCAUGAUUUAACUAUAUUGAUCUAGAACAUAUACUUAAAUUCUAGAGAAUUGCUUUAGUGAUGCAAGCAGAGUGAACAAGACAAUGUAUUCCUUUUGAUUACUUGAAUAAUUCGAAAAUACAGAGCUAUUGCAGUAUAUAUAGAGACAAAGAGAAUAAUGACAGCUAGCAAAAAUAUAUUACAUAGGAAAAAUGAAAACUAAUUUGUCAGAAUUAAAAUCAUGAGCCAAUCAUUUUAGACUUCUAGAAGGUUCAGCUGCUCCAUGCUUAUGUGCUGAUAUUCUUCACCAUAGCUGUUCUGCCAGCUCAAUAAAUCUGACUCAUCUUCCAUAGCAGCAGGCUGCAGAUUACAGAAGCUUAGGUGGCAUGCCAGCUUGGCUUCAAGGUCAAUUGUUGACUCCUCACAGCUGCUGUUUUCAACACCCUCUCUCAAACUCAAGGUCUUGUCAAUGACUUUGAGUUUGCUUCGAAAACAGCUAAACUUGGAGUGUGGUAGUGGCUUGGUCAACACAUCUGCAAUUUGAUCAUUGCUGCCAACAUAGUUUAUUUCCAAUUCACCCUUUGUAACUUUGUCUCUGAGGAAAUGAAGGUCUAUCUCAAAAUGUUUUGUUCUAGAAUGAUACACUGGGUUUGCUGCUAUGGCUGCUGCACUGGUGCUGUCACUUAGGAUAAUUGGUACAUUUUCAACCUCCAUCUUCAGUUCACCAAGUAAAGAAUUUAUCCAUGUGAUUUCAGUGCUGCACAGAGCCAUUGCUCUAUAUUCUGAUUCUGCCGUGGACCUUGCAACCAUGCCUUGUUUUCUCGAGCUCCAAGCAACUAGAUUAUCUCCCAGGUACACACAGUAUCCACUUAUAGAUCUUCUGUCAUCUGGAUCAGUUGCCCAGUCUGCAUCUGUGUAUGCAAUGAGAUCCAGAUGCUCAGAUUUUUUGAACCUUAGACAUAAAUUCAUAGUGUUUUUGAGAUACCUCAGCACUCUUUUGCAUGCUACCCAAUGUGGCUGUCUGGGAUCAGACAUGAACUGACUCAGCUUGUUCACUGAGAAGGCAAGCUCUGGCCUAGUCAAUACUGCAUAUUGUAGGCUUCCUAUGACACUCCUAUAGAGUGUGGGAUCAUGGAAUCUAUUCCCAACAUCCUUCAGCAAUUUCUCAGAGGUGCUGAAGGGUGUCUCUAUUCCUUUACAUUCUGUCAUCUCUGUUUUGGCCAGCAGGUCUUGAACAUACUUUUCUUGAGAAAGUAGAAUAGAGUUUUGACUCCUGAUAACUUGUAUCCCAAGAAAGAAGUUUAAAUUUCCGAGAUCCUUCAAAGCAAAAGAUGUAUCCAGAUCCUUAAUCACUUCCUCAAUGCCUUGGUUGUCACUUCCAAUGAUUAUGAUGUCAUCUACAUAUAUGAGCAUGAUAACUAUCUUUGAUUCAACCCUUCUGAAAAACAAAGAUGUGUCACUCCUGGAAUUUUUGAAUCCCCAAGAACUCAAAGCACCUUUUAGUUUAUCAAACCAUGCUCUCGGAGCUUGCCUCAGUCCAUACAAAGCCUUUUUUAGUUUGCAGAUGUAGCUUGGCCUGUUCUUGUCUUCAAAACCUUCAGGCUGUGGCAUGUAUACUGUCUCUGUCAAGUCACCAUUCAAGAAGGCAUUGUUUAUGUCCACUUGCCUAAGCAACCAGUCAUUGUUUACAGCCAUGGUUAGGAUGAUUCUAAUAGUUGCAGCCUUAACAACAGGGCUGAAAGUUUCAUUGAAAUCAAGCCCUGGGGUCUGCAAGAAUCCCUUUGCAACCAAUCUGGCCUUAUACUUAUUAAUGCUGCCAUCUGAGUUUUCCUUCACUUUGUAGACCCACUUAUUUCCAAUCAGUUUGCAAUUUUGAUUGUUUGGUAUCAAGGUCCAGGUUUUACUCUUCAUCAAUGCAUGAUAUUCAUCCUCCAUUGCCUUUUUCCACUUGGGAUCCUUCAAAGCAUCUAAGGUGUUUUUGGGGAGUAGAGGUUGUGUUCUACUAGAAACUUGGAACAGCUUUGGUUUGAAGAUGCCAGCCUUGGAUCUUGUUACCAUGGGGUGUGAAGACAAGGUGUUUUGUGUGGGAAGGUUUUGAUUGUUUGUUUAUGUGAUUUGAGGUGGACUGUGAGUUGAAGGGCUACCUGAUAUUGAGUCAGUAUCAUUUACCUGUUGCAUUUCAUUCUGAACUGGACUUGGGCUGCAUUCUGUGUUUCCAGUAGUGUCUAGAGAGUUGCCAUGAGCUGUUGUCACUUGUGUGAGGCUAUGGGGAUCAUUAACAGAAAAAGACACAACCUGAAAUUUCUCAAGUAAAGCAACUUCAUCACCCUCUUUUACUGACUCUUGUUUCCUAAAGCUAGAAUCUUUUUCGAAAGGAAAAGAGUUUUCAUUGAAUUUGACACUGGCUGAGAUAUAGAUUCUACCUGAAUUACUCAUACAAACAUAACCUUUGUGAACACUGCUGAUCCCCAAUAGGAUACAUUUGGAGGUGUGAAAAUCAAAUUUGUGUUUGUUGUAUGGUCUUAGAAAUGGAAAGCACUCACAGCCAAAAAUUUUAAUUUGUGUAUAAUCUGGUUUGAGAGAGUAUAAUAAUUCAAAUGGUGUCUUAUUCUCAAGCACAGGUGAGGUGAGUCUGUUAAUGAUGAAGGUAGCAUAGCUGAAAGCUUCUUGCCAAAUUUUUAAGGGCAUUUUGGCUUGAGCAAGUAGGGCAAGUCCAGUCUCCACAAUGUGUCUGUGUUUUCUCUCAACCUUGCCAUUUUGUUCAUGUAAGUAUGGACAUGAAUGUCUUAGAGCUAUUCCCUCUCUUUUCAAAUAUGGUUCAAAGGCUUUGAAUUCUCCUCCCAUGUCUGUUUGUAGUGCUUUGAUUGUUAAGUUCAACUGUUUUUCAAUCUGAUUUUUAAAGGUAAUGAAGGUAUCAAGAGCUUGAGACUUGGCUGCUAAAGGAAAGAUCCAUGUGUAUCUUGUUCUGUCAUCAACAAAGGAAAUGUAAUAUCUGUGUCCAUGAGUGGAUAGAAUUGGUGCUGGUCCCCAAAGGUCUGUGUGAAUUAAUUCCAGGGCUGUCUUAGUUUUGGUUUCAGUGCUUUUGAAAGUUUGUUUUGAUUGCUUUCCAUAUUGACAUGCUGAGCAGAAUGAAGGAACAUCAUAUUUAUUAAUUUUGAGCUGAUUACAUGAUAGCAAGGUAUUUUUCAAGACUGAUGUACUAGGGUGUCCUAGUCUGGAAUGCCAUAGAUUAAUUUCUGCAUCAGCUUGCUGACUGUUGCUACUUGACUCAUCAGCUACAUUUGACUUGACACUGACUUUGACAGACUCAUUACUUAAAUUGAAGGACAACAUGGACACAGGACAACUAAUGUUGUUUAUUGACUCUGACUUUGACAAAAUUGAAAAUAAAGCAGCAGAAGGAAUUUUGUUCCUGCUCAGGAUAGCAGGUAGGUGCAUCAGCUCAUAUAGCCCAUCUCUAGCCACUCCUUUCACCAGAAUUUUCCCUUGUCUCUUGUCCUUAAUAAAACAAACAAGUUUUUGAAACUCAACAUCAACAUCAUUGUCAUGCAGUAAUUUAGAAAUGCUAAUAAGGUUCUUGGUUAUGUCAGGCACAUAUAAUAUAUCAGUUAAGGUAAUGUGCUUGUGUGGAUCAUAAGUGGGCAAGGCAGAAUAACCAAUAUGACUGAUCAGAAGCUUUUCACCAUUACCAACAGCUAGUUUAUUUUUACCUUGGUAUUCAGAGUUGAUGCUGAUAUUUCCAAGAGUGUUUGUCACAUGAUUGGUGGCACCACUGUCAAGGUACCAAGCUCCACUGCUUUGACCUUCAGCAGCAGCAACAUAAGCACCCCUCUGCUCUCUUCUUCUGGUUGGUUGUGAUACAAAGUUUUUCUUGAAUCUGUGCCAACACUCAGCUGCUGUGUGCCCCAUUUUCCAGCAAAUUUGACAUGGCCCUUUUGGAUCAGAGCCAUUGUCAUCUGCCACUGCUUUUCCUUUCCCUUUGUCUUGAAAGUUCUGGUUGGUUUGGUUGUUUGUGGGGUUGUUUCCAGGGCUUCUAAAGACUAUUCCAGGCUGCUGGUGAUGAGCAGCUCUCUCACUGUUGUUCCAGCUCCUUCUUCCAUUCCUCAUUUGAGCAUAGUUUGCUUCAAUAUUCCCAGAGCUCAAGUUUUGCUCAGUUCUGUUUUCUUGACUCAAAAGCAUACCAUACACUUCUGAGAUUGAGGGAUUCUCCUGCAUUGAGUUGAUGUUAGUAACUACUGAGUCAUAUUCUGGCCCCAACCCAUCAAGCACACACAUGAUGAAAUCAUCAUCAUUCAUACUAUUCCCUGCAGCUCUAAGUGAGUUCAGUAAAGUUUUCAUUUUGGAUUAGUAUUCAUGAAUGGUUGAUGGACCCUUUUUAGUAGUUUGAAUUUGGGUUCUGAGAUAUAGUACUCUUGCCCUUGUUCUAGCACCAAAUUGGUUGGCUAGAGUUGUCCACACCUCACAGGAGGUGGAACAAUCUACCACUGUGCCAAGGACUCCUUCACUUAGUAAAGAGAGUAGCCAACUUAGUAGAAUAUGGUCCUGUUUCCUCCAAAUCUGGUAUUCAGGGUUAGGUGAGGUAAUGGUGGUUCGAUUUGGUCCAGGAUUCAUAAAGGCUUUAGGAGGGCAGACACGGCUGCCAUCAACAAACCCCUCAAGCUCAUUUGCUCUAAUGCUGGAAAUCACUUGUGAUUUCCAGAGCAUAAAGUUGCUUUGAGUUAGUUUGAUUGGAUUAGUAAAGACAUAGGUGUUGCUAGUGAUGUGCUGGGUGGGUGAUGCACUUAUUUGUGCUGUGUUUCUGGUAUUAAGGCCUGGACUUGGUGGCUCAGUGUUUUGGUUUUGAUUUUGAUUCAAUUCGUCUGGUUGAUCACUUGAAUCAACUUGUGUUGGAUUAACAUUUGUUUCAUUGUCACUGCUGCUUGCCAUAGCUAAAAGAUUGGCUCUGAUACCAACUUAAAUUCUAGAGAAUUGCUUUAGUGAUGCAAGCAGAGUGAACAAGACAAUGUAUUCCUUUUGAUUACUUGAAUAAUUCGAAAAUACAUAGCUAUUGCAGUAUAUAUAGAGACAAAGAGAAUAAUGACAGCUAGCAAAAAUAUAUUACAUAGGAAAAAUGAAAACUAAUUUGUCAGAAUUAAAAUCAUGAGCCAAUCAUUUUAGACUUCUAGAAGGUUCAGCUGCUCCAUGCUUAUGUGCUGAUAUUCUUCACCAUAGCUGUUCUGCCAGCUCAAUAAAUCUGACUCAUCUUCCAUAGCAGCAGGCUGCAGAUUACAGAAGUUUAGGUGGCAUGCCAGCUUGGCUUCAAGGUCAAUUGUUGACUCCUCACAGCUGCUGUUUUCAACACAUAUGAGUUUGCAUAUUAUAUAUAGUACGAUAGAUAAAUUCGUCCAACUAUAGAACAACUUUAAAUAAUUAAAUUCAGACUUUUCUUCUUAAAGAUAUUCACAAUUUAGUGCGCAAAGGUCACAACUGUCUUGAACCUAAACAAGGCCUGAAGUUUCUGAAUUAACUUAUAUCAAUUAACAAGGAAUAAAAUUGCAAACUAUAUAUCCCUAGAAAGAAGUAUUGUCAGGAGUUCAAAUAAUUUUACGGUUUUCUAUUUGAAGUUUUCUACAUGAAGAUAUGGCUUAAAGAAUGUUGAUUGCUCAGAAUCACUAAAGCAACCAAGUCCAUGAUUAUCAGCCGAAUUUUCAUGAUUUAACUGUAUUGAUCUAGAAUGUAUGAGAUUGCAUGCUAUAUAUAUUUGGAUAGAUAAAUAUGUCUAGUUACGACAGAACGUUACAGAAUCAAAUUCGGACAUCUCUUCUUAAAGAUAUUUACAAUUUAGUGUACAAAGGUCACAACUGUCUUCAAACUAUACAAGGCCAGAAUUUUUUUAAUUAAAUGAUAUCAAUUCCUCAAGAACAAAUUACAAGCUAUAAACCCCUAGAAAGUUCUAUAUUUUAGAAGUUCAAAUAAUUUUACAUGUUUAAUUUGAAUUUUUCUACAUUAAGAUAUGACUUAAAAAGUACAGAUUGCUCAGAAGCAUUGAAGCAACAAACUUGGAAGAUAUAUUAGUUCUUUCUUUCAGCCUUUCCCCUUAAGGACAACAACCGCCAAACAUUAUAUGCUUAAUUUUCUUAUGUUUCUACAUUUUUUUUUUCUUUGGAAAAACAAUAGAACAGUGUUUAAUUUUAAAGUAUUGGUUAUUACAUGGUUACACAGCCGAAAUCUCCUCAUGACCAUCUCUCUACUCAACAACAAAAUAAAGAUAAAAAUCCUAAAUAUCAAAUUAUAAAGAACAUAUGCAGUACUAACUUUCUUUAUCAAUAUCAAUGACUUUCUUGUAGUGAUAGCUCCCAGAUUUAUCUUGAACAUAAAUUUUUUAAAAGCUAAAAAACUUGAUUAAUUGAUAAAAAAAAAUCUAUUUAAAUUAAAUUGGAUUGAUUGACUAAAAACUCCACUCAAAUUUAAUCUUUGAUGAGAUACUGUCUGUUGUAUACAAAUAUGAGUUUGAAUUGUGUUAGUUUAUUCUGCCAACAGUCAAACUGGUUAACAUAAAUCGUUUGGAUCGUGUAGUGGGCUCAAGUUCGGCAAAUUUCAGUGACCACGCUACAAUUUCAAACAUUCUCACAAUUUCACUUAAAUAAUAUAUUUUAUUUAAUUACACAAAAUUCAAUAAAUAUAUGAUUUUUGUAAAAUAUAUGAACAUGUAUAUGAAACUGAUAUUCAUAGGAAUUUUUAAUUACACUUUAAAAUUUAUUUUAUCUAUGUAUCCUACAUCAUUCAUUAUCGACUUUUCGUAAUUUUAUUAAGUAGUAAUUUCAAGCCAAACAGAAAAGAGUUUCAACAUUUAAUUAAUUUGAAGACUCAAUGUGAGACUCAAAAUUGCUAAAAUAGUAUUUAAAUCAUAUUGUUAAUGUUAUAAGAUAACUUGAUUAUCAUGUAAUUAAACUAAUUUCAAAAUUUAUUUUGAAAGCAUGCAAACAAAUGUAAUCUAUGCUAUGAGAUUUUUUUUUUUUUUUAAUGUAUGGUGUUUGUCCAAUGGUGAAAUAUAAAUAAUAGCCUUCAAUUUCUCAUGUGGUAUAUUUUAUUGGCUUACUAGCUUAUGAAACUAUAUGCAAAUGUUGAAAAUUGGACUGCUGCAUCAAAUAUCAUGUGAUAUAUCUUAUUUGACCUUAGAUCAAUGUAUCGAAUGCCCAUAAAACAUAGUUUACUUUGUAAUUCUACAAAUUAAUUUUUACUAAUAUUUAUAUUUCAUUUAUCAAUUCAUAAUUCAUCGGGAUAAUUACAAAUUUAAUUUCUCUCCUAUUAAUAAAUAGGGGUACAUACAAGUACUCAAUAUUUGUGUGUGUGUGUGUCACUUAAUAUGUUUUAAUAACUAUAAGAAUAAUUGCCUCUACUAACUUUUUCCCAUACAAUUUUUAUUACAUUUUACCAAUUGUAUUUCUAUACUACUAUUUUGUAAAAGAAAGCUAUAAUUGACUACUCAAAAAUAUCUUCAUAUUUUUUAUUACAUUUACAUUAAAGUUUUAGUAUAUUAGAAAUGCAAAGUUUAAUUUUCAAUAACGUAACACUUUAACGAAAUCAACAUAUUAAGUGCAAUGUAUGAUAGAUGAUAUGACACUUUAAAUAUGCUACAAAGUUAAUAGGAAAAAAACCACCCACACCUCUAAAGUUUGCUUAAAUAGUAAAAAAUAAUCCCUUAAAAUUAAAAAAAUAUAAUAUAAAAUAAGAUAAAAUUUAUAAAAUUUUAUGAAUAUUAAAAAAUUUAUUUUAACAUUAUUAAUUUGUCAUAUUCUUUUAAUAAUAUUAAAAUCUAUUUCACAUACGAAUAAUAUUAAAUUAUUAUACCUAACAUUCAAAGUAAUAUAUAAAAUUUAUAUAUUUUUUUACAAUAUCUUAUUUUAUUAUGUCUAUAUUAAUAUCGAUCUUAAAAUCAAUUUUUGGAUUAAUUAAUUUUAGUAAAUCCAUCGGGAUAGACUAAAAAUAACUUAAUAUGAAUAAAAUUUUCAUCAUACACGUUAUUUUAUUAAUUAUACUUAUUGUAAUAUUUUAUCUAUAUCAUAUGAUAUUUAUUUAUCAUUUCUAUACUAUUACUAUAUUUAUAUUUAUUUAGGUUGUUUUAAUUAAAACGUAUAAUAAUCAUUUAUGAAAUUAAGAGGGUUUGUAUAACUAUUCAUGAAACUAAAUAGUUUUAUAUGAUCAUUUAAGCAAACCUUAAGGGUGUGAAUGGUUUUUUUCCAAAUUAAUAUUAAUUUAAAAGUUAUAAAUUAAUAUUUUACCUGCUAUAUUUUAAUUAAUUAAUUAAUUAUCUAUUAUAUUAAAUGAUUAAAUUUCUUACAUUUAAGGAUUCACACUAAUCCCACUGUCAAUGCUGUAAAAACACAUACAGCAUCUUAAAUAAAUCCUAAUAAUAAUAAUAAACUCUCCCGAAUUGAACCGAACGAGUCAGAAAUGGCAUCGAAAAGCAAGAUUCUAUCCAUCGGGGGGACAGGGUAUAUCGGUAAAUUCAUCGUCGAAGCGAGCGUGAAAGCCGGCCACCCGACGUUCGUGCUCGUGAGAGAAUCCACACUCUCUGCUCCUUCCAAAUCUCAACUCCUCGACCACUUCAAAAACCUCGGCGUCAAUUUCGUU
rnacentral:lncRNA from 1 species